rnacentral:lncRNA from 1 species
AAGGAAGUGUUAAAUAUAAAAUUUUAAAAAUACCAUUCUCGAAUUAAUGGUUAUUUUUAAAAAAAGUAGGAAUAUAUUGGAUAUUUAUAAAGUUUUGAGGGAUAUACAAACAAUUAUCCCAAAUCAAAAAGUAGGGACCCACCUAACCCUAGGGGACCACUAUCAAUUUAACCGGGAACCACUAACAUUCUAACCGCGCAUUCUUUCAUCCAACGGCCGAAAACUCAAUAGUACCAAAGACUUGAUAUUAUUGAUAGUAUAGUAGCAUAAUUCUAUAUAUAUAUAUAUAUAUAUAUAUAUAUAUAUAUAGAAUUAGGCUGGAAUAUUAUUGAUAGUAUUUGGCCUAGACCUGGCAAUCUCGAUCCAUACCCAUAUAUUUAAUUAUAAAAUAUAUUUUUUUAAUUAAAAUACACAUAUAUUUAUUUAUCCUUCCUAAAAAUUCUAACUAUAAUUUCUUAUCGCGUUUUUUAUAUUGCGAAUUUAAGUUCUAAGACUUUAAAUAUUUUUAUUAUAUGUUAUGAUAUUUUAAGUAAUGAGUUAUGUCAUACUUUUAAAACUUAUAUAUAUAUAUUUUGCAUUUAAAAAAUAUAAGAAAAAAAAAGAAAAAAAAAAUUUGCGGGUAAUCCGCAUACCCACCCGCCCACCCGCGGGUGGGUAUGGGUAAUGAUGUUGGUUACCCAAAAAUUUGUGGGUAAAUUUUACCCAUGCCCAAGUAACCCGCGGGUACAAUGACCCGCCCGCAGGUUACCCAACCCUCCCGUUUGCCAGGUCUAAUUUGGCCCUUUAAACUAUUAAGUUUUUAACCUUUGGAUGAAAAAUUAUAAGGUUAGUAUGAUAUUAGUCCUUUAGAAUUGAGUGGUUCCAUUAGAGUUGAGUGGUCCUCACAGAGUUAUAAUAUAUAUUUUUUGAGAGACAGGUAGCAUGCUACCCGCUUCAUUUAUUUCAUUUAGAAAUAAACUUAGUUAGAAAUGUGAAUCAAUUAGGAUUCGAACUUGGAAUUUCGGGUAUCAACCAUCAAGCCCUUUGCCACUAGGUUAUAAUAUUUAAUCCAAUAGUUAGAAAUGAUCAAAAAAAUUGAUCCAAAAGCUUAAAACUUGAUAGCAAAAGAGGGCAAAUACUACUAAGAGUAUUUUAGUUAUAUAUAUAUAUAUAUAUAUAGAGUGAGGCUACUAUGCUAUCGGAAGCACGGAGCCUUCCGUGCUUCCAGCUCGUUUUCGAUGUUACGACUUUCGAAUCGUCGAUCGGCUCUGUUAAACUUGAUCUAGAGUAUUUAAAGUAUCUAGAAAAUAAAAUAAAUUUUAUGAUUUUACGAUAUCAUUUGCCUAGUGAACGAAGGGGCUCAAAAUCAACGGCUGAAAAUAAAAAUCUUACAAAAUGUAAUAAUAUGACAUUAAAAUUUUAAAUCAAAGAUAUUGAUCUUGUUUUAUAUAGUAUAAAGAAUUUUCUAUCAAAAUUUCACGUGAUUUGGAUAUUUCUACACCGUUAAACUUGCAAACGGCUCACUACGGCCAUUGAAAUUUGUUGAUUUUGAGCCCAUUCGAUCACUAGGCAAAUGAUAUCGAAAAAUAAUAAAAUUUAUUUUCUAGGUACUCCAAAUACUCUAGAUCAAGUUUAACGGAGCCGAUCGACGAUUCGAAAACCGCAACAUCGAAAACAAGCUGGAAGCACGGAAGGCUCCAUACUUCCGAUAGCAUAAUAGCCUCACUAUAUAUAUAUAUAUAUAUAUAGAGGCUAGGCUCUCCCAUAAGUUUUUGACGGUUAGAUGAAGGGAUGUGCGGUUAAGAUGAUAAUGAUUCCCGGUUAAGAUUAUAAUGGUUCUCUAUAUUUGACUGUGUGGUUGGUCGAAUAGUAUGAUCUAACAGAUAAAAAUGGUGAAAGAUAUAGAUCUAACAGCCACAAACUUAUGAAUACAAAAAAAGAUCUAUACUUAUUUAUAGUUUUGUUAGCUAUUUGUCCAUUCAUAGUUUAAAAAAAAUUAUAGUAUUCAAAAUAGUAAAUUUUAACAUAACCACUAAUUAACAAACCAAGAGUAGAACAACAGUAAAGAGGUCCAUUAAUUUAAAAAGUUGUACACAGUGCAGGGGCUUUUAUACAAUUUCACCUUCAUAGGACCGGAUCAAAUACCAAGUAAAAUUAAACCUUAUACCCUGCACACCUUUUAAUGAUAUUUCUACCCACUCUUAUUGCUUGGUCGGUUGACAUGCACUGACUAAGCUGACCAAAAGCGACAAGCUCUUUUUUUUUUUCUUUUUUUUUGUUUUUUUUGACCCUCUUAUGAAAAACAAACAAAUAAACAAAUAAAUAUAUAAAAUAAAGUAUAUUUAAUAAUAUCUAAGGAACCCAUCACUUAAUAAUAAUAAUAAUAUAUAUAUUUAUUGUUACACAUGUACACUCCUCGGAACAGAUUCCUGUUAGGUGCUGGGUAUUACUAAAUAGUAGGCACUGGCUAAGGACCCGUGCGAUGCGCGCGGUGAAAAGAUAAUAUUUUUAUUAUUUUUUAAAAAUAUUUAUUUUCUAAUAUUUGUAUAAUUUUAUAAUGCAACGUUUGGUUCAGAUAUAAGUAAGAACUAGCUAUUACAGAGAUAUGUACAAGUAUCAUCAGGAUAAAAAAAAUAACGUUUAGAUGAAAAUUAGGUUGUUCCCGAAAUAAAAAAAAUAACGUUUGGAUAGAUAAUAUGGAAUAAAAAAAAUAGUGGAUAGUUAUAUAUAAAAAAUGGAGGUGUUGAUGGAAAUAGUUAAAUCUGGUUAUUAUAGACAACCGAGAAUUACUAUUUUUGGAUAAAAAAUUAGCGUUUGGGUAUAAAGGGUAUAUGAUUUAUAACUUCUUGGCAAAUAAUAUGAAAAUAUUUAAAACGGUAACGUGAAAUGUCUAAAAACAGAAUUAUCUAUUAUUUGAUUUGGGGUACUAAUCACGCAGCACAUAUAUGAUACGGAUUCUAAAAUAUUAGCUAAAAUUAUAAUUAUAUAAUUUAUCAUCUAACAAAAGCGCACAGAACAUGAAAUAAGACAAUUUGUUGAAAAAUAAAAAAUUUAAUGCUAACUACCUAUUACAAAAGUUAAGGCACUCUUAGAAAAACACAUUUGGUUUGUAAAAGCUAUUUUUUUCCCAUCAUUUUUAUUUUAUUUUUCGGUAUCUAAUGCCGAACUUUCGAUGCAGCUACAAAGAACAAAAAAAAAAUCACAUAUAUUUUUAAAUUAAAAAGAACAAAUUAUAGUAGUCAUAUACUUCUUGUUAUCUGAAAGAUCUUUUUUUUCUUUUUUUACCAAAGAGAUUUUUGAAUUUACUCGAGAAGAUCUGAGAUAAAAUUUUUAAAAAAUUUGGUUUGCAGCAGAUGAUAGUAUUUCAACCAAUUAACAUGUAUAUAUUUAUUAAAAUUUUAAAACAAAAAAUUUAUAGCUAAAGAAAAAAAAUUAUAAAGUAGAUUUAUGUACAUUACAGAAAUUAACUUUUUUUAUUAAUUUUUGUAUCUUUUAGUAUAUAUAGUUAAACUAUUCUAAUAAUUUUAUUUAAAAAUUUAAUAAAUUUAAUAGUUUUAAUAGUUAUUUAUAAAAAAAAAUUUAACUAAAAAGUUAAAGUUGAAGACUUAUAUUAGAUGACUUGAUAUUGUUAAAGUAGACUUUAUUAUUUUAAAGUUCAAUUGAAGAAUAUAGAGCAUGUCUUAUAUAUCGGGUGUAUAAUCGUUUCGCUUUUCGGGUUCCCAGUUUAGUAUUUAUAUAGUUAAAUUAUUCUAUUUAAUUAAAUUUAAUAUUUUGAUAGUUAUUUUAUAAUAAUUUUUAACUAAAAAGUUAAAAUUUGGAGGACUUAUAUUAGAUGACUUGAUUUGUUAAAAUGAAACUUUAUUUAUAUGUUAAAGUUAAAUUGAAGAAUAUGUGAAGAUAUCUAUAAUUUGUUUUUUACACUGUAUUUAUAAAAUUUUAUUUAUAAAUAAAAAUUUAUAAUUUUUGUAUCUGUUCAUAUAUAUAUAUAUAUAUAUAUUUAUAUAUGAGUCCGGCUAUUAUGCUAUUAAUAGUACGAAGCACUUGGUUCUACCAAGUUUUCCACCGUUAGAUCUAUUUUUGAUUUUUUCACCCAUUAGAUCAUACUAUUCAACCAACCAUCCACUUACCCUAGGGGCACAUCAUCCUAACUGCGCAUCUUUUAAUCCAAUGGCCAAAAACAUGAUAACACCAAUGACUUGGUGCUAUUAAUUGGCACAGUAACCUAUUCUAUAUAUAUAUAUAUAUAUAUAUAUUGUAUUUAUCCGUAAAAAUUUUAUUUAUUAUAUUAAUCAUUAAAAAUAGAUUGAUUCAUAUGAUGAAGUUUUAGACAUGAUAUAGCCACAAAAAAAAAAAAGAAAAAUUGUUGACUGAGAGAAUGAAAAAGUGGGCCCACUUUUUGCCCCCCCAAAUCGGAGAGCGCACGCCAUACGCUUCCAAGAUACCCCUUUCAUGUAUGGUAUAUAAAUAGCCAUUUUUUAUAUUUUUAAUUUAUAUAUUGCUUUUUGGUUGAGAAUUGAGCUAUUUUAUUUUAAAGUGGUGCCCAUGUGUAGAGUUUUGAAGUUGUUUUAUCUUCUUAAAUUUUACACUCAUUUUAGGCGAGAAUGAAUUAGUUCUUCCAGUUUGGUGCGUGCGUAAAAAAAAAAAAAAUUCUGUACAUAAUUGAUGUAAUAUGUAUUUGAUUUUUUAUAUGAUUUAUGAUGUAAUUUAUCUGAUGUGAUAAUAAUUUUCAAAUCAUGAAUGCCAUUAGUCUUUUAUACUAAUCAUUGAACUUGAGCCACAACAAUAUUGUGCAAAAAAAAAUUUACUCUUGUGGAUUAUAGAAAAUUUACUAGCCCUAAAAUCUUACUUGAAAUCAAAUUUCUAUUGUAGUAUGAUUUAUAAUAUUAUAUAUACUGGAAUAUAUAUCUUUAAUAACUUGUAGUCAUUUGCCACAAGCAAAACUCUCAAUUUUUAAGUUUAAUAAAUUCUACUUCAUACUGACCGUUUCUAACGCAAGCGGCAAAGGACUUACUGAUUGAUAACCGAAGUCCCAAAUUCGAACGAUAGUUGCUUUAUAUUUUUCAACUAAAUUUAUUUUUUUAAAAAAACAAAAAUCAGGCAUGCUGUGCGAUCCCCAAAAGUGUUUAAUUAGAUGGUCAAAAAAUAAAUGUCUCUUAGAUCAAAAUGGUUUGAAUUUGCAAAACCAAAAUUUUAAAAGAAAAUUUAAUACAAUACAUACAUACAUAUAUAUAUAUAUAUAUAGAGAGAGAGAGAGAGAGAGAGAGAGGAGAGAGAGAGAGAGAGAGUUUUGCUAGAAUACUAUCGGUAGUAAACGGCUCAGUUUACUACCGAUUUGUUUUCGAUGAUAGAGCUUCCAAAUUGAUGAUCGGCACCGUUAAACAUGAUCUAAACUAUUUAAACUAUUUGGAAAUUAAAUUUCACACAUUUUCGAUAUUGUUCUCUUGUCGAUCAAGUGAUAAGAAAAAUGAAUGGCUGGAAAUGAAUAUCCUUUAAAAAGUGAUGAUACAAUUUUUAUAUUUGAGAUCUAGAGUCUAGAUCUUAUUUUAAAUAGUUUAAAGAAUUUUUUAACAAAAAUUUAGUUAAUUUGAACUCUUCUAUACCGUUAAACGAGCAAACGCACCAUAUCGGCCGUUAAAAUUAUAGAUUUUGUGACUCUUUGAUCGUUCAGUUAGUGAUGCCAAAAAAUCAUGAAAUUUGAUUUCUAGAUAAUUUCAAUGGCCUAGAUCAUGUUCAACGGUGCCGAUCGUCGAUUUGGAAGCUCUAUCAUCAAAAACAAAUCAGUAGUAAACCGAACAGUUUACUACCGAUAGUAGCCCAGUCAAACUCUAUAUAUAUAUAUAUAGAGUCCGGCUGGGAUACUAUCAAUAGCACGAAGUAUUUGGUGCUAUCAAGUUUUCUGCCGUUAGAUUUACCUUUUUUAUCAUUUUCAUCCGUUCGAUUGUACNUCAUAUAUAUAUAUAUAUAUAUAUAUAUAUAUGAGUCCGGCUAUUAUGCUAUUAAUAGUACGAAGCACUUGGUGCUACCAAGUUUUCCACCGUUAGAUCUACCUUUUUGAUUUUUUUCACCCAUUAGAUCAUACUAUUCAACCAACCAUCCACUUAACCCUAGGGGGCCCACAUCAUCCUAACUGCGCAUCUUUUAAUCCAAUGGCCAAAAACAUGAUAACACCAAUGACUUGGUGCUAUUAAUAGCACAGUAACCUAGUUCUAUAUAUAUAUAUAUAUAUAUAUAUUGUAUUUAUCAGAUAAAAUUUUAAUUUUAUUAUAUUAAUCAUUAAAAAAUAGAUUUGAUUCAUAUGAUGAAGUUUUAGACAUGAUAUAGCCACAAAAAAAAAAAAAGAAAAAAUUGGUUUGACUGAGAGGAAUGAAAAAGUGGGCCCCACUUUUUUGCCCCCCCCAAAUCCGGAGAGCGCAGCCAUACGCUUCCCAGAUACCCCUUUCAUGUAUGGUAUAUAAAUAGCCAUGUUUUAUAUUUUUAAUUUAUAUAUUGCUAUUUUAAAGUGGUGCCCAUGUGUAGAGUUUUGAAGUUGUUUUAUCUUCUUAAAUUUUACACUCAUUUUAGGCGAGAAUGAAUUAGUUCUUCCAGUUUGGUGCGUGCGUAAAAAAAAAAAAAAUUCUGUACAUAAUUGAUGUAAUAUGUAUUUGAUUUUUUAUAUGAUUUAUGAUGUAAUUUAUCUGAUGUGAUAAUAAUUUUCAAAUCAUGAAUGCCAUUAGUCUUUUAUACUAAUCAUUGAACUUGAGCCACAACAAUAUUGUGCAAAAAAAAUUUACUCUUGUGGAUUAUAGAAAAUUUACUAGCCCUAAAAUCUUACUUGAAAUCAAAUUUCUAUUGUACUAUGAUUUAUAAUACUAUAUAUACUGGAAUAUAUAUCUUUAAUAACUUGUAGUCAUUAGCCACAAGCAAAACUCUCAAUUUUUAAGUUUAAUAAAUUCUACUUCAUACUGGCCGUUUCUAGCGCAAGUGAGAAAGGGCUUACUGAUUGAUACCCGAAGUCUCAAAUUCGAAGGAUAGUUGCUUUAUAUUUUUAACUAAAUUUAUUUAAAAAAAAAACAAAAAUCAGGCACGCUGUGCGAUCCCCAAAAGUGUUUAAUUAGAUGGUCAAAAAAUAAAUGUCUCUUAGAUCAAAAUGGUUUGCAUUUGCAAAACCAAAAUUUUAAAAGAAAAUUUAAUUUUAUACAUACAUACAUACAUACAUACAUAUAUAUAUAUAUAUAUAUAUAUAUAGAGAGAGAGAGAGAGAGAGAGAGAGAGUUUUGCUAGAAUACUAUCGGUAGUAAACGGCUCGGUUUACUACCGAUUUAUUUUCGAUGAUAGAGCUUUCAAAUUGAUGAUCGGCACCGUUAAACAUGAUCUAAACUAUUAAAACUAUCUGGAAAUCAAAUUUCACACAUUUUCGAUAUUGUUUUCUUGUCCAUCAAGUGAACAGAAAAAUGAAUGACUGGAAAUGAAUAUCCUUUAAAAAGUGAUGAUACAAUUUUUAUAUUUGAGAUCUAGAGUCUAGAUCUUAUUUUAAAUAGUUUAAAAAAAAUUUUAAGAAAAAUUUAGUUGAUUUGAACUCUUCUAUACCGUUAAACGAGUAAACGCACCAUAUCAGCCAUUAAAAUUAUAGAUUUUGUGACCCUUUGAUCGUUCAAUUAGUGAUGCCAAAAAAUUAUGAAAUUUGAUUUCUCGAUAAUUUAAAUGGUCUAGAUCAUAUUCAACGAUGCCGAUCAUCGAUUUGGAAGCUCUAUCAUCAAAAACAAAUCGGUAGUAAACCGAGGAGUUUACUACCGAUAGUAGCCCGGUCAAACUCAUAUAUAGUCCGGCUGGGGUACUAUCGAUAGCACCAAGGAUUUGGUGCUAUCAAGUUUUCCACCGUUAGAUUUAACCCUCUGAUUAUUUUUACCCGUUAGAUUAUACUAUUCAACCAACUACUCACUUAACCCUAGAAGACCCACAUCAUUCUAACCAUCCAUUUCUCAAUCUAAGGGCUAAAAAAUCAAUAGCACCAAUAGCUUGGUGCUAUUAAUAGUAUUCCAGCCUAAUUAUAUAUAUAUAUAUAUAAUUGAGCUAGAAUACUUUUAAAAGCACCAUCUCCUUGGUGCUUCUAAGUUUUUAACUCUUGAAUCUACUCCUUGAUUAUUAAUAACCUUUGGAUCAAACAUUAUUCCACCUACCACCGUCAUCCCAACCCUACAUCCUCUAUCCAAAGGCUGAAAACUCAAAAACACAAUCUCUUUGGUUCUUUUGGAAGUAUUCUAGCUCAACUCUCUCUCUCUCUCUCUCUCUAUAUAUAUAUAUAUAUAGUAGAACUACUAUGCUAUUGAAAUUAUAGAGAAUCUGAUACUUCCAACAUUUUGGCCAUUAAAUCAUUCCCAUUUUUAAUCUUUGGAUUAAUACUAUUAUCCCGUGAAAGCUAUUCAAUCCUAGAGAUACUACUUAAUCCUAGGGAGGACCGCAAUCAUCCCAACCGUACAAUUCUUGGUCCAAAGGAUAAAAUAUCAAAAUCAUCAAUUUUUUUAUACUUCCGAUUAUACAGUAACUCUACACGCAUGUCCGGAUAGAAAGUCAGAGCCAGAGCCAAUGGUUUGUUCACAAAAACAUCCAAAGAUAACGAAAUCACACAAAACAAAACAACGGGCGUGGAUUUAUCAAACUACUGAGGGUGGAAAUAUCAACACCCAAUUCCCCUCCUCAUCAUUUUCGUUAUAUAUACACCCUCUAUUCCCCUCGUCUCGUUAUCACCCCCUCUUUCUCUCUCUUAUUCAGGUGCUCUCAAUGUUCGAUUCUUUUCUUUUUAUAGAUCUCUAGGGUUAGGGUUUCGAUCUCUUCUCUUCUUCUCUAUUGAAUUUUAUCUUAUUUUUCGAGGAUUUUGCACAUCUUCGUCACGAUCGUGCUCAUCCGAUUCUCUCUCUGAUCCAAAAUCUAGAGAUCCAUGAUUCCACUUACAUUAUUAUUCCUCCUCCUUUAUUUUUUUUGAAAUUUAUUUUACUUUUCUGAGUUGGCUCCUGCAGCUUUUGCUACGGCACCACAAUCUUGUUCUUGAUGAUACUUUUCUCCUUUUGUGAUCUGAGUUUUUUUUUUUUUUUUUCCUUUUGUGGUUUAAUCGAUCUCAAAUUCGCGUCGUACGCGCUUUUUCCGUACAACGGUUUCGCAUAUUUUGAGGGGGCAAAUUGCGCCGGUUUUGAUGAUAAACUUGAAGGAUGUAUUGAUCAGUCGGUGUUCGCUGGUGUGGCAUCAUCAAGAUUCACAUAAAUCUUCGGGCGGCUUAAUUAUUAUUAUUAUUUUUCCUCUUGCUGCUUUAUAGAUUAUAGAUGAGAAUCUUGAUGAUGCUGCAUCGGCAAACACGCGACUAUAAUGUGUGCACGGAAAGAGAAGCUUUUGUUUCCGCUUCGCUCUAUCCAACUGAGCUAGCUCAAGGUAAUGUUGUGAGCUCUUUCUCAUAUGCUUAUUAUGUUAUUAUUUGCGUACACCAGUUGAGUAGUUUAUCUUGAUUUGAUCCAUACGAAUAAUAUUUCUUCAUACAUGUAUAUGAAAUCCGUAGUGCUUUUAGUGCAUAAAUGUAAACCUCUUUUAGAUUAAUUUUUCAUCUUUCAGUAGUUAAAUAUCUUACAUGCGGUUAAUUUUUUUAUUGCUGCAUUUGUUAGUCUAAUGAGAAGUUUCUGAUGAUAGUUUUUUUAUCAUUUUUCAGUAGUUAAGUGUACUUGUGCUUAAUCAUUUGGUGCAUCCUUAAUUUGGUAGUUAGGUUGGAUGCUAGUGAGUUGGGAAUCUAGGAAAAUAAUCAUCAAAGGAUGUGUGUAUGAUUCCAUGAGAAUAAGAUGCCUUGGAUACAACUAAUUAAGGAGCUCUCAAUAGCGUCCAUUUCAUAGUUUCAGUUGUCGCCUUUCGCCCCCUUGUUUUUGUUUUUGUUUUUGCUCUUUUUUAAGAGGCUCAUAAAGCUGAUGAAAUGGAAAGAUCGAGCGUAACAAAAAGGAUGAUGGGUUUUUCACUUAAUUUCGUGAAUAUUCUUCUGGAGAUUUAUGCAUUUGAUUGAUAGUAAAAUGCUUCAUAACCAUAGGGCUCUUUAUGAUUGUUGAGAUGAAUAUAUGAAAGAAUCAUCUUCAAAGAGAAAACGCUACUCUUACUCCUGUUUCUAACAUUCUAUUGUCUUCUUUUUAUCUCCUUUUAGCUUCUCAGAUCCUUUUUUUCUUUAUAUCACCGCUAUAAACUGUAUGCUAAAGUUCAUACUCUUGUGUUUCUCAUAAGUUUCUUUUUCAAGGUCAGUAUUUCGUGUUGUUUUAUCAGAACUUUUGAUUUGCUCUUUUCUCUUGAUGCUAGUUUUGAAUGUUGAUUGACAAUCUAUCAAUUAGUAUAGUCACUGUCCUAUUCAGAUAUCAUUUGUGAUAAUCACUUUUGCUGAAGAUAGUUUGGAUUUCAUUGAAGAGAUUAUUUUAAUGCUCAGAUCAAUUUAAUCAGUUUUGCUGACCUCUAAGCAUUUCUUAAUUUCUUCUGGCCAUGAAUACAAUAAAAACAAAUUAAUACUUCUCACACAGUAACUUCCCAGAAAAAGGGAGAGACUAGGAAGGUACUUAAUGUAAGUUAAGAAAGCGAUGCGACACUAAUUCAAAGAGAGAAAAAUUCUAGUAGUUGGAACAUUUAAUUAUUUAAUUCAAAAUCUUAGCUAUUUAUGAAAGUACAUGACCUCCUUUCACUUUAAAGGUAGUUAUUUGAAUUUGAAUGGAAAGACACUUCUCUUACCGACCGUCCCUAGCGCAAGCGGCAAAGAGCUUGGUGGUGGAUACCCGAGAUCCCAAGUUCGAAUCCUAGUUGAUUCACAUUUUCAGCUAAAUUUAUUUCUAAAUAAAAUAAACGAAGCGGGUAGCAUGCUUCCUAUCUCUCUAAAAAAAAACAACACUUCUCUUCAUAUUUGAAGAGACACUUUUUAAUCCUUUUUACUCUCUACAUAUAGGCUUUGGAUUAGGCAUGCGGGAUGAGGUGAGAGAGAUAGUGAUUACUAUCUAAUAUCUGAGUAAUAUUCCAUUAAUAUAUUGUUAAUAUUUCUAAUUUGUUUGAGUAAGAGUCAUGGCUGACUAGAGGUUGUCGGUUCAAAGCUCUCCGAUAAAUCUGCGCAUGGUUCGUCUGGCGAGGAUGGGUAUGAUUGUAUCUCAAGAGUAGCUAGCGACAAGUACUCUUGCGCACGAAAGCACUCAAAACUACUCUUAGAAAACCGUCUUAGACGUGCCUGUAUAAACCAGGAUCCUCAAUAUGUAUUAGGGCUGUCUCGAACUCAAUCUCUAUUUAUUAUUCUUGUUCAUGCUAAUUAUGUUGUUGUUUCUUGUUUACUGAUUAUAAUAAAUCCUACUUGUGCCUGUUUUGCAGAUUUAUUUCUAACUAGCACUAGUAAUAUUUUGAGGUAACAUUUUUUUACUGGAAAAUACUGUUGUAAUUUCUUUUGAUUUGGUGAAAAAUCUUCAAAGUUGGUUAUGUUUGCCAGUUUGCUUUAGUGAGUGACUUCGAGUUUGCCCUUGGAGGGAUAGAAAUAUAUAUGAGACAUAGAAUGCUCUUAAAUGGAGUGAUGAGCCAAAGUUGCAAGGUAGUGUAAGGUAUCAACACUCCAUUAAUCACUUAAGAGUGGACCAUGCAAAAACGUACAUCUUUGCUGUAAUUUGAAGGGGGACCAACUUCUCAGGACAUUUUUCUUUUUAUAGUGGCAGUGUCCACCUCUUGUACCAACUAGUAUAUUUUCAUCUGAACAUACAUUAACUUUUAGUUGCACUCUUGCGUUUUCUAGUAUUCACAACUUCUCACUCUAAAUAUAUAUUAAUAUUUGAAAUGAUAUUCAUUUAAAGAGUAUAUAUAUAUAUAUAUAGCAUGCAUAAUUAAUACUCCUCUACUUUGAACAUUUAAAUAUCUUCCCAACAUUAUAUUCCCUUUUACAUCAUGUAUAUGUCUGCCAUUAUCAGUUAAUUAAUAUAUAUCCUUUUGCCCCUUCGGCCCUUCCUUUAGAGCUUUUCUUUUUUGUGUGGAACUCUUGCCGGUGUAUAUAGUAUAGCCUUGUAUCCGUUUCAGAUAUGUAUCAGAUACCGAUACUUCUCUCAUUUAAUAUGUUCCAGAUACUUUUUACGAAUAUUAGUCACAGUCGUACGCUUUUCUGUUCCCACCAAUUAAUUUUGAAAUUUUUGAAAAUUGCUUUCCUAUUCGAAUCGUAUGGCAGAUAUACACGUUUUGAUAUAUCAUUUCGAGGCAGUAUAUUGCAAAAUCUUAUAUGUUUGGAAAAACAUUUGCAUGUCCAAGGAAAUAUUAUGUGGAGGCGAUCGAUAUCCACGCGUGCGUACGGGAGGAAUAGCUGCAAGAUAUGGGAGGCCUUCUGCGUUACAUUUCAUGCACAAUCAUUCCUAGAUAAGUUGAUUAGUACUCGAGCAUAAAUGAGUUUCAACAUGCAACACUCUUGGAUCUUGAGUUUAUAAUCAAUAAAAUUUCAGAUUUUAAACGGUUCGCAUUAAUUUGCCAUAGAUGCUCUAAUAUAUUUUGAAGAAUUGGACAUAUUAACAUGUCUAUAUCGCUCAUGUCAUAAUAUUUCAUGUUGUAUUCACAUUUUGUAUUGAAGUAACUGAAAGAGAUGUAUUGUUACCCAUGAAACCAACUAAUGGCUUCUUCCUUUUGAACAUCUGCAUCAUGUAAAUUAUUAUGUGAUUUUCAAAAAGAAACGAAUGCACAUAUGAUUUCUUUAUUAUUAUUAUUAUUAUUCUUAUUAUUAUUAUUAUCAUCUUUGGCAAAAAUGUAAAGACCCACCCCAUAAAUUAUAGCCCAUACGUACAUUUCAAAAUAGACCUUUCAACGAUUAUGCUUUUUUGAUUGGCGACUUCUCAACUCUUUCGUUGCGAUUUGCGUCAUCUGAAUACUUUCUUUUCGAGUGAAGGAUUUGAAAAUUUUUCUAACUGUUAGGUACUAAUUCAGAAUUAAUAACCAGCACACAUUUUAAACUUCUUUACUACUACUAUUAUUUUUUUUAUUAUUAUUUUCUCUCUUUUUUUUUUUUUUGAUAAAAAGGUAGCGGACUACCUGCUUCAUUCAUUGGGUCAAACGAACUAGGCUUACAAAGUGGAAGCAGCCAGGGCCUCCGAUAGGCAAAAGGUAAGCAGAAAGUAAAGAAAGUAAAUAGAUAGGGAAAAAACAAAAAGCAAGACAAGACGGGCAUAAAUAGUCUUAGAGGGCGCCGGAUAGCUUGUUCCACGCAGUGAUUAGACGUUCGACCCCUUCCAACAAGAGGGAAGGGACUGGUGAAAUGUCGUUGAAGAUAAAGUUGUUCCGUGCGUUCCAGACCACCCACCAGGUAGCAGUCAGGUUGAUUGAGCAUUUAAUACUCCUCUCGACCUCGCCAAGACAGUUGGCCAUCUUCCAAAGACCAAUAACCCCCUCCGUGGACUCUGAAAAGGUCAAUCAUUCCGCACUGAGGAGAAGGUAUUUUACAAAGACGCAGUGACCAAAGAGGUGAUCACAGGUUUCCAUGUUGAGGGCGCAGAAAAUACACUGCUGGUCCACCGUUAAGCCGCGUUUAUGCAGCCGAUCUAUGGCUGGAAGUCUCUUGCGUAGUAGCAGCCAUAUAAAAACUUUGAUUUUAACAGGAAUACACAUUCUCCAAAUGAGGUGACUUGUAAUGUGCUGCUUCAUAUAUACAUAUACACAUACAUACUGCAGCAGUGGAAGUGGGGCUACAGGGGCUACGGAGAUAACCAAACCAUGUGAUCACUUGACUCACUUAUGCCCCCACAGGAGAUCACGAGAUGAUACCAUGCAGGUACGUGUGCCAAGAUCUGUAGUAAUGCUGUAUAUGUACCAUCCAUAUAUACACUUUUGCUUCUAUAUAUAGCUAUUGGAGAUGUGUUUGCUCAGUACAAAGCUAAUAGGGAAGUUAUAAGCUUAGUUACGCUUUGAAUUUUAUGCGCGUUUUCACAUUCUAUGUUGUUUUUAUUUCUUAACUUCAUAUUAUGCUUUAGAUUUUAUGGUAAUUUCUGCACUUUAUUAGUUGAUCAUAAAAUUUCACAUAAGCAGAGACCGUCCCUAUCCCAAGUUGCUUUAUAUUUUCAGCUAAGUUCAUUUCUCUUUAAAAAAAAAAAAAACACAAAGCGGGUAGCGUCUACCUUUCUCUCCGAAGAAAAAAUUAAAUUCAUAUAGGUCCUGUAUGGAUGGAUGAACAUUUUAUUUUAUAUAAUUUUUGAUUUACCAAAACAACUUAAUUGUAAUAUAUGAUUGAUGAGUGUGAUCAAAUAAAUGCGUAAAAUAAUAUAUCAAACUAUUCAGCCUUCCAAGUCAUUUUAUCGAAUUAAGAUAAAUCACCUUAUAGGUAAAAUAUAUGCCCGAAUGCUUGCAUUAAAGAUCACCUGUAUAACCAGUGUACAACCAAGUUUUCUCAGGAUUAGUGAUUUUUCAUGGAUUUCCACCACCAUUGCUUAGAGCAACUGCAAUCAUCCAGGUAGGCGGUCAAUUUGAAUUUGAAUUCGACUCCUUUGCGCGGUAAUUAUCAUAUGCAUGUGUUGUGACCUACAGACAUCCUUGGGGAAAAAUAUUAUGAAUUUUCUAAGAUAGUCCCCCAUUAAAUAUCAUGUAUACUGAGGAUGAGAUUUCUGCAGAAAAAAAUCCUACGCCAUAGACAUGUUUCUUUUCACUUUAAUGCUUCUUCAAUAGUACUAACUAUUGUAAACUUAUUUAAUUUUCUGAAAUCUCCUUUGAGGUACGACAAUCGGGGAUUUGAACGACUGCGAACCACCGUGAUGCAACAUACCUUGCACUUCUUUGAGCAUUCUUUGUUCUUAGUUACUUGGAUUAAAAGUUUGAAAUGAAAACAGUGAGAAAUUUGGGGCUGUAAUUUGGCACCAGCAAAGAUGUAAUCAAUCAGACACUACUAACUAAUACACACACAAAGGUAGGGCUCCAUGAGAAAGUUGUCAUUAAUUACAAAUCUGAAAUAAAAAUAAAUUUACCAUAAACAAGAAUAGCAAAUUAAAGAUUAUCAAGAGUCAAACACGCGGUUCUAAAGCAAAUAAAAUCAACUCUGCAAAAUAACAUGCUCAUUUCUUCGACUAUCGGAGCAGGCACGGAGUCAUGCGUAGUGAUAAUUUGCCGAUAGAUGCCUUCUAGAUCAUUCAACCAUUCGCAUUCGCAUUCGCAGCCAAAUCUGAAAAUUGGCGUAUGCGACAAUCAGGCAUGAGUCUGAAUAAGAUUAUUCAUAAGAUUAUUCAACACCACCUCGUUCACGAGAAACAGAUCGAUAAACCAAUGCGGCUAUCAAGCAAAUAACAAAAGCAAAAAAAAAAAAUCCAAACUUUGAAUAAGUUUACCAGCCAAUUCGCCCAGAUCCUCCGCAAGUACUGCAAGACCGAGCUGAAGAGCAUUUGGAGCAGUAGGUCCAUUUCUUCGGAAGCCUAAAGAAACAUAUUUAUGUAUAAAUUAACAAGGAGUUGUAAUGGCCGAAAAUUGUAAAGAAAAAAAAAAAAAAAACAACUGAUCUUCAACGUCCAAACUAGCUUUGAAAAUGGUAGGCAUACCCAGCUGUGUACCGAGUGGCCAUACUCUUUGCAGCCAUUCUCGCUUUCUCCGCGCUCUCGUCCGAGAUUUUCUUGAGUAUAAAUCCCUCCCCAUUACAUUCGGCACAGAUACCGGAACCGCCACAAUCCUCACAAACUUUCAAAGAGCUCUGCCUACUUCAAACUAAUAUUUAGAGAGUGAAUAGAAAAAGAAAACAAACAUGGUAUAGGUGAUUUUGAAUAGCAAAUAAAGAACAUUACAGUGGCGGUUUGAGAAGCUUUUAUGUUCCUCGCAAGGAGAGUUGCCGCAGUGCCGACAGCCACCGACGCAAUAAGCACUGAUGCAGCAGUUUCAGGCAAAGCGGACGAUAAAAAGCACUUCGUUUGCCGCCUUUUACGUGAAUUGGAAUGUAGUAGCGAGGAGCGAAAGUAAAGGUCAUUUGCGCGCUGGACCUUGUAACUUGGUACUGUAACGACAUUGAGAGAUCAAUAUUUUUUUUUUGAGAGAAGGUAGCAUGCUACCGCUUCAUUCAUAAAGAGUUUGAACUUAGCAAUUGUGGGAAGCAACUAGGCUUCCACUGAACCGAACCGAAAAGCGAAAAAAUAAAAAAUAAAAAAUCUAGGUGCAAUAGGAGUCCCACAGUCCGUAGAGAGAUCGUAUAUCUGCCAACACCUGUCUCGCCGUGAGCUUAUUGUUUUCAAAAAUUGCCGCUAUGCCAGGAUGGCUCAAAUAGGCGAAUAUAUGAUAUGAUUUCAUUUCAAAGUAAGAAACUAACUUCCGAAGUGUUACUAAUUCUGAUAUAAAAAUCAGCGUAUGAAAAAUGAGAUGAGAAAUGGAGUUAUGCCCCAAAUUAGUCGGUUCUGCUAUAUGAAUUGUCAGACACACUAGUGUAUAGAAAGAGAAGAGAGCUCUUUCUAUAGGAAAUGGCUCCGCAUAGGAUUCAGCAAAUUUGUGCGUUGAUUGUAUUACGACAUUAAAAAAUAAAACUCCUGCGUAGUGAUCGCAAAAUAAAAGUUUCCUCCUGCAUAACAUAACAUAUAUAUAUACGUAGUUGAUUGUAUUGCUGUUUUAACAAUUUUUGUUCAAUUUCCAAUCGAAUUUGCACAAAAUAAACAGAAAAUACGGGAAAUUCCGAGAACACUCCUUCGUUGCUUCGUUCUCAAUGCGUGGAUUACAGAGCACAAGAUAACGAAGAAAGAGGUAAUCGAGAUCAUUCGCAGAGGCCAAAGAGGGAUUAAACGCAGAGAUCGACAAAAGGGAUAAGUAGUAAAAUUGGGGAAGUAGGGUUUUGGCUUACCAUCUUUUGAGAACGAGGGAGACGCUUGGGGGGCUAAGGGUGCAAGCUCCAUCUCUCAAAAUCUUUUAUAAGGAUCGUCUCUUUGCUUACACGAGACUAGUUUAAGUACUUUUGGCACUCCCUUAUCUUUUUAGAUAGCGGUCGAUGCAAGGGGCAAAAUCGUCAAUUCACGGUUAUUCACCUUGGAACUGGACUCGACAUCUUGAGGCGUGUCGCCGCCGAUUUUAAUUUAGAUUCGGCAAACGGCAACGUAACGGCGCUGACUUCAGCUCUUGCUUGGCGCACAUUCUUUUUUUUUUUUUUAGAUCCGUUUUUCUGGGGUAGGACCCCUAUUGCCUUAUUAACUCAGCGCGUAGGACAUGAGCUCAAAUUUAGGUUUACGCCAGACUCAAAUUUCCGACCUCGGAUCCUGAUCGGCAACUAACCACUAGUUUGGUUAUUGUUCGUACAUCUACCUAUAUAAAGUUUUUGUAAUAAUCCACUGCAAUAACCAAACGAGGCUAGAGCACAGAUCAAAUAGAAAAUUAAUUCAUCAUAAAUAACAUUAAAAGCUGAAAAAAUGGAAAAUAAUUAUAAACUUUGUCUAUGGUAUAAAUUGAAACAGCGCAAUCAACCCAAAAGAGAUCAACUGUUUCUUCCAGCACAAUAAAUUAAGCGGAAGCAUCCCUACUAGCAAAGAAAAAAAUAUCAAUAGUUUCAAAUCAUUUCGAUUAUCAUAAAUUAACUGUAUAGAUCGUCGUCAUCGGCAGCGGCACCGGAAGCACCAAACGGGUCGGCACCGGCGGCUCCGGCCGCAGCACCUGUCUCGGACCGAUCAAAGCGGAACUCGCUACCAAACCCCCUCGACUGCUGCAGAGUCUGCGCAAACGCCUGGUACUUGCGGAUGUCGGCGUCGCUCACGCUCCUGCGCGCAAACUUCAUCGACUCUUCGAAGUGGACGGCUUUGAUCUCCGCCACCUCGUCGGCAACAUCCUCCUCCAUUGCUUCCGGGUUCUCGCUCUUUCUCCUCUCCCUUUCUAUGUCCUGUUGGACACACGGGCAAAUAUUAGGUAUUGGUUGAUCAAAAAUAAUAGUUUCGAGCAUGCAGAACAAUAGGAACCUAAAGAAUACCUUUUCGAUGUUUUCCCUUAUAGCAUACUUGCACGCGCGUUGGCAAAUUUCAGUAAUAUCCGCACCACUAAAUCCCUGGGUGUACUUAGCAAGAGCGCUGAGAUCGACGUCUUUAGCAACAGGGGACUUCCUGAGGCAAGCUUUGAAUAUCUGGUAUCGAGAAGCCUCGUCGGGAAGAGGAAUAUAGAUCAGCUGGUCAAGUCGGCCGGGCCUGAGAAGAGCCGGAUCAAUGAUGUCGGGUCUAUUAGUAGCUCCGAUAAUGAACACGGUUUUCUUUGCGUUCAUGCCGUCCAUCUCUGUCAGGAGCUGGUUGAGAACUCUAUCGGCAGCACCGCCGGCAUCUCCAACGCUGCUUCCUCUCUGCAUUCACAAGGACAUAAUUAGAACCAAAAAAAAAAAAGAGAGGUGAAAGUACACUUUUUCAAAAGACACCUUGUGUUGGGGAGUCAGCCAAAUUCAUGGGGUAGUUGGUUUUGUAUUACAUAAAAGCUACUAAAGAGGGUCAUGUUUUUUGUAACUACAAGGGAAUAUUUGUAAUGCGGGUUGUGAAGGACAGAGACGAAAGUUCAGAUUUUGCAGGGAUAGUACUUGAAAAGUAGGCAAACCUGAGUUGCAAUCGAAUCAAGCUCAUCAAAGAAGAGGACACAGGGUGCAGAUUGGCGAGCCUUGUCAAAAAUUUCACGAACAUUUGCCUCACUCUCACCAAACCACAUAGUGAGCAGCUCGGGACCCUUCACGCUGAUAAAGUUCGCUUGACACUCGUUUGCAAUAGCCUUGGCCAGUAAAGUUUUGCCACAACCUGGUGGCCCAUAGAAAAGUACUCCCUUCGAAGGUGACAUACCAAACUUCUCGAACUUCUCAGGAUGCUCGACUGGAUAUUGGACAGUCUGAGAGGAAACAUUGCAAUAUAGAGUUAGUUAAUAGUCGAAACUGGCACUACAACAGAGAAUUAAGAACGUGGUAUGGUAUGGGAACUCUACCUCUUGCAGUUCCCUCUUGACAUUCUCAAGGCCACCAAUAUCAUCCCAACUGACAUUAGGCACUUCAACAACCUAUAUUCAAGAACACAAGUUAGAUUGAUUACACACCAUAGAUAAAUGACCUUCUAAGAGCAAAGAAUUUUCGUUUUAUGCCGGACAAGGGGGUUAAAGUAGCUUACAGUUUCACGGAGAGCGGAGGGAUUGCUGGAUCCAAGAGCGGUCUUGAAAUGAUCAUCAGUAACAGCCAUUGAAUUCAAUAUCUCAGCGUCAAUAGAUUCAUCUUCCAAGUCAAUUAUGUCCAUCUUCUCCCGAAUGCACUGAAGAGCUGCUUCAGUGCACAAUGCAGCCAAAUCAGCACCAACAUAUCCAUGGGUGUCCUUGGAAAUUCUCUCCAAAUCAACCUGCGUCCAUAUAAUGAAGUUAGCCAUUUCUAGUGUUCAGAAAGAAGGAAAAAAGAUUUUUUUUUAAAAAAAGAAAAUAAGAAGGAUUACAUCUUCCGCUAGCUUCAUGUUCUUUGUGUGGAUCCGAAGAACUUCAAGGCGCCCAACUUCAUCAGGCACUCCAAUAUCAAUUUCCCUAUCAAACCUUCCAAACCUUCUCAGAGCAGGGUCAAUACUGUUAGGCCUGUUAGUAGCGCCGAUAACAAUGACAUGCGCUCGUGCUUUCAAGCCAUCCAUCAAAGUCAACAACUGAGAAACAAUACGCCGUUCAACUUCUCCAUGAGUUUUCUCUCUCUUAGGAGCAAUGGAGUCUAUCUCAUCGAUAAAAAUAAUAGACGGAGCAUUCUUUUCUGCUUCCUCGAAAGCUUUUCUAAGAUUGCUUUCACUCUCCCCAGCUAAUUUUGACAUGAUCUCUGGACCAUUAAUGCAGAAGAAGAAAGCACCAGUUUCAUUAGCUACAGCUCGAGCAAUUAAAGUCUUCCCAGAACCAGGAGGGCCAUAUAAAAGAAUUCCCUUCGGUGGCUUCACGCCGAUCGAUUUGAACAGUUGGGGGUGCCUGAGUGGGAGUUCGACUAACUCACGAAUCUGAGCCAUUUGCUUGCGCAUGCCUCCAACAUCAUCAUAGCCCACCUCAUCGAGCCUCUCUUCAUCUUCUCUUUUUAUGGGUUCACCCUCACAGAAGAUCUCGGUGUCAGGUGCCACGACACAAUACUCAGCAGGAUCUGUCUCAAUCACCUUGAAUUCAACACUUCGCAUCCCUCCUCUGACAAGGAAGAGAUCGCCUCUCCGAACAGGACGGUAGGCCUCGAGGAAAUAUGCUACAAAAUAUAUAGGAAAUUAAGUUCAUGCUCUAUAAUUUUUUUUUCAUAAGCAAUAACCCUUUCUACAUGCUGUAAUGGAAAUAAAUAAAACUAUCUCAUAAGCAUAAAGCACAAUCAGUAGUGUCAUAAAAUUUUCCCUGAUUUUGUGAUAUAUUGCAGUGAUUUGAACUUUUUGCUAUUAGGUCACAUGCAACUAUCAAGUAAUUAUCACAUCAUUUAUCGCAGUAAACUAAUUCAGGACUUCUAUAUGAUGCAAAAGUAUUGACCUAGCUGCUUCUAUCACUGUCUCCAUACCCAAUUCUUUCUUAUUUCCAAAAGGUAAAACUCAUUUUUCAAAUUUAAAUCACAAAGCAUAAAUAAAAUGUUGCACUGUCCGCCUUUUUUCAGGAGAUCUAUCAAAUUUCCAGUAAUGGGCGGGUCAAAUAAACAAAAGAGUGUAUCAAUCAUGAUCAUGAGAACAAGCACAGUGAAAUUACGGGAAACGCCAAGUUUCUCAUUCCUUCCGUAUUGUUUCUGCACGCUGCCAACAUAAGGCUCACCACCAUCAACUAAAUGUCAAAGAAUAUUCCAUUGCGAACAUUAGAUAGCAGAAUAUCUCCUGUCAAUCUGUACUAGGAAGAGCAGCAUCAACACAGACUAGAGUGACCCAGCUUUCAACAGUAAGAGGUGAUAUCUUUCUAUUUUACAGAAAGCAUAUAAAAAUCACAAUAUCAUACAUAUCUUAGAUCAAGUCAAUGCAACUAGAAACUACUAUAUUAAACAAGACGUCACCAUCCUCCGGAUAUGUCUCUCAACAAACAGAACCAAGAUAAUAGAGUAAAAAGAUAUAUGAAAAAAAAACAUAAACUCCAAGAAUAGCAGUUUAAGCAGCGAACAUAACUUUAUGUUGACCAACUUGCACCCUGAGAAAGUAAAUUUAGACAACCAAAACACGAAACACGCUAGCUGAUUAUCAAUUCAAAUAGGAAUACAUAUGUGCAUGAGAUAGAGAAAGCAACUAGAGGAAAAAUUAAAAAAAAAACACAAGAGAGCAAACUUACGCUUCAGAUAUGCAUCAAAUAAGUUUCCUGUGAUGCCUUCGAUGGUAUCAUCAAUAGGAAGUAUGUGGACGCGCUUUCCGUACUUAACAUCCUGGCACUGGUGGACAGACACCACAUCCCCAAGCCUCACCCUCAGGUUCGAUCUGACAACCUUAUUCAUCCUUAUCUUCGGCUCGUCGCAUGUGUCAUCAGCGAGCGCAAUGCAGAUAGUAUCUCUCCUUUUCUUGCCCUGUAAUCAUCAUCAACUCGAAAUUAAGAGAUCCUACUCGCAGAUAGAUUCAACAAAAGCAAGCAACAACAUCGCUCAGAUCAAAUUAUCUCCCCUAAAUUACAUGCAUACGCCACUAAAACUGCUUAAUAUAGCUAUUACAGACACCAAAUUAAAAAAUCCUAUCUUCGAUCAAGCCUCGGCUUAAGAUACUAGAUCUAAACUCCCAGUAUUAAACCUUACACCGGAUCAAAACAUAGAGGAGGAACAUCAAACUCACCUUGAUGAGUAUCGUAUCGCCGCGGAAAAGCUGGAGCUUCUCCAUGGUCUCCGGAUUCAUCGAAACGGCGGAGUUGUCGUCGUUCGUCGCCUCAUCCACGACCAACCUAUUCGCCGCCUUCUUGCGCUCCAGGAUCGCCGUGCUAUAAUCUCUCUUCGUACCCCUGCUGCGAGAUUUUUUCCGAUCAAAAAUAGAUCAGCAUUAGAACCCUAACCCUAAAUCCCCACUCGAUCAACACACAAUUCAGUAGAAAGCAGGGGAAACUUACGGAUCGGAGGAGGAAGAAGCCUCAUCCUUGUUCGCCAUCGCUGAUGAGCACGGGAGCUGAGGAGAGAACGGGAUCGAAGAGGAAGGAGACGAAGAGCUUUGUGAGAGAUCGACGGGGAGGAUGAGGGUAUUUAUAGGCGCAAUGCUCUGUUACUUCAGGCUCGGGUUUAGCAUUCUUAUGUAAUACACACGAGUAUUCUUCUUCCCAAAGAAAGGGGCUCCGCGAAUCUCGGCCGUUGGAUGGGGAUCGUAGGAUUGUGGGGCUCCUGAUCUACGUGGCCCCGUUCUUUUUGAUCGGUGCUUACGUCAUGCUCCAACUGGGUUGUACCCGGAUUAGACCAAAUGGACUCGGUCGUGUCCGAGUCUAGCUCGAGUCCUAGACUCCUAGCCCCCUUAAUAAUAAUAGAUUAUCUAAAAUCCAAUAUAUUAACGACAGUACGAUUAGGACAAUAAAAUUUAAAUAUUAUAGGAUAGUUAAUAUGACAAUUUUAAAUAUGAUUGAUUUGGGAAUUAUAUUAUAUUAUAAUAAUUCUACUUAAACUUAGAAAAAUUAUGCAUCAGAAACAAUAUUUUAGCUAACCAAUAUCAUUGUAAAAACAUUAAAUUUAGUUCUUAUUGCAUUACCUAAAUAUAUCUACUUUGUACGUAGGUCAAAGUUGGUGGAAAAUUACAAUUGAAAUAUCCUUUUCAGGUACAUUAGUAAAAGAAGAAAUAGUUGCAGCAUCUUACAUUGGAUAUAGGAUAUAGGGCUGUGAUUUGAGAUUAGUGGAUAAUAAGUUAUGACAAAUAUGAGACAGAUUAAUUAAUAUAUAUCCAUUUAAUAAUUAUUCCACAUCAAGUAAAACAUUAAUAUCCCCAUAACUUAAAAAUUACUAAGUAUGUAUAAAUAAGUUAUUUUAUUUUUGGGUCAAUUCAAAAACUUAAGUUGUAGGUGAAAAAAUUUCUGCCAUAAUGCCGUUAUCUAUAAAUCAAGAAAUUUUUUUUUGAAACUAAUAAAGAUAAAUUAAGAAAAAAAAAUCGUGAUGGAUUAUUUUUGUCCGUAGGAUAUUCCGAGGGACAUUUGGAUCCAUACUAUCUACUCUAGCGUGCGCGGCCGGGUUGGUCCACGGGUUGAUGAGCCGACGCGGUAGUUACACCAAGCACGAAGAAAACGUCUGGUGAACCUUGUCCGCCACGUCAGCCGUGCACCUAUCCUCAUUUUUGUACAAUGUAGUAUGGGCAAUUGGGAAACAAUUCCGUAUUGCAGUUGAAACAUAUCUCUAUAUUUGACAAAGCCCUUGGUAGUUCAUUUUAUAUCACUUAUUAAUGAUCACCGAAGAUGUUAAUAAUAUACUUUAUUAUAUCGGAUGUUAUUAUAACUUUAUUUAAAAUUUCUCUAACAACUCUCAAAAUAUCUAAAAAUUAUGUAUAUAUAUCCAAUUUCUAAAGUUAACUUUAUUUUUGCAAUAUAUCAAUAUCUCAAUAAGUUUGCAAUUUUUAUUUAUAUAAAAAUAAUUUCAAAAAAAUAUAAUUUAAUAAAUAAUAUGAAUUUAAAUAAAAGGCUUAUUACUAUUGUUCAGAAGACUUAAUAGAUAUUUUUUUAAAAAUUAUGGGAUAUGAAAUUAAAUUAUGCUUCAAGUAAAUAUUGUGCGUGACAUAUUUAGAAAUAAAAAAAAGAGAGAGCUUGGAUGAGUGACGAGGUGGACCGGGUCUGCUUAACAAUCUCCCCAAGGCACGACCGAGCCAACCCCAGACCGGUCCAAGUCCAAAUGACGCGCUCUAGUCCGAACCGGGCGCCAUUUUUAAUCCCGAACGAAACCCAAAUCUAUAUAUCGCAUGGGCUACUCACAUCCACUGCGUUUUCGUGCACCUCCCGCCAUGGCCGGUGCACUCCUCGAGCACGUCAAUGGCGAGAGGGCCGUGGUCCUCGUCUUCGUCUCCCUCGUCGCCUUCUCCGUCCCCCUCUCCCUCUUCCUCGAGGCCUUCGCCCUCUCCCUCCUCACCGUCUCCGCCCUCCUCGUCGAGAUCUCCGCCGAGAGCUCCGCCGCUGCCCCCCUCCUCCUCCGCCGCUUCAGGACCAGGUAUCGCCCUAUCGCGAUCGAUGUUGAGGGUUUCGUGCCCUACUUGCGUUUUAGAUCGAUUCCUCGCGCGCGUAUGAGUUCGAUCGGGUGCUUAACGUAGUUUGUUUGCGAAUUGGGGUAUUAGGUUUGCAUCCUUAAGAUUUGCCUCAUCUUUAUAAGCUAGUUUCCAGUAGAUUUAGGAGGUUUUUUGGUUCUACUUCAAGUGAAUAUCUGUAUUAGAAGCUGUUUACACUGUGAUUUUGGAAAUGGAGUUUGAAAUAAGAUCUAUUGUGAAGAGGACACACAGUGGGAUAAAUACUGAGAAGGACUAACUAAGAAAAGGAAUAGAUGCAUCUUAAUUUAAUUGUCUUUUUGAAGUACGUGCCACGAGGCUCUUAUUUGAGUUGUAGUUGCGAAUUGAGCUGAAUCCAUGUGAAUUUUUCAUUAUGCUAUCACUGUGGGCUUACAUUGUGAAGUUUGUCUAUUGCGAAAUUCAUCUCAUAUCUGUUGAUUUUGUGGAGAGAAAUUCCAGGAACUUGACUGAUCUUAGUUACGCAAUUUGCUAAUUCUUAUGUUAUCUUCAUGUUUUGCACCGUGCUUUUGUGCUAUGUGAUACUUUAUGAUUAUUAGAGAAUUCAUUUUCUCUUGUAACUAAUUCAUGCAUCUAUUCUAGACCUGGCGCUUCAUCUGGGAUACUUCUUGGUGCGGUUACACUGCCCACUGUCAUGCUUUCACGGUUGAUUCAACUCUCAAGAGCACUACCAAGGCACGAUAAUGGAAUUGAAGGUAGAUUUUCUGAUAUUUUAUCUCAUUAUUCAUAGGCUUUACCCUUAUGAUUCAUAGUGUGCAGUUCAUGUAAAGCUGUUAUUUAAGAUCACUUAGUCUACAUUUUUUUAGUACGACUGUUUUCCUAAUUUGCAUUAUAGGAUAUUGGGUUUUAGCUUGCAGCCACUUUUCUUUAAAUAGAGUUCCAAUAAUUGUUUUAGCUAUACUGUAUAAAGUAUAAACUUGUGAGUUCAUUAGAAAUGUAUAUUUAUAUAUUUUUGGGUUCUUGUAAGUUAAAAUUUACUUGUAACAACUAGUUGUUCCUUCUUUUAAAAGAAAAUUGAAAUUUGUUUGGUGUGCGAAUAUGGUCAGUCAUAUAUUUUUAUAUUUGAACUCUACUUAUUGCUUACUUUCCUGUUUGCACUUUCGUAGAAAUAAAUUAAUGUUGUCAUUAUUUGUAUAAUCACUGUAAAUUAAUGCCUCUCUCCUAAUUUACUUCAAGUUUCAUCUUCACUACCCUGCUUCUAUGUCUUAUUGUUAGUCUCAUCUCUUUGGACAGAACUUUCGUAUUUGGGUAUGCAAUAUUGGAAUGUGUCUACUAGUUGCUUCGCCGUGCUAAUUUUCCUCCGUUUUCUUCUACAACAUUCUCCCACCAAUGCAAGUUCUUUUUGUCUGCGAGGCUGUCAAGCUUUAGUAUAUAGCUCUGUUUCAGCGGUUCCAUAUUUGGUUACAUGCUAUCUUGCAAUGAAAUCAAAUGAAAGUAAGUUGCAGAUACUCUUAUAUUGUGCUGACUUGUUUGGAUAAUAACUAUUUACCGCUGUACUUAUUAAAGAGUUACUAAAUAUCUUUUUCUGUAAUUUUGCAGAUUGGAUUCUGAGAAAUAAUAUGUUGUGCUUACUUUGCUAUGGAAUAGCUACUGUGAUGUUUAUACAACAUAUUCUUCGCACAUUUCCUUCAUGUGCAUCAUUUGGUUUGUAUCAAUCUCUACUUUCAAAAUGUUUUUGGGUAUCUUAACACGCAUAUGUCACUUCUUUUCCAUUGACUUUUACUGAAAUGGUGUAAUUUUUUUGGUAGUGAUGUUUCUUCUACUAGUUUAGAACUCUCACCUUGCAAACCAAUAUGUUACCUAUAUAGGUUCAUGUUCAAUAUAAAUGUACAACAGACAUUUCUAGCAAGUUGCUUAGUAGUCUCACUCCACAAAACCUUCAUAUUCAGACAAAUUUUUUUUUUAUAUUUAUUGAUCAUGUUUGCAUUUUUCGAAACAAUUGAAUUCAAAGACCUGUCCAAUUAGGAUUAGGCAGUAUGUUUGCACAUUUAAAGCCAGCAGCAUCUCCCUCUCUCUCUCCCUCUCUGGUUAAUAAUGUUCACAAUGCAACUUUUAUGAACUGCGCAGAUAUUUAAAGUAAGUAUCAUUAAAAUAUGAUUUAGACAAGAAAUUUUUUGCAUCUCUUCAUGGAAUAAGCUACAAGUGGAACUGUGGAAAGACAAGUAAUUCAGUUAGCAUGUUUGUAUACUUGAGAUAACUCUUAAUAUCCUGCAAUUUGUGUAGUUAUUGAUUAUAGAUUCUGAAUUGCAAGCAAUUAUGUAAAUGUCCAUGUCUUAUUUCAUUUUCUUAUACUCUUUGCGCGAUACAAUGAAUACAUUUUAUCAUGUUCUUUUUCUUUUUUUUUUUCCUGUUGCAGUACCUGCUAUGUUCCCAGACUAUUGAAUCUCUUUUUUUGUAAUGUUAGGGGAAGCACUUCUUGUAUCAAGUGGUCUGGUUCUUUACUUUGGUGAUAUGUUGGCUCGUACUAUUUCAAAGGUCAAUAUGGUUUCUUCAUAUAUGACUAUUUAGGGAUUUAAAGAAAUUUAUUAGAAGCAAUAAUAUGUGUGAAUAAUUUGACAGAUGGAUUUCCUCUUAUUAUCAUCAAAAAGAAAUGUUCACGUGAAUGGAGCUCGAGGUGAAAUAGCAACAGUUAUUCAGGUAAGUUCGUUUUGCCUAUCUGUAUGAGCUUUAUCAAUGGAUUGUUGAGUUUAUGUUCUUUGCAGGGAGUGCUGCUUGGCCUUUUUCUUGUUCCAGUGUUUUACAAAAGUAUACUUAGAAUUUGGCUUUAUUUUACGACUUUGGGCAAGCAAAGAAGUCAAGAAGUUGAAGAAAGGUCUAACAGAGGAAUUGGAAGUGCUAUUGUAUUUUAUGCUUCACUUUUGGUGAUGUUGGCAAUAUUAGUUCCGGCAUGGAUGUACUUCGUUCAGGAUUUUCAUAUGCAUCCGCUUCUAUGGUAAGUAUCCUUGAAACUUCUUAUAGUAUUGACAUGAUUUUUUUUCCCUCAAAUUAAGACCAGGAAUAAGUAAAACGUGUGCUUUCUAGUUGUAUAUUGGUGGCAUUUUUUUUCUUUAAGAUAAAGUAAAAUUCCUCUACUCGCAAAUUUGCCAUGUAGUAACCUUGUACCAUCGAGUCAAUUAAUUGAGCGCUGUUUUUCAUCAAUACAUUCUAUUACUGUGUUUUAUUUGAGUACUUCAUCUAUCAACAUAACUUAGCAUGGCAAUGAAAUUCUCAAACUUGUUUUGCUUUUAAAUUUCUUAUUGUUUAGUUUUAAUCUUACAUUAUACUCCUUUGUGUCUAAUUCUUGUUAUAAUUUUAAUUAUAUGAUGUGGAUUUUCACAGGGUACUCAAUUUUGUAGUCACUGAUCCUCUCAAACGAAUUGCGCUAUGUAUGUACUGGGUGUCUGUGAUCUGUGUAUCUGUUUUGAGGUUCUAUGAUAUAUCAAAAAAUAGCAAGACUGAGAGGAUUCUUCUUCGGAAGUACUACCAUCUAGUUGCAGUUCUAAUGUUUGUUCCAGCUCUUUUAUAUCAGGUAAUUUUUAAUUAAUUAAAUUGACGUUUCACAGGACUCCAAAAGCUCUUAAGGGCUAAUUUGUUUUUCUCUUUGCAGCCAGCUUUUUUGGACCUGGCUUUUGGUGCAGCUUUGGCAGUUUUCUUAGUUUUGGAAAUGAUCCGAGUAAGUUUUUACUGAGAUAUUGAUGACUUUUUUAAAGUUUUAGCAUCACACAUAUUUAUAGUCAUCUUAUUGUGCUGUUUAUAUUGGGCUGUGAUAACUACCAUACCUACAUCCGAUAUAUAAAUGCAUUAAUGCUCUGAUGGGGCUUGCCCUGUUAGUUGUAUAAAGCCUUAGGCGCAUAAAGUUGGAGACCAGGAAUAAUGAUUUCUCAUUUCUCAUACGAUCAGAAAGUUUUCCUGAUACUUCACUUCUUUCUUGUGUAUCAUUAGUAUAUUGAUACAGUCAGAUUCAGAGUGCACGUAUAGACUUUUCUGAAGUUAGAUAGCUGAAUGACUAUCUAAUCUAAGGCGUUCUCUCCGCAGCUUGCUUUUACUCUGCCUUCUAUGAUUCUUUAUGCUGAUACAUAAUCAAUUGUGCCAAAUUUUUUAAGUCAAAUAUCUGUCAAAACUUUAGCCAGCUUCUUGGAAUUUGAUGGCUUGAAUUUGUUCAAUUAAGCAAGCUAGUUGACAAGUCACAUGUCAUUGAGUGGAUUGAGUGGUUUAAGUUAAUUAGGAAGAAAUGGUUUAUAAUAGAUAACAGUUCACUGUACGUUUUUGGUGUGCGAAUAUUACGAGUACUUUUGCAUGUGCCCUUCAUUCUUCCAUUACAUUUUGGUUCUCUUCUUCUUAUUGCCAGUUAUGAAAAAUUACAGAAGUUGGCAGCUUAUAUUGUUUAGGUAAUGUUGAAAAAGACUUAUGCUCAUAAAACUCUGACCAUGUCGUCAGGUUUGGAAAAUAUGGCCUCUAGGGAACCUUAUACAUCAAUUCAUGAAUGCCUUCACAGAUCAUCGUGAUUCAGAGAUUCUUAUUGUCAGGCAUGAGUGCAUGCUCUUCCUACUCUUGACAAAGUUGUUGCCUUUCUGUUUUAUAUUUUUUUGCACUGACACCCCUUGUUUUUUCUGUUUGACUUUUUUUUUCUCUUUCGCUUUUUCAGUCAUUUUUCCCUCUUACUAGGUUGUGCGCUUCCUAAGUGGAUGUCAUCUGGGUUCAAUGAUCGACCGCUUGCUCCUUUUGCAGGAAUUCUUAGUCUAGGGAUAGGAGAUACUAUGGUAAGUGCUAUAUUCCUUACUAAGCUGGUUUUUAGGUCUGUAGUUCUUAUGUAAGCCCUGAUAAUCAACUAUGCCGGUAUCCAAAGGGGAUUAAUUUGAUUAUGCACUGAUAAUGGACUGUUGGUAACCUUCAUAAAUCAUAACCGUGACAAUUGUAGCAUUUCAAGUUUUCAACCAAAACCAUAAAACUUAUUCUGCUUCUGUUGUUUUCUUUUCAUAACCAUCAGGCAUCAAUGGUUGGCCAUAAGUAUGGUGUCCUGAGGUGGAGCAAGACUGGCAGUAAGUGAAGCUUCUGAUGCUCCCUUUUUUUUGGGUAAUUUUACCAGUAAUAUAUUAGUUCAGAGACAGUUAAAAGUGGAUCCACUUCCUUGUGGACCCUCCAGGGCUUGUACUUCAUUUCUUUUCUUUCUUAUUUUUGUAUACUUUUGGGUCUUAUUUAAUAUAAUUAUAGGCCUUUUGCCCCUAUUAAUUUUCAAAAGAAAGAAACAUAGUUGUUUUUUUUGAGAGAAAAAAGGAAAGAAACAUAGUCAAGGUCUCUGUGUAGUCUUUGAGCUGUUAACUUAACUGCUUUCCCUUUGCUAGAGAAAACUGUUGAAGGGACUGCAGCCGGCAUAACUUCUGUUUUAGCUGCAUGCUCAGUACUCCUCCCUCUCUUAGCAUCGAGCGGAUAUAUAAUUUCCCAGGUUUCAUCUCUCUCUCUCUCUCUCUCUUGUGCACCUGCACACACUCACAUGCAUAUGCCCGUGUGCAUGCACGCGCGCGCGCGUUCACACAGACCAAACAUGAGCAACUUGGUUAUUCUAGGCAUUUUGUGAGCAGAAUAAGCCUAUCAGUGUUCAAGGUUGCAUUUUGUGCCUAUUUGGCAUAAGCUUUUGGAGCCACUUAUCUACUCCAAGAAGUGAAAAUAGGCAAGAGUGUGUUGCUACUGGGGCAAGCUGAGAAUGAGCUUAUGCGUCUCAAAAGUGGAAGCUCCAAUCUCAAGCUUCUGCUUCUGCCUGAAUAGGGCAUGUGGGGAUUCCAAUGUAAAGGCUAUCAGUGCUGCUCCAUGAUUGUGCUAAUGCUUGUUCUUGUAUUUAUUAUGCAGCACUGGGCAUCUUUGCUUAUAGCAGUUACUGUGAGUGGCUUGUUGGAGGCAUGCACCGCGCAGCUCGAUAAUGCUUUUAUACCUCUUGUAUUCUAUAGCCUACUCUGUCUAUAAAAAACUAGGCCAAAAAAAAGUCAUUGUUUGCUACCAUUUUGGUGCCCCUCAUUUUUUUCUCCUUCUCUAUUUUUUGUCAACAAGUAUAUAAGAGCUUUCUAUGAGCGCAAUUUGUAUAUAGUAAAGGCCUAAGGUUUUUGUUAUUUUAUUUUACUUUUUCAUGGUGUACCUCAUUCUAUAAAUUUGUUGACUUGUUGUACCUCAUUCUAUAAAUUUGUUGUACUGGAAUAUGCUAUAAUGAUCAGAAUCUCUACUUGUUACCAAAAAUACCAUUCCCUGUUAUCAAUGUAAAUUUAAAGGCAAAUUGAUAAGCAGUAGCUUCACAAUGCAUAAAGGCUUUAUCCUACAGCACAAGAGUGUGAUAAGUGUAAAACUAGUUCUCCAUGUAAUUUUGCAGAAAUUAAUUACUGAUGUUAUAAGAAACAGAUCAGCUAUCGUAUUGCACUAAUAAAGAUGCAUGCUGAGUUGUAUGCGGUAUAAUCUGGUGAAAUAUGCAUUUUAGAUAAAACAAUGAACUCGCGGAAAUGAAGAAGUUUUGUAACAGUGAGAAUAAAGUAAGCCCAACAAUGAGUGGUCAAUGAUUCGAGAACAUUGCGUGUGGGAAAAUGUGAAUUUCAUACAACAUUUGAUUGAGGUUUGACUCAUGUAUGGUAACUUAAAAACGCUUUUCAACAUAAUCGAUCCUCCCUUAUAUUUGAGAACCAUCUAGAAAAGAGUCCUGGGAAACAGUCGGAGGACAAGCUUGAGCCAGAGUGGAUUGUCUUAAGAUUUGUGUUGAAUGCAAAGGCCACCUAAUUCUGCAACAAAAGAUGAAACUAAAUCAGAGGCCUCUAUUUGGCCACAUCAUAGGUCCUCCGCGAGCCUAGAUUGCAAGUUGCUAUGGCGUGCCACAUUACACCGGACUAGGCUGACUCGUCAACUGAUAUACUCCUUCGCACAUGUCUGCUAUUGGGAUAAGCCACUUUAUCUUAGUGCUUGUAAAAUUUGGCUAUUGAGUCAACUCAAUCCAAACGAACUUAGAUCCGACCCACUGUUCCAUUGCGAGGAUUCAUCCUGGUAUGGUAGUACAAUUGUUUUAUGCCGUAUCAAUUGGGCAUUUUUUCCUACAUGGUUUUUAGAUCCUUAUGAAUCUUUAGGCAGGGAAAAACUUGGGCUUAAUCAUAAAAACAGCUUUUGCCUUUAAAUCAUGUGUCAAACAUCUAUUUGUAUAAAACAGUGAAUCAAUUUGCGUCUCUCGCUAUAUCGCUAUACCAAAUAAACCCCAAAAUUUGAAAUAAUCAUUGAAUUGGAAGGUAAAACUUAGCGGUAACUAAUUGGCGAAUAACAAGGGUUAUAUUAAUUCACCGGAGUACAAUAAUAUAAAUCAAAUAAAUUAUUCAGUGAAACCGCCAGUUGUAAUCAUUAUUAUAUCUUUCCGUGGCAUAAUCUUGUCCUUUUUUAAGUACUUUAAUAUUAGCUGUAUCUCCAAGUCAUCAAUCAAAACAAAGUUUGCUAGAUUUUUAGAAUCUAAGCAUGUUUAAUUAAGAUGCCAACCAAUGGAGGAAACAUGAUGUAUGGUCCCAAUCCUCACAUUCUAUCCAACCACAAACAGCUGCCACCCAAUAUCCCCACUGCCUAGUAUCAACCAAACGACAAACUCAUCCCAAAUUCAGCUUCCUUGCUAUGAUAGAGAAACCAACACACAUUUCCUAGAGAGAGAAAUAGUCUUAAUAUCUAUGCAACAUAUGUGCUCAUGUGUAUCAUGUAGAUCAAGUUAAACCAAGCCACGUGCAUUGACGAAAAAAUAAUGGAGGAAGUAGAUAACAUAAAUUUUUGUUACUAAUGCACAGUAGAUACGGGGAUCUGAGCUCUAAACCUUCUUGAAAGUUGAGGGGCUUAGAACUGGCUUUGAUAUCAGUUUGUUUGAAAGAAUGAUACGACAGAAAAGGUUCAGAAAUAGUUAAGAGAGAGAGAGAGAGAGGGUAUAAAGGCUUCUUAGACAAGCAAAGUUCAAGAUAGUUCUAUGCUGGAGAGACUCUUGCCCACAGAGUUGCAAGGGAAAAAAGCCACACAGCUACCAACAUUCCACUGUGCACAUAUGUAGAUAUCUCCACAAUAAGCAUGAGAUUAGACAACAUUGACACAUCCCUAAUCAUAAUAAUCUUUUAGGAUGGGUCAGUCCAAAUCAAGGUUACGAGAGAAUAAAAUAAAUUAGCAAUAAUAAUGACUUAUUGUGGUACUUCAUCAAUAUUGAAGAACAAGCAAACAACAAACAUUGUCCUUCAUUUUUUUAACUCUCAAAUUUCAAUAAGCCCAAUGCUUUUACACUUUUUUCUUUUUUUUUUUUUGAGAGAUAUGUAGCAUACUAUCCGCCUAGAAAUGUAAAUCAACUAGAAUUCGAACUUGGGUCUCGAGUACCAACCACCAAACCCUUUGCCACUUGCUCUAGGGACGGUCGGUAAUGCUUUUACACUUGAAUAUUAAAAAGUUCUAUACAAAUGAGAUACGGUUACAUUUGCAAGACUACUUAGCUUAGCUAGAGUUUUUGUGGAAGAGCGCUUCUGAAUAAAGCUAUCGAAUAAGCAUUAAUAAGAUAUUUUCAUCAGAUUCACUCCAGAGGUUCUCACUGUAACAAAAUUAGAAGCGUUGAAUGAGAAUUCUCCCUUUGCGAUUCACAAACUUAUUUUAACCUUUUGACACAACAAGAAAUGCAUGCUCUAAACAUUUUGUUUACUGAGAAAGUUUCAGUUACUAUUGUUUCAUCAAUAAAGCCAUUACAAAGCUCUAAAAGCUUCGAUGUUUGGAUUUUUUUGGUCAAAUUUAAAUAAAGCAGGUCAAGUGCAAAACUUCAAGACAUGCCUAACACAAGACUUUCCCUCAACACACUCUCACCACAUACACACACAUAUAUACACACACACACCCCAUCACUACACCAAGGAACUUAGACAAGCAAUUAGUGUCCAAGGAAAGGGGAAAAAAAACCAAAAGGAAAGGAGAAAAAAAAGAAGAAACAUGGCCAUGAAGAGAAACGCAGCUGUGAAGAGAGCAGUGCAAGUGCUCCAAAGAAGCAUAUCAUGCUCUAAAAACAGGAGCCCAUUUCUCUCCAAUGGCAUAGUCCCGAAGGAUGUGAAAGAGGGCCACUUUGUAGUCAUAGCAGUGUGUGAUGAGAAGCCCCCCAAGAGAUUUGUGGUCUCCUUGAGCUGCCUCUCCCACCCUUUGUUCCUGAACCUCCUCGAGCUCGCCGCCGACGAGUUCGGGUUCCGGCACGACGGCGCCCUCGCGGUCCCGUGCCGACCCUGCGAGUUCGAGAGGAUCAUCAACCAGAUGUAACGGAUCAUGAAAAUGAGGAGAGGAUCAGGAAUGAGGAUUAAUGAUGAGUUUAUGUUGUAUAGAUAUAUAUAUAUAUAUAUAUAUAUAUAUAUACAUGUUCUUCACUGUUUUGAGCACAUUUAGUAAUUAGUUUUGGUAUUGAUAAUAUAUGUUCCAUGCAUGUUGCAUGGACUAGAUUAGAAAUUAUUAACAUUUUAAACUACUGAUCAUUGUAAUAGGUUAAUAUGCGCAUGACUCAAUCAGAGAAAGUUAUAUAUAUUGUUUGAUCAGUUGAUAUCAAUAAUUUAUUUUUGUUUUUAUUUUGUAUGCGUCCCCUUAAUCAGGGACUCGAUUGUAAAGUUUGAAAGAAUUAGAGAUCAAACAAAAUAUAAAAAAAAGUCAUAAAUUGUUUGGAUGUAUGGAUUGCAAUGCUUAUUACGCGAAGAGAAUUAAAAAUAUACGUAGACACCAUGUAUAUAAUUUACACUCACUUUUAAGAUAUAUGAAUAGUAUUGCUUAUUACGCGAAAAGAAUUAAAAUGAAACACCGCCAAGUAUAGCAAAUUUUGACACGAACACGUUAACUAUUUUUUUUCAAAAAUAAAUUUACAUUUAAUAGUUGUCCACACCUUUUCAACUGAUAUAAUUGAUAAUUUCAUUAAUUCUAACCAUUAUUAUCACAAAAAUCGUUAAGUUUAAUAUAAUUUUGAAUUAAUUCGAAAGAAUAACUCAAAAGUUAAUGUUUUCACAAAGUUGAGGGGUGCAAUUCAACUUGUCUAUAGGUGAGGGGGUGUCUGUAUAUUUUACAUCCCCUCUUACCCUGCGCCCACUCCCGACCUUUUUUCUUUUCCGUGGAUUUUUUUUCCCCUUUCUAAAUCUCACUCUCAGGUACGUCUUAGGGUUCUAAUCGAUCGAAAAUCUCCUCUCUACUUGCUAAUUUUUCAUAUUCGGCAUCAAACAUUUAAUUUUUACCUGCAAAAUUGCUCUACGAAAUCGAAUACUACACCUAAAUUUUCCUAGAGCGACCUAAAAUUUAGAAUCGAUUGAUUAAAUAGUUGAGAAAAAUUCUCCUUGGAGAUCCUUACUACAUUAUUUGAGUACCAAUUUGGCAAAUUUUGCAUUCUAUAAAUGAAAAAUUGCAUCCUCUUACUUAUGUUUCUGAUCCUUAGGGGAUGAGUUUUAGUUGUUGAAUACGUUUGUUUGUUUGUUAUCUUUUUGAUUUGUUAUUUAAUUAGCUCGAUUGUGAUGAAGCUUUGUUUUCUGUUGUAAAACGAUAUGAAAUAAACGUUGUUCUCAAAAACCUUAAGCUACUAACGAAUGCGUGUAGUGUGUAGAGGAGGGGAAAAAAUAAGGUGAUUUAGUCUAAAAGUGCUAAUUUUGAAAUAGACCAUUCAAUUAUUUUUCAAACUAUUCUUGUGAUGGGUCACUGUUGAUUUGCUUAAACCAAUUGAAAUUAGUAGUUUCAACUUCACUAUGUUAUUCCGAUUUGCUUCCGACCAGUAGAGAUUCAUCAACUGGAGUAUUUUGUUGUGUGGCUUAUGAAAUACUGUAAAUAACAUCUGCGACUGUAACGAUGGUCGAUUGCUUCAUUCUUGGUUAUGUAGAAGGCAAUACAUGCAUGUUAAAACUAUCAUUGUAACCAUGUACAUAAAAAUAGUGAGCACGCUCGUUGAAGUCCAUGUUUCAGAUGCACAACAGAUGAAUCUUUUUAUCAUUCACAUCAAAGCUUAAAAAAAAAAAAAGCUUGAUCUUGUCCUUCACCUCUUUUGUGAAGUGUUCCUGCAAGUGAAAAGGCAUUAAUCAUUCUUGCGUUUAUGAAUUUCUAAUGCAUCGUCGCCUUUUUCUUCGUCAAAUCCCUCCACUACAAGCCCUUUCAACGCUCCGAGCCCCUAAUAUUUUCACGAGUUCGUUAGGGUGACAAGGAACAACAAGUACCCCUGCUUGUUUGAACCCGAAUUCUUCCUCUGCCGACUCCAACACUUUGAGGAACUCGGGUUUUGAGAGGUGAGCUACCUCCACAAUGAACCUCUGAUACUUCUCAUCUUUAACGGCGUGAACUGCGAAAUGCCCUUCCUUCACAUCUUCAGGGACUCCACCGUCAGAUUUCAGGAAAACUCUUCUUUUAAGCUUUUCCAUCACAUUUUUUAGCUUGACCAUGGCUAAUAGUUGUGGAUAUUGCUUUGAGCUACCUUUUGGGUUUGAUUUGCUUCAUUCGCAAUCAAAUGGUUGUAUUUAUACUGCUGAAACAUGAAUCUGAGGCAUUUUAAUUAUCUGACCUUACCGGGAUAAUAAUGUUCACGUGGGCGGUCUAUUAGUAAAGAGAGAAUAAGAAGCUAGUAAGUGCAUCCAACGCAGGUUAGGCGAAGUUGCAUGAAAAACUUAUUGAGAUUACUUGGACACAUGCGGCAGAGUCCACUUAUGCACCAAGUAGGGGUGAUUUCGUUCAAAUUGAUGCAAAUCGGAGAAAGUAGUAAAAAGAGGUAUGAUAACACCUAAUUUGCCAAAUAAUCAUACCAUAAAUAGUGUUGUGUGGAAAAAGGGUCCUUAUAGAUGACCCAAUAAUUUAAAUGCUAAAUGCUAAAUGCUUAGUCUUUGUUGUCGCUGUUGUUGCUGUUGUAUUAAGUAGACAAUCUGAUUUCCAGCUUUAUCAUAGCUUUGAAUGGACAAUAUCUUCAAUUUUCCUCUAUCAUUGGUGAACUUCCUAAAGCUUUAGACCAAACACCAAAGUGAUAUGUCGAUUCUUCUAGUUGAGAGGGGAGUUGCAACAAUUGUCAAAACUGCUGUUAGAAACAGCUAGCAGUCAAUUAUGUAUGCUUGCUUGACACUAAUUCUUGAUUAGGUUUGCAGUGUCUCUCCUGAAAUAAAUGCAUUUGCAUUCUCAUAGGUGUAAUAACUAAAAGGAUAGGGAGAAAGUCUUUUCUCAUUAAGAACAGAAACCUUACAUGAGGGGUUCCUGAGGAGGUAGGUAUGUCGAGCUAAUGAGCUUUUCCAUAUAUAAUCCAAAAAAGUAACAUAAGCAUAUAUUCCUGCAGAAUCUGAAUCUUCAUAUGUGCCCCACCUACAUGUUAUUCAAAAACACCUUUAAGAUGAAGAGAGAUUGAAAUUCAUACUGGGAAGUUUUUUUGUUAACUGUUAAUUAAUUAAGUUUUUGAAGGGCGUACAUGAAAUUGUAGAUACGUAACUUUGCUGGGGUGUAUACAUGUAAGCAGAUAUGUACAUACGUGAUUUUGCAAGAAAGGAGGAAGUGUGAGGGCAUGAUAUUGCAGGAAAGGAGGUUAGGUUUCGAGUCCUAACUCGUCUCCAAUGUUUCUAUCUCUAUCGGUUGCUUCUUUACACUUUCAAAGUUUGAUACCUUUCAUGUACUGUAUUACUUAUGUAAGAGUUGUGCCGAUAAGUUCCCUUUUAGGACAGUUAAACCAUUACAAAAGCUGGUAUAUAUAUAGAUCCAAAUUAUAUUCAUGUGAAUGUCAUGUGAUGUGUUUAUAUCUCUACCUACAUGACCAUUGAUUUUCUUGCAUCUUAAUAUCAUCUUUACAAUAAUCUGUGCAAAUACCAGAAGAUGUAUGAACUUUUUCUUGUUAUGAACUUCUAGCACUCUGGAGUUACCGGAUGACUUUUCUUCCAAUUUCUACCUGCUUUUACUCAUUACAUCAAACUGAAUAAUUUAUGAAUGACAAUCUUGAUGCAAUUUUCACAUGCUAUGUUUUCGUAUAUCAUAUCUCUUGUACCUCUAGUAGUACAUUUAACUCUGUACAAAGAUGCAGGGAUCGCAACUAAGAUCAGAAAUAAUGCUAUCAGAGAGCAAUCUUAUCUAACCUGUUUGGCUCCACUUCUGCUUCCAUUCUCUAUACUUGUUAUUUCUAAUAGAGUGUUUGACAAACAGAAAUGUCUAUGGCAUAAAUAAGAUUCGCAGGCCCAAAAAAGGAGAAUCUUCAAAUAUUCGGAGCUUCUGAUUCUGCUCAAUAGUGCUCCUUCUAAAGGCACUUAUCGGACAACACUUCAUCGAACAGCAUUGCACCGUACAGUAGAGAAGGUAAGCAUCUUAAACACCUAGCAUUUUUAAGUUGCAUAAGACUUUUGAAUGCUCAGAACACCUGUAUUAUCUGUGACCUAACUCCAUGUGAGGGUUCUUUGAAAUAAGUAGCCAGUGUGACAUCAUUGAACUGCGCAGUUCAUUCAUUUCUCCUUGUGGGGAGGUAUUGCAUUAUCCCAGUUGGCUACCUAAUGAAGUGCUUGGCUACAUGGUGGAAACAGUUGCAACAACCAACAAACAGAGCAUGGGGCUACAUGUUUCGCGAGACGGUUAGAUCAGCUUCUCUAUUUCGAAAAGCAAAAAGUGUCGAGCAUCUAUAAAAUGAACAUUUGGAUUCGAAGUUUGAGGCAACUUUUGAAUAGACAUUAUUUAUGUCUGUUAAAAUUGGAGAAAUUGGAUGAAACUUGUAUAAGAUUUCUUCUAAGAAAUCAAAUUAUGAUUACCGUUUAGUUAAUCGUGCAUUAAUAUUGGAGUUGUUAGCGCAUAUUUUUGGCGGUAAAAUUAAGUAUAUAAAAAAGUUCAGGGACUAACUUGCAGUUCUUGGAUAAUACAGGGGCCAACCAUUAUAGUUUAUCAUGUCAUGUUACGCAAUUAAAAUUUUCCAUACUCAUUUUAUUACGCGGAUAAAAUGAGUAUGGAAAUUAAAAUCCCACUAUUAUUAUUAUUUUUGAGAAUUGGAUCUACCUACGGUCCAUUCAUCUGGGAUUUUAAUCUAAAUUUUUUUUUUAGAAUUAUUAAAUCAAAUUAUUUUUUCUAAAUUUAGCAUUUUAUCAAAAAAAAAAAAAAAUUGUUUUGUUGUGUUAAUAUGAAUUUUCCCCUCACAAUCCCAAGUCAAAGAGGUAAACCAUUCUUCUGGGAGCAGGUCACAAAAUACCGAUUCCAAUCUGUGGACCAAGCCGAACGAAUAUAAAAAUAAUAAAAUAUAUAUUUCAUUUUUUUUAUAUUUAUAUAAAAUAAUAAAAAUGUUUUUUAAAAUAUUAUUUAUCAGAAAAUCAUCAUAUUAUUUUUACAAAGUAUAAUAGAAUUUGCAUAUUAUGAUAUAGCUUGUAUGGUAUAAUUGGUUAAAAAGAAAAAAAAAAAAAAAAAAAAAUGACUUUUCUUUAUUCCGUGUUCUUAGUAUCACAAUUAAUGUAAAUUAUUGCUAUUAUUAUUAUUGGUUACUAUUAGUCCAAGUAAUUAGUUGUGAUUAUACUUUUUAUUAUUACUUAUUGCAUUAUUAUUAUUCUGAUUCAAACUCUUGCAAUUGGGUUUUUAUAGUUUACAUUUUUUGCACAUGACGUCAAACACCACCUCCCAAAACCUUAUUCAAAAAAUUUCUUUAUAUAUAUAUAUAUAUAUAUAUAUAUAUAUAUAUAUAUAUAUAUAUAUAUAUAUAUAUAUAUAUAUAUAUAAUCUUAUAUAUCCUCUUUAAGUUGUAUGAAGUUUUCGUCUCCAUCCAUUUUCGACGUUUCCGGUUCGUUCUCUCUCUCUCUCUCUCUCUCUCUCUUCUUCUCUCUCUCCCACCAAAACCCUAACUCCUCGAUCCAAAUUGAACUCUCCCCUUCGUCCAAUUCUCGUCCCUUCGCCCUACGAUCGCAGCAAUGGACCCUACGACCGACGACGAGGAGGCGGGGAUCUCCGGCGUCGGCGGCGGCGGCGUACGCGGCGAGUCGUCGGCGGCGGUGGAGGCGGCGGCGCGGGUGGUCCCUCGGCGAGCGCGAGGUCCGAUCCCUAGCCGCGCUCCGCGGCGCCUUGGUCUCCGCCAAGGAUCUCCUCCGAUCCGUGUACAACGGGAGUAAGAUCUAUCAGGUAUAAGCUAUUCCUCUCUAUUCCUUGUUCUUUGUCAUCAAUCGCCCUCUUUUUUCCCUUUUAUUCGUCGUAUACAAAGUCGGGGAUACCGAAAUUUUCUAUAAGUUCGUGUUAAUGGGAUGAUUAAUGUUGAGUCAAGUUUAUUGAGACUAGUUUUUGGUAUUGAUGGGUCAGAGAGCAUUAUAAAUGUAGGAAUUAGGUAAUUUGAUUGUUUCAUUUGAUUAUGAUUGUGAUAAUCGCCAUGCUAUUUUGGAAACAUCUUUUAAUCCUUUUAAUUCUUUCUCAAUUGUUAAUUACUGCUACUAGUUUUGUUACAUGAUGAUCCAACUGAGUGCUGUUAAAGUGCACUUUUAUAGGAAGAUUAGAUCAAAAUUUGCUUUGUAUCCGAGUCAAUCUUCCUAGAAUAAUAUGCCCCUUAUUUUUCAAUUUCAUAAUUUCAUCCCUUGAUUAUGCAGAGUAUGUGUGCCACACACCAUAACUUCGCAAUGAUAAUUUGGAGUCAAUAUUUUGAUAUACAAGGACUAGCCCCUGUUAGUCUUAGUAGCUUGUGCUAGAAACACUUUGGGCCAGUGUUUGGACUCAAUAGUUUGCUAUUAUACUAAUGGAUUAGUUUGGUUUGGUACAAUAUAAGCUUUGUCGGAGCAGUUUCGUUUGAUAUUUGUAUAGCCUAUAUAAUAGGAACGAUUGCCUGGAAGUGUUAAUUUUGUUGAUCCUACUGCACUUUUAUGAGCUUUGGGUCCUACAUUCGGUUUUCCUCAAGUCAUAUUACUAUUGUUCUAUUUCAGGCACUACAAAGAGAAAACUUUGCCAGCAAAUUCCUAGAGGUGAAUGAGAAAAUUGAGAAAGCACUGGAUGAUUUAUCCUAUGGCAACCUUCAUAUCUCUGAAGAAGUUUUAGAGCAGGUAAUCUGAAUUGUAACAAUUCUCAAGAGCAUUCAGGCAUAAGCUAAAAUCCGUUCGUUCUUAUUUCCUUGAGAAAAUACAGUUCGUCUUUUGAAAAAUUUGUGGUAAAAUUUAAUAUUUGAUCAGUUGCAUUGCAUGCCUUGUCUAACCCAGUAAUAUGUAUUCUUGGUAGUACAUGAUUAAGCUUUUGUGGAAGCUUUUGUAGUUUCGCCGUCUAAAUUUGCUUCACUGUUAAAUGGGCAACUUAUGAUCACGAAUGUUUCAUCACUUUACUAUGAAGAAUUGGUAUAUAAACUGAUAUUAUCAUUUAAUUGUACCUUUGACUACCAUUUAUUAAUUGAGAGCCAACAAAAAUUACUAUUCUUUCCUACCUAUGCAGGUUGAACUCGUGCACGCGCAGUUUCGAAGAGCAAAAGUGACAAUGGACUCUCCCGAUCCACAACUUGUUGGAGAUUUAUUUUGCGCAAAAGUUGAAAAGCCCUGCGACAAUCUUAUCCUUAAAAGAAUUUCAGAAAAUUUGCAACUGAGAACAAUGAACGACAUGAAGAAAGAGUCAGUUGCUCUACAUGAAAUGGUGAUUUCAAGUGAUGGUGUUCCAGAUGAGUGCCUUGAAGAAAUGUCAUCCUUGCUAAAGAAUCUUACGGACUGUGUAUUAGAUGAGAAUCCGACUUCUGAUACCGUCCAAAGCAAAACUAGCCCUAUAAAAAAUACAUCUCCUGUUAUUCCGGAUGAGUUUCGAUGCCCCAUAUCUCUUGAGUUGAUGAGGGACCCUGUCAUUGUCUCCACUGGACAGGUAUGCAAUACUUUUAACUUUUAUGCAAAUUAGAAUGCUAGCUGAACUGGUGCUCUGGCUCCCUGAGUAGAACUGCCUGAGUAGAACUGUUUUGAAAAUCUACUAGUAUCUUUUCCAUAAAGAUCCUCCUGACAGUUUCAUGCUGCACUAUAAACAGAAGGUUUAAGCUGAAGCUUCUGCUUUUGAGCUCAAAGGCUCAUUACAGAUUUCAGCCAUGGUAGAAGAUCCAGAUUCCAGACUAUUUUGUUUCUCAAAAGGCUGUUGCUUCUCACUGUAGAGAGGUUGUUCCCGAAGUUAGGCCAAACAGGCAUUAACACCUAAUGGAUUUCGUUUUCCUGAACAUGGUGUGCUAAGAAUCAUUUAAGCCCUUCACUUACGUUAGGGUCUUAUAAGCCAACAGCCAGAUGGUUGUAGUACCUGUUCAAUGCUCUGUUCUAGAUUUGUUCAGCAUUUUUUUGUACUAAAUAUAGAUGAAUUUUCUACAGACUUAUGAGAGGUCCUGCAUCCAAAAAUGGCUCGACAGCGGACACAAGACCUGCCCUAAAACCCAACAACACCUAUCCCACAGUGUCCUCACACCAAACUUCGUGUUGAAGAGCCUCAUUGCGCAGUGGUGCGAAGUAAACGGCGUUGAACUGCCGAAGAAUAAUAAAUCAGGCCACCGAGACAAGAAACAGGGGAAAGCUCCAGACUGUGAUCGUGCUGCUAUCCGCUUGCUAAUGCAGAAAAUAGCAAAUGGCAACAGCGACGAGCAAAGGGCGGCCGCAGGUGAGCUCCGAUUGCUUGCAAAGAGAAACGCAAACAACAGAGUAUGUAUUGCAGAAGCCGGUGCAAUCCCUUUAUUAGUGGAACUGCUCUCUUCUCCCGACCCAAGAACCCAAGAACAUGCCGUCACGGCCCUCCUUAACCUCUCAAUCAAUGAGGAUAACAAGGGUAGUAUUGUAAAUAAUGAAGCAAUACCAAAGAUAGUGGAAGUGCUUAAAAAUGGGAGCAUGGAAGCGAGAGAGAAUGCUGCGGCUACCCUUUUUAGUUUGUCUGUUGUGGAUGAGAACAAAGUAACUAUUGGUGCUAAGGGGGCGAUACCUCCGCUCAUUGAUCUUUUAUGUGAGGGCACCCCUAGAGGUAAGAAAGAUGCAGCGACAGCGAUUUUUAAUUUGUGCAUAUAUCAAGGAAAUAAGGUGAGAGCAGUGAAAGCCGGAAUUGUGGAUCACUUGAUGAGGUUUCUGGCAGAUUCGAGCGGUGGAAUGAUCGAUGAGGCACUCGCGAUUUUAGCGAUUUUAGCGAAUAAUCCAGAAGGGAGGGCCGCAAUAGUACAGUUGCGGCCUGUCGGCAGCUUGGUUGAGGUGAUAAGGACGGGAUCGCCGCGGAAUAAGGAGAAUGCUGCGGCGGUGCUGUGGUCUCUGUGCACGGCAGACGCGGCGCAGCUGGCCGCAGCGAGGGAGGUAGGGUCGGAGGAGGCGCUUAAGGAGUUAGCCGAGAUGGGGACGGAGCGCGCCAAGAGGAAAGCUGGGAACCUUUUGGAGCUCAUGCGCCAAGCAGCGGAGGCUUAAGUGUGCUCAUGCAUGGGGCAAAAUCAAGCAAAGCUGUUUGAUUUGAUUCUGUAGUCAAAAUGGAAGAGAAUAAAACUGGCUUGUAUAUGAUAUUUAAAAUACUGUAGCCUGAACAAGCUUCGUAAGAUUUGUUGGUGUUUCGAGAAAAGAGGAAUCAUAGAAUGGGGAAAAGAUUGUGUAAUAUAGAUUGUAGUGCGUAAUGUAGAUUUGGUUAUUGGUUAUGAGAUGUUGUAUGUAUAUGUUAUUUAUUGUGAGAAGAAGAAGUUACUAAUUCUCGGAGCAGAUUUCAAUUGUUUAUUAAAAACCUUUCCAAGAAAAUGUUUGAGAAGUAGGCCUCCUGAUGUCUGUCCGUGAAUUCAAUUUUGUAAAUAAUUUAUCUUCGAAAUAUUCUUUGCUUUGUCCUCUUUUAGUCACCAAAAAGAUUCACCCUUCUACCCAUGAAAUAUUUUGAGAAGAAAAUUGCUACUUGCACAAACAAACAUAAAGUGGGAUAUAAAUUUAGAUGUUUUUAUAUUAGUGUAAAAUAUUAGUCCUCGAAUGAAACAAGUAAUAUUUACACUCUUUAGAUGUUUUUAUAUAGAUGUGGCAAGAUACAGAUAAAGAAGAUACAUACGAUACACACAGAUGACGAGGUAGUCUGAUACGAUACGAUACGAGACAUAUAAAUACGCGCCAUGAAAAUCAAUCACCAUGACGCAGGUAUAUAACGAGCGAACAUAACCAACUCACCUCAUUCUCUCUCUAGGGAGAAGGAAGGAGAAGGAUAGAAAAAGGCUCUCACUCAUGCAACCCGGCCUUGCUCCUGAGAUGCUCCUUGAACUCCAUAAUCCCACCCUCCCACCUCGUCACCGCCUGGUUCGCGCACACCCAAAUCUCCUGCGCCACCUGACUGAUCAGCCUGAAAUCAUGGCUCACCAGAACCAGCCCCCCGUCCCACUCGUUCAGCGCCUCCGCCAGCGAGUCGAUCGUCUCGAUGUCCAAGUGGUUCGUCGGCUCAUCCAGCAAAAGCAGAUGCGGCUGCCGCCACGCCAGCCAAGCAAAUAUCACCCUGCUCCUCUGGCCGUCCGACAGGUUCUUCAUCGGCAUCACCUGCGCCUUGCCCGAUAACCCGAACUUCCCUACCGCCGCCCUCAUCCGCUCCUCCCCGUUCCCUGGGUAUUCCUUCAUCAUGAACUGCAAGGCCGACAUCUCCAGGUCGAGCUUCUCCGCCAAGUGCUGGUGGAAUUGCGCGAUCCUGAGGUGGUUAUGCCUUCUAACCAUACCGUCUAAGGGAACCAAGUCCCCGGUCAUAAGCCUUAGCAGAGUGCUUUUCCCCGCCCCGUUGGGGCCCACUAAUGCGAUUCUGGAAUCUAAGUCGACACUGAAAUCGAGGUCCUUGUAUAUAAGGUUAUCGGGGGUGUAACCGAAAGUUACGCCGGCGAACUGAAGGACGGGCGGCGGGAGCUUGCCUACAUCGGUAAAGCGGAAUACUAGUACUCUGUCCUUCACCACCUUUUCAGUGAGCCCGCCACGCUCCAUCUUCACUAGGGUCUUCUCCUUGCUCUGCGCCUGGCGCGCUAGCUUGGCGGACCCGUGGCCGAAGCGGGCGAUGUACCCUUUCAUGGAUGCAAUCUGUUCUUGCUCCCAUUUGUACUGCUUCAUCUGGUUUUCUUCGAGCUCGGCUCGGGUCUGGACGUAUUGGUCGUAGUUGCCGGUGUAGAGCUUCAGCUUUCUGUUCUGCAUGUGGAUGAUGUUGGUGCACACGCCGUUCAGGAAAUCCUGCGAGUGGGAGACAACAACGAGGAUGCGGUCGAACUUCUUUAGAGUCUCUUCCAACCAGACACAUGCUUCCAGAUCUGUAACCAAAAGAAAGAACAAAUGAAUCUAAGGUUUGAGUAGUUAUGGAAAGGCAAUAGCAAACACCGAAAGUUCUAACAGGAAAACAUAUUUGUAAGGCUUUUCUCCAAACAGGAAAAUGAUCCUUAUUUCUGCAGGAAAAUCAAAGAGUAGAGUGCAUGUCUGGAAUGGUAAAAGUGAUGCCAUUAGCAAUUUCUAAACUGGUAUGAGAAAGAGCAAUUCACGAGAAAUAAGAGAAGGUCAAAACCUUAAUCUCCGAGGCACCGAACUAACCUAAAUUUAAGAAUUGAGCAAAAAUUUACGAUUUUAUUGUACUCAUCUUUUGCUUGGCCCCAAUCAGUAUGAUGGCUUCGCCCAAACAAGAGAUGGUAACAACCAGGUCAAUCUCAACCUUACAAGUUCAGAAGUUCAUAUUGCAACAAGCAAAGCUGCAGAACAAAAAAUGUUUCCCAUAUUAACAUGGAUGACUCAAAAAACUCUUACCAAGAUGAUUUGUAGGCUCAUCGAGCAAAAGGAUGGUCGGAUUCAUAAAGAGUGCUCUCGCCAAUGCAAUUCUCAUACGCCAACCACCAGAAAAAUCUCGAGUUUUCUUUGCUUGCAUUUGCUUACUAAAACCAAGCCCGUAGAGAAUUUCAGCUGCACGCUUCUCAGCAGUUGAUGCAUCGAUAGCUUCUAACCGCUCAUAGACCCGAUCCAAGGCUUCUCCGCCACCAUCUUCCUAGAGAAAACAGUAUCAAAAGAAAUCAGAAAUGUUCGAAAUGUUUGAAUGCUGCUUUCAAACAGAAAAUUUUGCCGAGAUGCAUAAGAUUUCUCGUUCAAACAAAUGACUAAAAUACGACCUCAGCUACUAAUCUCUCAGCUUCUUUUUCCAAUCUCAGCCUCUCUUCAUCACAGCUGAUGACUGCUUGGAGAGCGGGCAUGUCCGAAGCUUCAAUCUCCCUGGUAAGAUGAUAAAUAUCCAUGUGUUCAGGAAUUGGGAGCUCUCUGCAUCCGAUUGCUGUGAGAAGUGUGGACUUCCCACAGCCAUUCAAUCCAAGAAGACCAUACCGUCUGAAAUUACAGUAUUCGUAAAAUGUUAUGAACAAAAUGGAAUUGAACUCAAAUGUAACAAAGAAUGGGUAAAUGUGAAUGUUAUACCUCCCGUAGUUGAGCUCCAGUUCCGAAUCUACAAUGAGAUCAUGCCCGUGGAAGGUCAAUGAAAGAGACUCUAUCUGGGGUGUGCAAAAAAUGCAGAGUAAGAUCAGAUGCUAAGAUACAAUCAAAAGAUUAGAUGAUAAAAACAGAAUAUAUGAUAAAAGCAGCAAACAAAGGCUAGAAUAACAAAAUUCAAGUUCUUGUACACUACUGAGAUGUGAAUCUCAACGUGUCAAUAGCCACUAUUCUGCAUUGUGUUCCUGAGUUUACUCAUAGAGCUGGUCUACUACACUGUUCCAUACAUGUAACAAGGGGAUCCCUAUAACAUCUUGACAUAUACAUAUCAGAUAAAUGAGUGAUCAAUGAGUCUUAUUCUUCGGAAAAUCAUCAUUAUAUAAUAUUUAGAAAAAAGAUCAUGAUAACAUAUCAUGAAAUUUGAAGAUUUUCAUUGCAAAAUGAAAAAAAAAAUAAAGAUUUUACCAUAUCUGAUUCCGUGUCAUUCGCUCAUUUGUUUUAGAAACUUGAAGCAUCAAAGGCAAAGAAUUUUUUACUUAAGAAAAUAAUCCCAAAUUCCAUAAACUGAGCAUUAAUACAUUAGAAUUUUACAUCCCACAAAACAAUCAUUUGCUUUCAACUUCUACAGCAUAACACCUCAAAUUUUAACAAAAUUCCUAAAGCAUAACACGAAAUAGAGUACAAAAAUAUAUAGAGACUAACAUGAAUAUCUCUAGAGAGGGGAUGGGAUGCGAGAACUCCCGUGCAAGUGCGAUCCGAUAGCUCGAUCGAUCCAAACCCCUCUGCCAAAUUCUCCGCCGCGACGCCAUUCGGAGCCUGCGCGGCGGCCUUCGCCGACGCCGCCGCCGCCGCCGCCGCCGCUUUACCACCCCUCUUCGCCGCUGCCGCCGCCUUCUUUGCCGCCGCCUUCUUCUUGCUCGCGUCCGACACCAUUCUCCUGCUCACAAAACACACGAAUCGAUCAAAAAAACACUCAAAAUCACUUAAGAAUUCACCGAUCGAAUCGAAGGCGAUCGAGAAACUGCAAACCCUAGAUCAAAACACCUGUAUCGAAGGGAAUUACGCAGAAAAUUACCAAAAAAUGGUACGAAGUCCGAGAGGAACUUGGCGAGAAUCGAUUGGGGAGCGUCGCCAGCUAGGGUUCUAACGAAUCUCUCCAAAUCCCUUCAAUUCGAUUUCAAAUCGAACAAAACUACUCUCUUCCUUUUUCCUAUUUCGCUUUCUCCAACGAGAGAGAGAGCAGAGAAAGAGAGAGAGAGAGAGAGAGGGAGAGAGAGGGAGAGAGACCAACGCGAGAGAGUUCGCUCGCUUUGAGAAACGGGAGCGAGGUCGCAUAUUUAUAACUCUGGGAUUCACUUUUUCGAAAAAGCCCCUCGUUUUUAAUUAUUUAAGUUUACACGUGUCUCUCGGGAUGACAUUCUAUGGUCCGAGUACGCGCAUAGGAAGUUAUGCUGCGGUAGAUAAUCUGAACCGUCGGAUUUGUGCGGAAGCGGAGGUAUGGACGGUGGAUUCGAGAGGGCGCAUAGGGAAGUCGGUGGAAUCGGGGGGUUAGGUCGGUUAGCGGUGUGGUUACGACUUACGAGUGUAUUAGCCCACCUGGAGUGUUUGUGGCCGUUGUAGACCAGUAUAAAGAGUGACAAAGUGACUCGUGACUCGUGAGAACAUAGGAUUUGACUAAAAAAGAUUAUGUUAGGGAUUGAGUGACGUGCACGAGUAUUCAUGAAGGUUUUGGAUUGGAAGUGAGGGAUUUUGUUGUUUGAACUCUUACUUUGAGGGCGUGUUUGCUUCGCCGGAGCCAGAAAAGGUCAGAGGUUACUGCCCUUUACACAACGACAGAACUAGAGCAUUAGUCUAAGAGGGCGCCGCCCCGUCCUUAGCAACUUGUAGGAAAGAAGAUCUUUCUAGCUCUUGACUAAAAUGUUGGGACUUUAGGAGAAACUAGAUCGUAUCUUUUGCCAUAAUUUUGAUUUCUGUACCCGAUUUAUAGGCAGUGAUCCUUGCUCGUGGUUUGUUCUCGUUCGUGAUCUGCAAGAAGACGGAACGUUUCGAGUCUAAUUCCCUUAUCUCCGGAGAUGGAGCCGUCACAAAUAAUUGGAUUAGAGUUAGACCGGGACUCCCGUAUAUUACAUAUUUAUAUAUAAUUUAAUGUAAGGAUAUUAAAUCACUUCCGUCCAUCAAGAACGUGUCCAGAUACAUCCUAACCAUAAGAUCUAUCGUAUUUUUAUAAAUCGACUUAAAUAGAUUGAUUGUAUCUUUAUGGAUCACCUUGAAUAUGUCACGUUGGCCAUAUUCAACAUAAAAUUUUCAAAAAGAUCUCUCAGAAAGAAGAUUUUCCACACUUUUUGAGUAUGGUGAUAGACAAAAGUUGGAAUCGGUGCUUACAGUUCGUACAUCUCCUGCUACUCUCCGCCUCUGAUCUCCAACUCCAAGCAGAUAGGCGAGAUGAAUGAGUUUUGCGACAGAAAUCUAGCUAAACAAACGCGCUCUAGGGAAUUGGAACCUAGGUUGGGUUGCCAAGUUGGGCUUACAAUGUAUAAAUAGCUAUUUCAAAAUUAGUUCUAGCAUCUUUCAAAAUGGGCGGAGCCCAAGCCCAAUAUUUGCUCGGGUGUCCGUUUUAAAAUCCUUAAAUUUGACCAUGAGAUUUCAAAAUUUCAGAAACUUUUAUUUUACUUAAAAACAAAAAACUACUUGCAUCCAGUUUACUUUUAUGUAUAUAUAUAUAUAUAUAUAAAAUUGAGUUAGAAUAUUUUUACAAGUAUUACCCCGAUGAUGCUAUUAGGUUUUUAGCCAUUGAAUCUACUCCUUGAUUACUAAUAGCCCUUGUAUCAAACACUAUUCCACCUACCACCACCUACUACCAUCAUCUCAACCUCACAUCUCUCUAUCCAAUGGCUAAAAUCUCAAAAGCAUCACUCACAUAAUACUUUUACAAGUAUUCUACCUCAACUCUAUAUAUAUAUAUAUAUAUAUAUAUAUAUAUAUAUAUAUAUAUAUAUAUAUAUAUUCGUGUGCUACAUAACAAGAGGCGCUUCGCGGCCUAACUUUUGUAUGUUUGAUCCAAUAGUAGAAACUAUUUUUGAGAGCGAUGAGAAUAAAAUAUGUCAGAUGGAAACAAAAAGUCUGACAUACACAAUGCAAUGAGCGUGGAAAUGAGGAGAUGCACAAGUUCUAGGUUGUACCUUAAUUAUUUCUCUCAAAAGUAAAUGGAAAUAAAGAGCUGAAGGAAGAUGAUUCUAAAACUUUAAUAAGAGUACGUGAACGCAAUUUAUUAGACUGUUUUGUAAUUUUACAAAGAUGAAAAUACAAAUAGUGGCAACUCCAGGGGGUGUUCUGUAUAAUAGCCAUGUCACAUAACAAGCCAUUACCCUACUCCUAUACAUGCAUGCUUUACAUGCGCACAUACAUGCAUCCAUGAGCAGGUUCUCUGUCCCCGCUCCGAAGCGCUACGUGCUCCGCCUCUUCAUCUCACUCAAGUACGUCACCGCGAACGUCGUCGAUCGCCGGAGCGGCCGAGUGGUGGUCACGGCGUCGUCGGUGGAGAAGCCCCUGAAGGAGAGCCUCGAGCGCGGCGGGCGCGCGUGCAACGCCAAGGCCGCCGCCGCCGUGGGCGAGGUCCUCGCCGCGCGCCUCGCCGUCGACGGCCUCGCCCGCGAGCCCAUCUACGCCGACGCCUCCAAGGAGGUGGAGAAGAAGGGGUUCCGGAACCGCACCAAGGUUUGGGCCCUCCUCAACGCUCUCCGAUCCCACGGCGUCAACCUCCGAAUCGAUGACGAGGAUCAAACCCCGCCCCGAUAAGUUUUUUCCCACCUUUUUGAUGAUUUCGUGCUUUAUUUAUGUGUUCGGGGAGAUCGAGUGGUAGGAGAAGUGUUAUAUUAAGUUGAACUGAAGGUGUUUGAUGAAAUGCUUGUGAGGCGUGGAAGAGAUAAGCUUGUGUAGUAUGGUUUAUUUUACGCUAAAAAGUAGUAUUUCUUUUUUAGGGGGAUUUUGUGCCAUAUUUAUGUGUUGGGGGUGAUUGAGUUGUUGGAGUAGUGUUGUAUUAAGUUGAAUUGAAUGUAUUUAAUGAAAUGCUUGUGAGGCGUGGAAGGGAUAAUAUUGUGUAGUAUGGUUUAUUUUAUGCUAAGAGUAGUAUUUAUCCUAUAAUUUUUUGGAAUAUUUUAUUCUAUCUUACAAAUUUGUUGCCAUUAUAAGCCUGUUGUUGUUUGUUGCAAGUUAAGAUGGAUUUUGUUAUCCUUUGCUAAUAUGAUCAAUUAGAAAUAUGAAUAGAAACUAUAUCUAGAAUCAUUGAAUGAGGUACUUAUUGUGAAAGAUGAGUGGAUUGAAGAUGCAGGAUUGUGCCACAUAGAUGAAUCAUAUGGACAAAUUAAUAGUUUCUGAUUGAUUCGUUAUCUUCAUUUUAUCCUCAUUCGUAUUCUAUGUAGGUGUCUCAAUGAAACAUAGUUGCAAAUUUUCCAUAUUUUUUGUGCUUUUUUUGCUAAAUAGACCUUUUAUGGUUAAUGAGAUGGUUUUGUUUGGAUGAGACUUGGAAUCAUCAUGAUGUUGCAUUUGAUAUUGGAAGCCACUCUUUGAGCAAUGCUGAGAUAGAUAAAUGGUGUUUAAUUUAGUCCACGCAAAAACUUUUUUCUCAAGGGUAUCUACACUCUUCGAAGUUCUAACUUUCUUUCAAAUUAAAUUUUAGAUGUCAGAAAUCUUUGUGGAAAAAUGUUUAAUGAACGUGCAGGACACACCAACCGUAGAUUACUCUAUGAGUGUAAUUGCUGCAACACCAUAAGGCAGAUUGACAAGAUUUAGAAUAUAGGUUAGUCGUGCUUCCACGAGAUACUGUAUUUCUAGCCAAAAGAGAUGAUAGUCUACUUUUACAUUGUUAGUUAAUUAUAAUACACCUGAUUGUGAUUUUCUCUUUAGGCUUCCAGGUCCGUUUAAAUUUCCAGUAGAAACUGAAAGAAAAGGAUGGAGAAAGGAACAAUGCUAAAACAUGGUCCCCAAAUAUAAGAGGUAUUCUGUUUUUCAAUAAAGUUUCGGAAAUUUUUUAUAUAGUGGUCAACCUCGCAAACUAGAAAGAAGUUGAAUCAGCUUUUGGAAUAGCUAUCCAAUUCCUGAUUCCUUUAUUUUAAAUUCUUUUGCAGAGAUGAUAAUGGUAACAUAGUAUGACCAAAGUGAUGAUAUAUUGCAUAAACAUGCAAAAUAGUUGAUAUUCCCAAUAAUGAACAUCAGAUCCCCCAAUGUGAUGCCAUAUUUGCAACAUACACUGAAAUUGCUUAGCAGAAUACCUGAACUAUUCUAAGACUAGCUCUAUGGCAAUAAGCUAAUGAUAUAUAAAUGACUACGGGAUAAUAUCAAACCUACUAACAUCCUUUUUACAUAUACCAUUUAUGAUAUUGUUUAUUCUUUAUAUUUUUACUUGCCAACCUUGCAUAUACAUUUGGGUUGGCUCCUAUUUCUUCUGACCCUACAUUAUGAUGAUCUGGAUAAAUGGAAAAUAAAAACUAGCAUGAGAGUCCUCAGCUUUAGCUGAUUCUUUUUUCUAUUUAACUGCAGGGAUCUCUGUCUUUCUUAAUUGGGGACAAAAGUGCCGACACAACCGAACCCCAUGAUGAAGAAAGCUCCGGCUUGGAAAAGCAAGUAGACGUAGAAGUGAUCAUGGCGGAACAUUAUAUUAUAGAUCGCACAGUAGAAGAGGUAUAAUCCCAUGAAUAACUCCAAUACAUGGAUCCUGAUAAUUAGAAGAAAGAGUAAGGUUAGCAUUCGAAAACCUUAUUAGUAUUCUUCUGUUUUGCCUCUAGAAUAUUGAAAUCUACUUAAACCACAAGAGUUAAUCACUUUGUCUCAUUUAGUAGUGUUUCAUUGAGCAACUUCUUUUUCUUUGACGAAUAGGGUAAAAUGUAAGUUUCAAAAUUUUAGGCGAGUGACUAAAUAAUGAUAUAAUUUAACCAUUAGUCAGUACCUUUCUCCAAUGCGAGACCGCGGUCUUCCUAAUUUAGUGUUGGGCUUUGGCUUUCCGGUAGUACCUAGUUUCUCAGUGACGACCCAUUCAUUGACACGGUUGGCCUCUAGAAGCCCAAUAAUCGUCGCCUUUGCUCGAUGUACAGACAUGACAUUCUCAAAGAGGAUCCAAAAGAGCAGCAAAUGUAGGGAUCUGUGCCCAAGAAAAGAACAUUAGAUUUAGCCAUUAUACACUAAUUCUUUAGUGCGUUUUAAGCAUUUGUUCGUGUAUUCCCUGAGGGGCUACUUAUUGCUCUUAUUGUUUGCAACUGUAUUUUUGCUGGUUUUGUUUGACAAAAACCCGAAAAAUAGAGGUAACUUUCUUUUUCUUUUUUAAAUAUUUUGGUAAAGAAAGAUAGAGUUACAUAUUAUCGAACAAUAACAAGAAUUGAGUGAGUUCAUCCUAGAUGCCUUCAACAAUACAAAAUUCAAGAAAAAUAGAGUUACAUAUAAAGCACACUAAGAAGGUAACUUUCUUUUUCUUUUUUCAGUUUUUUGGUAAAGAAAGAUAGAGUUACAUAUUAUCGAAGAAUAACAAGAAUUGAGUGAGUUCAUCCUAGAUGCCUUCAACAAUACAAAAUUCAAGAAAAAAUAAAAACAUAAAAAAGAAAGAAAUUGCCUAGUGCACCUUAGAUUGUGUCAAAUGUUCAUGCUUUUCUUUCUCGAGUAAUUUUUGUAAGCUCGAAGAAUGUAAUGCUAAAACCACAACUUACUAGUUACUGACAGGUUAUCAUAAACAAAGUAUAUAUAAAGCACACUAAGAAGGUUGAGAGACUUAAUUUUGAAUCUUAUUUGUACCUUGGAGUGCAAACAGCAUUAAGGAUGGUGAUGGUCGACGGCACAUAAAUGGCGAUGAAUUUGGGAAGAUGAACUUCGGGGACCAGCACACACGCAGGGAUAACAAUGCAGUAGAAGAUGGAGGUGACGAAGUGCGCGACUAUCUUCCUCACGAAGAAGAAGGCAUAUAUCACGUGAAAUUUCUUCCACACCGAUACCCUCUACAGAAUGCGAUAUCAUUCAACAACAAAAUAUGAGAUAUGUAAAACGAAUUGUUCUACUAGUAAUUAGUACUUGUAUGUUGCUUUAUGUUUUACAAUUUAGCUUACUUUGCAGUUGAUUAUCUCCUUAAACAUCUUUCGAAAUAAAUUCGCAGGACCGCAAGACCACCUAUGUUGCUGGUAUCGGUACGCUUUGAAUGUGCUAGGUAGCUCAUUUUUCACCUGAAGUAUUAUAUAUUUCUUAGCAAAACUUUGUUUUAAGUUUGAUGAUAUAAUUUUAAGUGCUGUACUUACAGAUAAGUCACCGACAAAAACAAAUUUCCAUCCCUUGAGACUGGCUCUAACAGCUAAAUCCAUGUCUUCGACAGUUGUCCGAUCCUUCCAUCCGCCGGAAUCUGCAAGUGCUUGAAUCCUCCAUACUCCAGCAGUUCCUGUUUAAGCAAAGUCAUUUAAAAGUUAGAACUUUUGCAUCUGAACAAUUUUAUAGAAAUGACCUCCAGUUUUUGAGAAAGUGACCAUUGAAUCCAAAGAACGAAUAUGUGGAAGAUCCCACUUCCUGCUCCACACUGAAAUGAUAAUCCAGAGACAUCUCUUGAAGUCGAGUUAGCAGACACUCAUCGGCAUUUACUGCAUUCAAAAAAAAAAAAAAGAUCAUUUCAUUUGUUUCGACAAAAUUUGGUACUGCUUUCCUGUUGAGUUAAUAUGUACGUGCGUGUGCAAAUACUGAUGCAGAUCCGAUACCCGCCAAAAGUCGAUAGCAUCAUAGAAACAGUGAUUAGUGUACCGUAGCCCGACUCAAAGAAAUAAUCUACAAAACUCACCGAAAUUCCAUCGAGCUUGAACCAAGGCAAGUUCGGGGUUACUGAGCAGGAAAGGGACAGUCCUCCAGAGGAAGUCAGGUUCCGGCUGGAAGUCGGCAUCAAAGAUGACGACAUACUCGCAUUCCCUGACGUAAUGCUUCUUCAAUCCGUCACGCAGUGCCCCGGCCUUGUAACCGUUUCUACUAUUCCUUGUUUCGUAUUUCACGUUCACUCCUUUGCUUGCCCACCUCUCACACUCUAACUCCACCAAUUCCUAUUAUUUUGCAAAAUAAAAUAAAAAUCUUAGUAAAAGCAAUUUUAUUUUCAGAAAAAUUGAAGAAAUGAAAACAUUUUCGCAGCACAUUACCCUGAGGAUCAUGUCGGUUGAAUCGUCGAGAACUUGGAUUAUGAUCUUGUCGGAAGGCCACGAGAGACCGCAUGCCGCUCCGAUCGAUAACCGGUAAACCUGUCACAUUUUAGUUGUUUUCUUAAGGUAAUUUUGUUCAUUGUGCAUAAUUAUAAGUUUCUGUUUUUGAGUUUGUGCAUGUAUUUGUAUUUGUUUGUUCAUGGCUAUAGAAGAACACAAAAUACAUGCAUGCAUUUGUACAUUUUCCCUUCCACUUCUUGCGUGCUAUAAACCUGUGGUUAUAAAUGAGUUAAUGGUUUAUCACUUGAAUGGAAUUUGUUUAAAAUAUAGCUAAGAAGGAAGAACUUACAAUAGGCUAUAUAUACUGUACAUUUAUUUGACUUAUUAGUUCGCCUAAUUGCUUUUACUUUUGUUACCAAAAUAUGUAAAUACUACAAAGGAAAACAAUCUUUACCCUCAGCUGUACUUGCCGACUUGUGCUUAUAGAUAGGUUCGCAUUAAACAUUAGCUUUAAUCGCGAGUUGAAUGCGACAAGAUACAACUGUCGGGUAUGCGACACGUUCGAGGGUUAUCAGCGCAAGAAACCCUGAACUCUUGCCAGCUAAAACGAGGUCGUGUCAAAAGGCCGAGGGAUCAAAAACACUUGUCUUGCUUUUAGGUCCUCACUCUAACAGAAUCUCUUUGGCUUCACGCAUCCAUUUUAGAAAGAAAGAAGAGAGAACAACUCGAAGCAAAUUUAGUAAAUAAACAAGAAUAACAAUCUAUGUGCAUCUUAUGUUUAAGCAAAAGGAUUUGUUUGCAAAAGUGUCUUUAAACCAUGAAUUGAUCAUCAACAUACCCUUUUAGUGCCAUCACAUAGCCCCUGUGAGUUGUGAGAUGAUUUCACAUGCAAUUACAUAUUUAAAGAUAAAAUCUCACAAACAAUUUGACCAAAUGUCUCCUUUCUCUAGAUAUAAGUGAUUAAAAGAACCGGUGCAAUGUAACUUAUUCAAAGGAAAAAACUAAGUAAACAUGGACAAUUUCCUUGUUUGUUCAUAAUGACAAUUAUUAGGUGGAAUCUGACUUUUAAAUAUGAUUAUAUUUAGGAACUUUGAGGAAACUAAGUAACUUUCUGUGGCUUUCAAAAAAGAAAAGGAACUUUGUUGGGAGUUUUAGUUGAAAAAAGGAUUAAACUAGGAGCCUUUACCCAAUUUUAGUGAAUCUUGACCACUUUGCUUGUAGAAAGAAUGUAAAAGGUGUUUACUUUAUAUAUGAAAUAAUCAGUUCAAGUACUUUUUAAUCAUAGCUCGUAAUCAUCUUUCUUCUAGCAUGAGUUAAAUUCUACGAACUUUUUAAUUUUCUUUCUCGUUUUUUCCUCUUUUUUUUUGUUUUGCAAGGUACAAACUUUAAAUUGCAUGUAAAAAGAUAUCUGUAUAUCAUGUUUUGUUGCAUGCAUGUAUAUUUCAACUGGACUAUAGUACUACUAAACAUUGAUAAUUGUUCUGUAGUAAGCACUCACAAGAACUCAAAAAAAAAAAAAAAAAUGUUGUCAUAAACCUAAAAAACUUCUACAAUCUUAAUCACUUGCAAAGUUCAAAAACUAUGCAUCAGAAUUAUAUCUAAUCCAUGAUGAUUAAUUAUAAUACCUCUUUUUCGUUGUACAUGGGAAUUUGCACCAGGACCAUGGGGUGGGUGUUACUAGCCUCGAGCUCUUGCUUCAUGGCAUCAAGCUUGUACUUGGUGUACCUCUUCCUCCUCAAGAGCUUCACACAUAUGAUCACCGCCGCCAUGUAGACGCGCUCGACGAAGAGCAUCAGCGACAUGGCGGCGCACACGUAGACCGCCACCUGCAGCAGCGGCGCGACGAUCGGCGCGCGGACCUGCCUCCAUGCAAGCCUUAUGUUCUCACUCACCACUGCUCCAUCUCCUGAGCCACCAAUUAGUACUGGGUCCUUCAACACAAGGUUUCUCAUUGAAUAGAGUGUUGGUGUUUGUGUUUGUGUUUGUGUUUGUGUUUGUGUGGGGAGUGUUGGGGCUUGUGAGGGGUGGUACACAGUUUUAAGGAGUGGGGGUGGAUGAACCAAUAUAUAUAGGCCAGCAAAUGGACAGUGUUUGAAGAGAGAGAGAGAGAGAGAGAGAGAGAGAGAGAAUAUUGCAGCUGUACAUGCUGCACCAUGUCAUUCAAUGCACUGCACUGCAAUUAUUUUUUUUCCAUCUUUUAUCUUAUCUCAUACUUUAAUUUUUAUAAUACAUAUUAUUGUUUUCUAAAUUUAGAAUUUGUUUGGUCCUGUAGUAGAGCAUGUACAGUAUGAUUCGAUAAAUUGGUGCUUGAAUAAGUCAACUAAAAAAUACACUCUAACACCCCAAUAAUCCCACAUUGGAUAAUAUGAGAGAGUGUGACGGGUUUAUAAAUGACGGACACACUAAUAAUAGUAACUGAGUUUAAGUAUUUUGAAUCGCUGAUAAGAAUCUAAUGAAUUAUUAUUACUAGCGAGUUUGAUCGUUCGUACCAAAUUAAUCAACUUACGUUUUUCUUUCUUACGAAACUCUUUAUUAGAGUCUACUAUUGCUAUAAGCAAGAGCAAAAGCAGGACUAAGCAGGUCAGUAAGAGUUAAAGUAAGCCGAGUCAAAUGCUGUGGAGCCCUGAAAUGGCGCAGCGCACGGGAUGACGUGGUGCACCAAGUGCAUGUCAUAAUGACUUAGAGAGAGAGAGAGAGAGAGAGAGAGAGAGAGGAGACACGCUUUGCAUGCAGUGUCAAGGAGCUAGGCUAGGCAUUGCGAAACAAAUGUGGUAAUUAAAGGUGCAGGGAUGUGUGCAUUUUAAUUCCUGCUAACUGAAUCACUUAUUAUCCAAGACUCCUUUUGAGAGUUCCCCAAGUUGUAUUCACACACCCACUCGUUUCCAUUCCUGAGAAUCUCUCAAGAUUGUUAAAUAUCUUCAGUAAAAGAUUCUCAGAUCAUGUGUUACUAGCAUUAUGAAACGAAAUAUUUAGUUUCCAAAUGCUUUCAAUAGUAUAGAUCAAAUCUAACGGAGUCGAUCAUCGAUUUGGAAGUGGCAUCAUUGAAAACAACUUAGUAGCACGGAGGCGUCCGUGCUACCGAUAGUAUAGCAGCUUAGCUAUAUAUAUAUAUAUAUAUAUAUAUAUAUAUAUAUAUAUAUGAAAAAUUUUAUUAAUGAAACUAAGGUAAAAAUAUAUAAACCCUAAUUUUUUUUUUUAAAUUUCUUACGUUUUAGGAUGCACGCGGAAAAAGAAAGUGACGUACCAAAGAAAACAUUCUUUUUUCCAACAAAUAUAUUUUAUUUAAUUUAUUUUACAAAUUAUUGGCUAGACAAAAUACACAGAUUAGUUGUACGGCUCGGAGAGGGCUUGUUUUUAUCCACUUUGUUUUUUAAUAAUGAUUUAAUUAAUUAAUAACUAAUAUUUACUCCACCCAUGGUGACCAAAAAUAAAUAAAUAAAUAAAUAAUAAAAAAGGCACUGAAUCUUAAAUAAUUUUUUAAUAAUUAAAAAAAGGGACAAAAAAAUUAGAAAAUGGUGGGGCCCAGCAUGCCGAAAGGGACGCGACGUUUUUGCGUGGGCAACGAAUAACUGAAAAGGGUGAGCANUAUAUAUAUAUAUAUAUAUAUAUAUAUAUAUAAUUGAGCUAGAAUACUUUUAGAAGUAUCACCCACUUGGUGCUAUUAGCUUUUUAGCUCUUGGAUCUACUCAUUGAAUACUAAUGGUUUUGGAUCAAACACUAUUCCAUCUACCACCACCUACCACUAUCAUCUCAAUCAUACAUUUCUCCAUCCAAAGAUUAAAAAUUCAAAAGCACAAACUUCUUGGUACUUUUGAGAGUAUUCUAGCUCAACUCUCUCUCUCUCUCUCUCUCUCUCUCUCUCUCUAUAUAUAUAUAUAUAUAUAUAUGGUUUUACAACAUAUAUUAAGGGGUCAAAGUUCAAAUUGUUAAGUGCAAAUUGAACCGGAAUUUUGAGACUCAAACUUGGGAUUUCCACUGUGUUUUAUUAAUGCAUGCCUUUUGUGCUUGAAAUAUAUUAAGCUCAGUCGAAAUUUUGGGCAAUUUAAUAUAUUAAGGUUGGGUGAUUAUUUACAUUAAUAGAUGCAGAGCUCUCGAAAACAAUAAAAUUAGCUUGUUCAAUUUUGAUGUUUUAAUAUGAUUUCGUAUUUUUUGGUAGAUCGAAUGUUUAAUGCUAUAUAUUAAAUUCAUUAGCUUUGUCAAUUUUAGAAGCUUCUAUCGUGACACAAUAGUAAAAAAAGAAAAAAAAAAGAAAAAAAAGGGGUAGGCCACGUUUUGCCUACAAAGUAACAAACCUAGCAAAUUAAUCUUAAUUGAUAUUAUUAUGUUAAUUAAAAAUUUUUGUUAUUGAUAGAUCAGGUAGAAUAUAUAUAUGAAUAUAUUUGGUAACAUUUACUUUUCGUGAAUUAUAUUAAUUUUUAAUACAAACCACAUGUCAAUGUGUCAUCAGCAAAACAUCAUUCUUAGUAUCAGCACCCCAAUCUAAGCUCAUCUUUGACUCAUCCUCUGAAACUGUCACCUUGUCUCAAGAGAUAAUAACCAAUCAAGCAUUUGACAAAUAAAAAUUUUAAAACUUGUGAAGCUUUCAAAGUUCUAUCUAAAUUAGCAAUACUUUAGCAAAAGCUUUAAUCAAGCUAAAUAGGUUACGAAGCAUUCUUUUGAUGUAGAGAACAUCUAUCUAAUGCUACUGAACCAAAAAAAAAGUUGGGUUGAAAACAUGAAGAGAUUUGUUUUUCAAUUUUCUUACAGUAACCGAACAAAUGCGAUCUAUACAUGUAACGCAAACUUUUCUUACUCCGAAAUGUAGCCUAAGAGGAAAAAAUAAGGUGUUUUUGAGUAAUCACAAAGCCAAAUUGGGUAAAGUGAUGGCUAAAAGUAUCAUUUUUAUAUCAUAUAAGGUUUAAAAAUUUUAAAACUGUUUUUAAUCUUUUCUUUCUUUCAUACUAUAAAAUUAUAAUUGUAAUCGCCAUUGAAGAAAUUAAGCAUCUAGUUAUAUACUUCUCGAGGUUGCAACUAUAAGUUUAUAGUAAUAAACAAGAAAAAUAUUAUAAACACUUUAUAUUUUUUAGAAAUAUAAUAUUUUUAGCAUCACAUUAUCAAACUACACCUCACACAGCACAAGCCUCACAACUUCACAACUUCACAAACACAGCUCUCUCUCUCUCUCUCUCUCUAUAUAUAUAUAUAUAUCUCUCUCUCUCUAUAUAUAUAUAUAUACAUAUCUCUGAGUUAACAUAGAGAGAGAGAGAGGACAAAAAAUGGGCUGUGCUAUUUAAGGAAGCAUGAGUACAUGUCAAGCUCCGAGAGUAGCUGCUAGGAGAAGCCGCGCUGGCAAAACUUGUCUCCUGCUUCUGCUUUUAUUAAUUGCAUACAAAUUCCUACAAAUAUAAUAAAUUAUAAAUAUAUUUUUAUAAAGUUCAAUUUUUAUAUAUUAGUUUUAUAAAAAUCUAAUAUUUUCAAAUAUAUUCAUCUGAUUUGUUGCCGAUAGAGAAUUAUUUAUAUUUUAACAGCAGAUAAGUAAAAUAUUAAUUUUGUCAUCACAAAUAUAUCCUUCCAAAAGCCACAACAGCUAUAAUCAAGCAGAAGUGUCCUCCCAAAAAAUUUUCAAUGGCCAUCUUCUUUCUUUUUAAAAUAUAACUCAUUUCAUUAUUGUUGCAACCUCUUUUCUCACUCAUUUUUUUCUAAACCUUUUCUUUUGAGUAAAAAAAAAAAUUCAUAAAGAAAAGUGAAUGGAAAAGCAACACGUGUUUGAUAUGGAGGAAGUAAUACGCGUCGUGGAUUAAUAUAGACGAAAAAAUUCUAGUUAUGAAUUCGAAACCUGUAUAAAAAAAAGACUAGAGGAAGAGGAAGAGGAAGACGAAGACGAAGACGAAGAAGAAUCCCACUGUUAGGAUUUUAAUUGAGAGAAAAGGUAUAAUAAUAUAAGAGGAGUAAAAUUAUCAAGUUACCUUAUUGACUAAUUAGGAUUAAAUAUUUAACCUAUGGUUAGUUAAAUUUUUCUAAUGAAUUCUAACGGCAGAAAUAUAUUUAAAAAUAUUAGGACUUUUUGCAUGAACAAUAUAUGAAAGUUUCAAUGAAUGAAGCGGAUAGCAUGUUAUCUUUUUUUCAAAAAAAUAUAUAAAAGUUGAACCUCGUAGAAAUAUAUUUAUAAUUUAUUAUGUUUACAUAGAUCUGUACAUAAUUAACCCAUUACAUAUUAAAAGCACUUUUGUUGCAACUCAAACUCCCCCUGCAUGCACAGUGUGUUACAGCUCAUGCAUGGCUUGGAGAUGUGAACAAAAUGGAUGAGAACGUACGCUUCGACUAUUCUCUUUAAUACACUUAAACCCUCUCCGCAAGAAAAGAUUUGUCGCAGCACCGAAUGGGUUGACCAAAAAGUUCAACCAAUUUCAACAUAUUUAUUUAUGUAUGCGUAUAUUUAUAUACUAACUUAGUAAUCCAUGCAAUACGAGGAAUAAAUAAUUAAAAAAUAUAUAAAAAAAAUAGUAAUAAAAAAAGCGAUAAUGAGGGAUGGGAUUUAUCUUGCCGUUGAACGAAAGUAACAGCGAAAGAAAGAGAAAAAUGAAUAACUUGAGCUGGUUCGAGAUGGAGUCCACAUUCAACUAUAAAAAAAAAAAAGUUAUCAUGUGGCAAUUUUGAGAUAAAUAAUGUAUAGAUAUGUAGAAUAUAGAUAUAGAUAUAGAUAAUUUGUUUUUCAUUUUGAAAACACAAUAUUAAUUCUUUCUUAAUGACGGAGUAAAUAUAUGGAGCAUGUUUACUAUUUAAUUAUAACUAUACAAAAAAUUUGAUCAGAUUAAAUAUAAUUAUUCUAUCAAUAAUAAAAACUACUCUUUUAAUGUCAUUAUGAUUUAUUUAUAAUAUGUAUGUAUAAAGCAGUGCUACUGUGCUAUUAGGAGCACAGCAACUCUUGUGCUUCUAAUUUUAUAACAAUCCAUCAAAUUUGAUGGAUGAUUAGAAUGAGAGAGGGAUGAGAUAUUGAAGAGAAAUUCAAGGAUAAGAGAAAUUGAGACACUCAAUUUAUUUAGAAAUAAACUUAGCUAAAAAUGUGAAUCAAUUAGAAUUCGAACUUAGAUCUCGGGUACUAAUCAUCAAAUUCUUCGCCACUUGCUGUAGGGACGGUUGGUGACUCCUUUUUUUUAAGUUAAGCAUGUAAAAGAUACAAUACUCGCCAGUUUACUCGGGGGAUCUUUCGGUGUAACGCUUGAUGCCUCACUUUCCAUGGUGUGCUUAGCACGUCUUCAGUGUAACGCCUAUAUAUUUCGUGGUCAAUGUGUUUGACAAAAAGAUGACACACACACAAAUAAUUAUCUCAGAAAUUAAUUUAUUGAUGUAAAUUGCACCAUUACUCCUUGAUCAGCUUUAACUCAAGGAUAAUUUAAUAUUCUAAUUUUUUUAAAGUAAUUUAUUGUAUAUAUAUAUAUACAUAUAUUAUUACGAAAAGAGAAAAAAAAAUGUUGCAUGUAAUGUAAAUGGUUCAAUUAUAUAUCAGUAAUUGGGGUACCAAUCAACUGCACUAGAUAUUUUCUUUUGAAAUGCUUAUAUCGAAGUCUAAAAUUCGCAAAAAUAGAAAUUAAAUACUCCAUCACUAAUUAAACGUGAUCAUGAUGCCAUAACGAAUAAGAUGCGUAUAUAUGGAGACUAUUUAAUUACCCCUAUAAAUGAGAUAAAACCCUCAAAUAAAACAACACUUUGUAGGCUAUUAAUUAAUUAAUUAGCUUUACGUGUUGAUUUAGUUGAGAGGAAUACUAAAUGAUGCAAUGUUCUUAUUCCUCUUAAUCAUUUCUUCAUGUGAGAACACAAUUCACAUGCAUGGGAAUAAGCUCAACACAAGUUUGGGCACAAAGUGUGUGAGCCAUAGUUUUUUUUUUUUUUUUCCUUCCUAUUUUUUAAUUCUUUUCAUAGGCUAUUGUAUCUGCUAUAGUUUUUUUUCGAGAGAGAGAGAGAGAGAGAGAGAUAGGUAGCACGCUAUCCGUUUCGUUUAUUUUAUUUAGAAAUAAACUUAGCUGAAAAUGUGAAUCAACUAGAAUUCGAACUUAGGACCUCGAAUACCAACCACCAAGUCCUUUACCACUUGCUGCUAUAGUUGGUACUGAUGUCUUAAAUAGUGUGGGUGGGUUCCGUGCCCUUAUUUAGAUGCUUGAAUAACUUAUUCAGUAUCUACCAACCGUCCCUAGAGCAAGUGGCAAAGGAUUUGGUGGUUGGUAUCCGAGACCCAAGUUCGAAUUCUAGUUGAUUCAUAUUUCUAACUAAGUUUAUUUCUAAAUGAAAUAAACGGAGCGGGUAGCGUGCUACCUAUUUCUCAAAAAAAAAAAACUUAUUCAGUAUCUUAAAUAGUGUGGGUGGGUUCCGUGCCCUUAUUUAGAUGCUUGAAUAACUUAUUCAGUAUAUCUUGUUAAUACAUUUUUUAGGUUUCAAUUUAUAACUUGUACGAUUCUGUUUCAGAUUAAAUUUAUUUAGCAAAAUAAAUUUAAAAAAUAAAAAAGAAUAGCAAGUUAUUAGCAAAAUAAAACCAAAAAUGAAAAUGCCAAAAUAAAUAAAAUAAAAUUGUUGGUACCUUUUAAAUUUGAAUUUAUAACUUGUGAUUCGGCUGCAGAUUAAAUUUAUUUAGCAAAAUAAAAAAUAGCAAACUAAAUUAGGUAUUAAAUUUGAAUUAUUAUCAUUUGUGAUUCUGUUAGAGAUUAAGUUUAUUUAGCAAAAUAAAUUCAAAAUUAAAGAACAGCAAACUAAAAUUGAAAAGAAAAAUUAUUUAGCAAAAUAAAUUCAAAAAUAAAGAACAGCAAACUAAAAUUGAAAAGAAAAAUUAUUUAGCAAAAUAAAUUCAAAAAUAAAGAGCAGCAAACUAAAUUUGGGGAAAAAAAUAUUUAACAAAAUAAAUUCAAAAAUAAAAAAUAGCAAACUAAAAUUGAAAAAAAUAUUUAGAAAAAAAAUUCAAAAAUAAAAAAUUAGCAAAGUGAAAUUGGAAAAAAAAAAUUACUUAGCAAAAUAAAUUCAAAAAUAAAAAAUAGCAAACUAAAAUUGAAAAUAAAAAAUCCGACCUGCCGGAUUCGAACCAGCGACCUAAGGAUUUAUCUGCAAACACUACAGUCCUCCGCUCUACCAACUGAGCUAAGGUCGGUUUUGAUUUAAUUUUACUUAUUUAAUUCUAUAUAUUAAAUAAUAUUGUUAAUUAAUUAGGAUUCCUAAAACAUGGAUUUAGGGCUUUUCUCAUCUAGGUUUUUAGUAAGAUAAAAAGAUAUGUUUAAAGUACCUAAGGUAUGAACUAUUUUCAGUACCGGCCAAGAAAUUAGUAAACUGGGAUUUUUUUUUUUUUUUUUAGAGAUAGGUAGCACGCUACCCGCUUCGUUUAUUUCAUUUAGAAAUAAACUUAGUUGAAAAUAUGAAUCAAUUAGGAUUCGAACUUGGAACCUCGGGUACCAACCAUCAAGCACUUUGCCGCUUGCUUUAGGGACGGUCGGUGUAAACUGGGAAUUUUGAUGGACUUGUUUUGAGAAAUGAAAACAAAAAAGUUUCAAGUGCUUGUGAGAGGGAUUUUACAGGUAAAUUUGUAAAAAAGGAAAAUUGUGCUUAUCAUGUAGCAGGUCUUCACUAGAGAGCCUUUCACUACAAUCACUGAUCACAUAACAAACUGGGAGACCAUAAACAUUUGCAUGUUGAGUUGCACACUUAAAUGUUCACAUGGUAUCAGAACCUCUCUAGUUUGAUACAGAAAAAUAAAUGUUCACAUGGUAUCAGAACCUGUCGACGCACUUAAUUCAAUAUACAUGUGGAAACCUGUUGAAGAUAUCGAAUCUAGACUUGUUUAACAGCUUCCAUGUUCCAGAAGCAGGGUGAAGUAGCGCGGGGCGAAAUAAACACCAUGUUUGGGAAACCGUAUAGUUCGCUGUAACUUCCUUACUCUCGAAACUAACUGAAUAUGCUUUCUUCGUGCUAUAAUGGGAAGCUUUGUAGUUUGUAUGUAGUGUUGACUGAGGAUAUAUAUUGCAGUUUCUAAAUCCGCCCUCUUCAGAGUUGAGUCUGGGGCAUUAAAUAAUAUGACUUUUCCCAAUAUGAUCUUGACGAGCUCUACGAACCUAUUCAGACACAGUUUGACAUCUGCGAAUGCUUCAACAGGAACCUUCUCUCUCCUCUUAUCUCUUCUUUUUAACCUAAAGACAAUGAAGGUCGAUUGUGAAAGCGAGCCAGUGAAGCCUCUCAUGGAAGCAAAAUAAUUUAAUGAGUAGAUGAUAAGAUCGCAAUCAACAGUAAUAGAUCAUUUUUGCGAGCUAUUCUCUGAUGCAGUUGAGCAUAUAAUGAUCAAAAACAAGAAAAUGUUGUUGGGUCACGAAGACGAAGGUUUCAUUGAGGAUAACAACAGUUGACUAAUCUACAAGAGGAACAUUUGGCAGCUGUGAAUAUGAUAUGAAAAGCUUCCCUUGAUCAAAGUAUGAACAAAAGAUAGUUUACAAUAAAUCCUGUAUCAACGCAGAUGAGUUGAACCGGGCAUUUUCGUAAAUUUUCUUACGAAAAAAAAAAUAGUCAAGGACAUAGAAAUAUAGAAAAAAAAAAAAAACUUGCAUUGUAAUAACCAAAAGGAAAAAGCUUACACUUGAUAAGAGAGGCUGUUUGACUAAUCUUUCCAGGUUAAGCUAAGAGACCACAAAUUCCUGCAAAAAAAAAAAAAAAUUGUAGCUCUCUUUGGUUUAAAGUAAAUCCACAAGGAGAAGACAGAAUUUUAAGAUGUGUGGUAUAAUGAGAUAAAAACCUGUGCAAACAUAGCAAAUUAGGGUUUAUCCUCACAUAGGAAAUAACCUUCAGUUGGAGCAAUCUUGGCCCACCUGCAUGAGCAUUUGUUGAUUACAGUGCGCUACAAUUUAACUUUAUACUAAAUCCAAUAUAACUACAACUUCUAAAAGAAAUCUAAGAAGCAUAAGAAAUAGGCUUGAACUAGAGAAGCACAUAUACAUUCUCAUGAAGCUUAUAAUUAAUUAUGAGUGAACUAAGUUCAACCAGCAUAACAAACAAAAGAACAGGAAUCCUCAGACAUAUAUAUAUAUAUAUAUAUAUAUAUAUAUAUAUAUAUAUAUAGAAUUGGGCUCUUAUGCUUUUAAAAGUACCAAAUUAUUAGUGCUUGUAGAUUUUUGGCCAUUGGAUUAAGAGAUGUGCGGUUAGGAUGAUGUGGACCUCCUAGGGUUGAGUAGGUAGUUGGUUGAAUAGUAUAAUCUAACCGAUGAAAAUGAUCAAAGGUGUGAUCUAAUGAUAGAAAACUCGAUAAUAUCAAGAGUUGAGUGCUUUUACAAGCACCGUAGCCGGACUCUCUCUCUCUCUCUCUCUCUCUCUCUCUAUAUAUAUAUAUACAUAUAUAAAGCAGCUUGAAAUACUUGCUCAAAGAUGUAGCACCUAGGAAGAAAGUAGUCAACGCGGUUAUCCAUAGGAGUUGCAGGUAACAUGUCAUCUAUGAACUUCUCCCUUAACAACAUAUUGGCUUAUAGUUAAAUGUCGCACUGACCUGUUAUUGUUAUCAAAAUAGUGGGUCGCCCAUAUUUAAUCCAGGGAAAUGAUCAUUCAAGCAAAAAAUUUAUAGUUAUCACAAUAUCUAACAACAUACUGACCAUUCCUAUUUAGAGGUAUCGUGAUGUUUUAUGGGGAAAAAAAAAAGAUUACUAGUGUCUGGCUUCCACAUAACCUUUAGUUCAGGAUUCUUUGGGUCGUAAGAUUUACUGCUAUUAAAAGGAUGAAUGAUGACUCAUAAAAAGGCCUUGACAAACCCUAUCAAUAAAAUUCCAAAUAGAUUAUACAAACCAAAUAGCAGACUAUAUUAAGCUAGCUGUUUUUUAACCACUAUCGCUUCAUUACACUCAUCUAUUGGAGAUGCAGUUUGAAGAAUCAAUACCGUAAAAUGUGAAGCAUUCAAAGAAAGCUUACCCAUCAUAUCAGCACAUAAAACUGAAAGCUGCAUCACCAGUUGUCUUCGCAAGAGCAUAAUCCAUGCUUUAUUUCAUGAAACCUAAUUCCAUCCCUUACAGUAAUCUCCCUAUUAAAAAUCUUCGAUAGGAGCUUAAAAGAUGAAUGGCAAUCCGAGCACAUACGAAGAUUCGUAACAAUUUUUACUGGUUCCUCAGCACCUAAGUUUAUCAACCCAAAUGCUAAAGCGACCUUCUCACUGUGAUAAGGAACUAAACUACCCUUUUUAUCCUUACCGACAUUGUAAAGUAUUUGUUCAGUAACCGUAUCAUAUCCUGUAAAACUCAAUCUCCUCGAAAUUUCUUCAAGCAUUAUACUUAUCUCUUUGGCCUGAGGGUGUGAAUUCAUAUUUGCUGAGAAUUGGUGCACUGUCCCAUCCCAUUCGACAUAGCUGUAGCCAGUUCGCCUACCAUUAUGUCUGUAAUUUAUAAUAUCUCUCAACUUUUGAGCAUAAUCCCGUCGCUUGACAUCAGAAAAUAGGUCAGAUAAAAGAAAAUCUCUCUCCUUAUAAUUACAGUCGAGUUGAAGAAGUUGUUCUUUCGCAAGUUCUCCAAUCUCAGCAUUCCUAUGGAUUCUACAUGAACGCAACAGAGCUGACCAGAUCACUGAGUUUGCUUUAAUUGGCAUCUUCUCGAUAAAACUGCGUGCCUCAUUCAACAACCCAACUUGCCCAAAGAGAUCAACCAUGCAUCCAUAAUGUUCAAUCUGUGGUUUAAGUCCAUACUUCACCAUGGAAUCAAACAAUUUCGUGCCCUCUGAAACCAAGCCACUGUGACUGCAGGCACAUAAAACACCUACAAACGUGAUCUCGUCAGGAACAAACCCUAGUGAUUCCAUUUCACCAAAUACUGCAAUUGCUUUCUCACCAAGUCCAUGUUGAGCGAGUCCCGAAAUAAUCGCGUUGAAUAGCUCUACUGUUUUUAAUCUGUAAUCAACUUUGUAAAAUAUAUCUAAAGCUUCUUGUAUGCACCCACACUUGGCAUAUAUAUCCACAAUUGCGGUAAUUAUUCUGGGGUUUCUAUUAAGCAACCCAUCGUCUUCUACGUAACCGUGAAGCUUCUUCCCCAAAUCAAGGGCACCCAAUUGAGCACAUGCUGAAAGCACAGUAACCAUGGUCACUUCAUCAGGUCUAAGUCCUUCCUUCUCCAUCUCCAUAAAAAUUUCCAAUGCUUCCCUGUACUUUCCUGAUCGAGCGCAGCCACUAAUUAACGCUGUCCAAGCUAUCAAAUCCUUUUGAGGCAUUUCACUAAACAGUUUACGGGCAGUACCAAUGUCCCCACAUCUAGCAUAACCGGAAACCAAAGAACUCCAUGCCUUGACAUCCGCACUAUCGCCCAUCAUGCGAAACGCUUGAUUGGCCAAUCUCAUCAUCCCACAUCUAGAGUACAUGUCGACAAGUGCGGUAACUAUAUAAUUACUGAAUUUGUCAGAUCCUAUAGUUUUAUAAGCUAGCAAAUGAACCAUCUUCCCAGUUCUAGCAUCACCCAAUUCCGAACAGAGAGAAAGCACGGAGGCGAAUGUAGAGCUAUCCGGCUUAGAAUCUGAAUCCAGCAUCUGCUUAAAAACACUCAGGCCAUUAACCGCUUCACCAGCUUUAGCAUACCCAUCCAUCAUAGUAUUAAACGAUACAGCAUCCCGUUGAGAACACGCAUCAAACACCUUGCGUGAACACGGCAUAUCACCAAACGAAGAGUACAGAUGCAUAAGCGAGUUCAUAACGUAAGUAUCCGAAUGAAACCCACAUUUCACAACGUGGCAAUGAACCCCAAAACCCACAUCGGGGCUGGGAAGCUUCGCGCAGGCGUUGACUAUGAAGGUGAAGGUGAAGUUGUUGGCGAUCAAAGGAGCGCCGUUGGAGACCAUGGACUUGUAGAGGAGCACGGAUUCGCGAGGGGACUGGGCGCGGGAGUGGGCGCGGAUCAUGGCGUUGUAGGCGAAGGCGUUGGGGCGAGGGAGGUGGGAGAAGAGGAGGCGAGCGUGGACGAGGUCGGGGGGGUCGGAGAGGGCGAAGAAGGAGACGAGCAUGGAGAGGAGGCGGCGGCGGCGGCGGAGGAGACCGCGGAGGAGGAGCUGCGCUGUAACCUGGAGAGCGUGGUGGGGGUUGAGAAUGGAGGCUAGGGUUUUUUGGUGGGUUUCGUGUAGCAUAGCUCGGAUUCGGAAGAGGAGGAGAGGUGGGGAGUUGGGCGACGAGGGGGAGCGGCGGAGGAAGGUGACGACGAUGAGGGUGAGUGCUUUAAGAAGUCGUCGUUUCGAGACGUUUCGGCGCCGAGUUUCUCUGAAGUGGGAAACAUUUCGGCAGAGUUUGCUGUUUCGGCACCGGCUUUACAGUUUGGAGAGCAUUUUAGGCCUUUGUUGGCUCCAUAGCCAAAAAUAGUUGCUACCAUAACAGCUGCACUACAUACAAUAUCUUCUAAAUUAUUUAUUACAACAUAUCGGAGGACAAAGAAUUUAAUUAAUUUCAUAGUGAAACAAUAUUUUUUCAAAAAAAUAUUAUUAUAUGUAUUUCUAAUGUGCUUUAAUUGAAUAUUAUUAUUCUCAAAUAGAAUAAUUGCCAUAUAUAAAACUUUCUCAACAUGGAUACACCACUAUUUGGUAAACAGUUAUUUAAAUAAUUUUAUUAGAAAACUGAUAUAUUAUAAUAUUUUCUACAGUAAAAUUGGAAAUAUUAAAUUAAUGCUUUUGGUUCUUAGGGUUAGAAAUUUAUAUUUAUUUUGAGCUACAGUAUAAGCUUCAAAUAUUUUUUUUUAAUGCUAACAAAAUUAUUUCUAUAUGUACCCGCUUUGAUGCUCAUAGCUUUUGAACAUCAACAAUAUUUCAUGAACAGAUUGUAUUGUUAUUUUUAUUGAUCAACUUUAUAUCUUAGCUCAUGUGUGGUCUUUAUUAUAAAGUAUAAAAUUAAUAGGUGAAAUAUCAUUUGAAUUGUAUUAUUGUAUUAAUCUUUUCUACUGGGCAAACUCUCUACUGAAGAUAUUAUUAUUGAAAAUAAAAGUAGAAAAGAAGCUAAAUAGACACAUGGACUUUAAUUAGCAAUUUCACCACAUGUAGCAAUUGCACUUUUGCCACAAUAAUCAAAGCCAAACUCUAUAUCAUUUUGAACUAAAAAGCUAGCAAUCUCGAACACAAAGUCGGCACUAGGGUCCCACUCGUCGACGAAUUGAAAAUACGAGAAAGGCAAACUCCAACCAGCUACUACGUCGCCGUAUUUGCCACAAUAUAAACUCGGCAAAAGGAGCAGACUGGCCACCGACUUUCAUUCUGAAGCGACUCGGAUAUUUCAACAUUACCGUACUCUUCCUCCCGCGCUAUUCAAGCGAUCCUUCGUGGGGGGGAGCUCACCUCUCUCAGGAGGAGGGAGACGACACGAAGCAAGGGCGAGUCUCCUCUCCACACUUCGCUCUCGAUCCGCCAUGGAAGGAGCACCCCUCUUCAGCUGGGAGCUCGAUGCUGUAGGAGGCGGCGCCGGUAAGUUUCACCUCUUCCCCCUUCUCUCGAUGCUGUUGUAAUGGUUAGGGUUAGGAUUUUGUUCCCUUGGUUGCUUGAUGAGGACAAUGAUGGUGUUGAUUAGAUCUAGUGAUUUUGGUAGGAGAAAACCCGAAAUUCGGGAGAAAUAAGAAGAAGGGUUUGAUCGGGAGUAAGAGUAGGAGGCAGACGCUCUCGGACAUCACGAACACAGGGAGGAACCAAGAAAACCCUAACACGACGAUCUAUCCCGAUUCCAAGGAUCUGAUCGAGCUAACGAAGGUUUUAAAGCAUUUUAAUCCUUAUGUUCAAACAUUACCGAAUUCCCUUUCUAAUGCCUAAAAGGAGUGCCCUAUUCUUUUGGCUCGCCGAAUCCCAGGGAAAAAGUGAGCUACUGAAGCUUCUCGGAGAGAGAAAGUAUGCGCAUUCAUGGAGUAGAUUUCCCUUAAUUUUAGGUCAAAAGUUGAGUUUUUGUUAACUGGAUUGGGUGGGUGAUGAUCUUUGUUUAUAGUAAGACUUUCGAAGAGAGCAAUAGUGAGUUGCAGAAGCUUCGUGUCGCGUUGCACAAAGCCAAUCAGCAAAAUAGGGAACUUGCUCAGGCCAACUCUCGGAUGCUAAUGGUGCUUUUCUUUGUCCUUCUCCCUCCUCUUAUAUCUUACUUUUUGUCGAUAAGGAAAAAAAAAGGGAAAAUUCUUAUCUUUCUCUUGCUUUGAUCUUCAGGAGCUCAACUCGGGGAAAGAUAGAGUGAGUCCAAUCUAUUUUUAACUGGCCUAUUAGUUUGGUGGUGCUUUCUUUCGCCUAUUCAGGUGAUUUAGUUGUUGGCUAUGAAUGGACUUUUGGCUCGACAGGAGCUUUUGUACAAGUUCUAUUUGGUAGGACUAUUUAGCAAACCCUAAUCAUUAUAAUUCUUCAAAUAGCUUAAGUUGCAGCUAGAAGAAGAAGCUUCAUAUGCAAGCUUCUCAGCUAGAAUCUCUGAUUUUUUUGGUUUGUUGAAGUGCCGAGUUUGUGCUUCUUGAGUUUGGAAACUGUUACACAAGCUGUGGGGGAAAGAGCUGUGAAAGCAGUUCCUGGCUUUAGUAGCGCCAGAGUUUUCUUUUGUGUGUGAUUGCACUCGUGCUUGUCAACUUGAAUCUGAAUUCUCAUAAUUUGGUCAUUUGUGGGUAUACAGCUCAAAGAAUUGCAGCAUGAGCUUGGAUGCACAACAGCAGUCCUCAGAACGAAGACUUUGGAAAUGGAGGUAUGAGAUUAUCAGGUAGUUUAUAAGUAUUCCUAUUUAUACUGUGCUGAGAGUUUUUUCCUAUUUUUCCGAUUAAUUUUAGGAGAAGGACAAGUUGAUUAAAGAACUAAGUAAGAAGAUUGGGUUCGAGGUAUCUAUGAAAGCAAAUUUAAUAUAUAUGCAUCUGUAGUUACUCUAUGGCCUCUAUUUUCCUCUUUGCUGAUAAUACUUCUCUUUUUCACUGCCUAAAUGCUAAUGCCGGGCAUGCUAAGAUUGUUGCUGAUGCACCUCACCCGGCUAGUGCUCAUAAGAAACGCAAACCCAAUAGGAAGCACACAUUAGAAAAUCAAGGUAAUUUUUUUGCCCUCAACAUUCAUGAAUUGUAGUCAUUGUUUCUGCAAAUACCUGUCAAUAGUUCGUCUUUAUUCGUUUUGGGUCAUGUAUUUAACUUCUUCUGUACUGCAUUGUUCCAUGAAGCAGCACUGCAGGGAAAGGAUCACAGAAGGUAAUGGCUAGCUUUGAGAUGCCACCACUACUAUUUGUGACUGAAUAAAUUGCAUCGAAGGUCCUCAAACUUCUAGUAUAGUUUCAGUUUCGUCCUCACAAUAGAGUCCUUAAACUUUGCCUUCAUAAGUAUCCAAGUACUCGCCAUGAAACCACCAAGCAACUUUGGACUUCUCAUUUGGCAGCUAUGUAGACGUUCCUGCUAAAUUUAGGGAAUUUAUAAGAGAGUGCUAAAAUCGGGGACCCAAUUGUGAAAAUUGAGGGCCGGUUACCAAAUGAAAACCUUAUAAGGUACAAUUUAUCCCUUUCAUAAUAUAAGCAAUAAUCGAGUAAUCACUCUCGUUUAUGUUCAAUCAGGAGGUCCUUAAGAAGGAGAUCUAUCAAAUUGACAUCUGAAUCAUCUGAACCUUCUGAAGACUCCUUUGAGAUUGAGGAUACCAAGAUUUCAGUUUGCUCACUUACCGGCAAAGCCUCCGAUGAAAACUCCUCUUUUCAGCUUGAAAAUUCCACCCCUGGUUCAAGUGCUUUUCACGAACAAAUGAAGAAUGAAUCAAACAGUGAUUAUUCAAGUGGGUCUUUGAAAUCUUGCAUUCAGGAAUUGAAGAUAUCUUCAAAUGGAAGGCCUAUGCGGAGGGCAGCUGAGAAGGUUCCUUCCUACAAAGAACUCCCUCUGAAUGUCAAGAUGCGACGGCCUUGAGCGGGUUUUCAAAACUUAGCAGAAUGUUACUAAAACACAGUUCAGCGCGCCAUCUGAGAGAUGGUCAUCUCACUCUGUAAGUGCAUGUUUUUUUGGUGUAAUCAAACUUUUUCUGUAUAGUUACUGUAGUCUUGGUUCUGCAAGCUUAUAUCUGUGAUGCGGAGUAUCUCCCUAUAGAUGCUGUAUGUAAAUGUUUUUGAAGGUGUAUUCAUUUCGAAGGCUGCGGUGGAACUGUAGGAGGAGCUGCAUUUCUAACUUUGUGGUGCAUUUUAUCUUACUGCAAUUUGCUAUAAAACUUAUCAUUCGCCUUCACAUUUAGGUUUGCCAUCUCUACCAUGCCAACAAGAUUGUCUAGGCUUUGAAAAGUCAUUUCUGGGGUGCAAACCGGAUUUUCGAGGCCCAAGCCCGGAUUACCCAACCCAGGGUAGCUUCUUGGGCCCAAAGCGUGGCGCCACAAUAGUUCUAUAUAAAAUGAAAAAGAAAAUCUUUAAUAUCAGUAACUGGACUUUAACAUUUUGGGUUUGUGUUGAGUCUGAUGAGUUGUUAGUGUUAGUGAGUUGGAUCAUUAUACUUAGUGUUAAAAUCGAUUUAUUCGUCGAAAAUAUAAGAUAAAUUUCACAUUGCUUGGAUUGAACCUGACGAGAACAAUAUGGUCUCAACAGGAGCCCCAGAUGGAAAAAGUAUUGGGUUUAAGUAUUUUGGACCAGUAAUUUGUGAGUUACUAACGAAUUGUUAUGAAUAAUGGGCUGGAUCACUACACAAAGCCCGGCCCAUUAACGGCCCAUAGUGCUGGAGAAAAGGGUGCCGAAUCCAGAUUCCGGGCGUAGUCGGUUGUCAACGCAAAACGGCAAAAGGCAGAGGAAAGAUUCUGGUAACCCGAACCUCCACGGUCCCCCUUCACAACAAAACAAAACCAGCGGAAUGGACGUGCUAAAUAAUGCCCCCAUUUUUCAUUUUUCAUUUUUUAUUUUUUUUUUUAAAAAGAAAUUCGUUAACUCUGCUUAUCAUCUUAUCUCUCGUUCGUUAAUUACUGCCCCGCAGUAUCAGCCACCUCCCUCUCACUCCUCUCGAUUUACUCCUCACACCUACUCACGUUGAGAGAGAGAGAGAGAGAGAGGGAGAGAGAGCAUUAAUGGCGUCGAUUAAUCUCUCCUCCUCUCCUAUACUCCGAAUCCCCUAUCUUCCUAACCAAUACCACCGAAAUAGGCCAUUUCCCUUCACCCUCCCCUCUUCUUCUUCUCCUCUCUCUGUGGAGGCGACCGAUUCGAGCCACUCUAGAAGCUUCCGCCGCUCGCGGCGGUGCGCCGCGUCGUCCUCCUCCUCCAACGGGCGCGGCCCCGAGGACGACGCCGCGAAGGAGGUCGAGAGGCUUCGAGAAGAGAAGCGCCGCGCCGAGCUCGCCGCGCGCAUCGCCUCAGGCGAGUUCACCGUCCAGCAACCCGGGUUCUCUUCUCCUCUCUCCUCUUUUUUUUUUUUUUGUGCCCUAAUUGACUAUUCUAGUAGUCGUUACUGAUGCUUCUACUCCCUUCUACUUCUCGUUCUUCUUCUCAAUAGAAGAUGGGCUUCGUCCGUGCGGAAGCUCUUGGUGGGGCUCGUCUUGAGAUGGGCCAGCGAUUUUGGCCCCACGGAAGGUCCCGAGAUCCCGCAGGCGAAGGGGUCGAUUCAAGCUGUUGGGGGGCAAGCCUUUUUUCUCCCCCUCUAUGAUCUUUUCCUCAGUUAUGGAGGUAUCUUUCGCCUCAUCCUUGGUCCCAAGGUAAGUAAUUACGAAUCUAUUUUAAUUUCUAUCUUCUAAUUGUGGUGGAAACAUGUUAAAUUUUGCAAUUUUGGCAAAUGGGUAGUGUUAAAAUUUUGAUUUUUACUCCUUUUUUUUAACCAGUCUUUUGUGAUUGUCUCGGAUCCGGCCAUAGCGAAGCACAUUUUAAGGGAGAAUUCUAAAGCUUACUCCAAGGUUUUGACUCUUUAUCUUCAUGUGUAGUUGACAUUUUAUUUACUUGUUAUUGAACUCGAGAGUAAAGAAGAGCAGUGUAGUAUGGUUAAGUUGGUAUUGGUGAUUGCAGGGCAUAUUAGCGGAGAUUCUGGAUUUUGUGAUGGGAAAGGGUUUGAUCCCAGCUGAUGGUGAGAUUUGGCGUGUUAGGAGGCGUGCAAUUGUUCCGGCAUUGCAUCAGAAGGUAAUAAAUUUUGAAAAUUGGGGAUUAAUGAGUAUUUGUCUUUGAUGAUUAGAGUGUAAUAUUGUGGGUUCCAUGAAUUUACUCAUUUGAUUUCAUCAAACAGUAUGUGGCUGCCAUGAUUGGCCUCUUCGGAGAAGCUUCAAAUAAGCUCUGCGAAAAGUUAGAUGCAGCGGCAUCAGAUGGAGAGGAUGUGGAGAUGGAAUCUCUGUUUUCUCGUUUGACUUUGGAUAUCAUCGGCAAGGCGGUUUUUAAUUAUGAAUUCGAUUCAUUAACACACGACAACGGGAUUGUUGAGGUCUUUGUUCAGCUACUUGUUUUCACAUUUUGGAAUUGCCUUUUCUUUUCCUUCAUUGCUUGAUCUUUUUUGCUUUAUUAUGCCUUCUUCCUCCAUGUUUCGAUCAGGCGGUAUACACUGUCCUGCGAGAAGCAGAACUUCGGAGUACUUCUCCAAUACCAACUUGGGAAAUUCCGAUAUGGAAAGAUAUAUCCCCUCGGCAGAACAAGGUUAAAGCAGCUCUUAAGUUGGUCAAUGAUACCCUCACUGAUCUAAUUUCUAUUUGCAAGGUAAACAAUCUGUUCCCAUAAGAUAAUGGAUUUGGAAUUCAUUCCUCAAACAAAACAGUAGUUGAUUCAGAAGUUGAAUAUCUUUGUUUUUGCACAGAUUAUAUAAUAUCACAGAAUUAGUCAAUUUUGACAUUUUCUUCAUAACCGUAGAGAAUGGUAGAGCAAGAAGAGCUGCAAUUUCACGAGGAAUACAUGAAUGAGCAAGAUCCUAGUAUUCUUCACUUCCUGUUGGCAUCUGGAGAUGAUGUACUAUUUCAGCCCUUCACUUGUGAACUUAUUGAAACUUUUUGCAUAUUUCUGAGGAAAAGAAAAUAAUGGUUUUGCAACUCAUACUAAGUCUUACUAAUCUCUUCCUCUUGUUAGGUUUCUAGCAAGCAGCUCCGAGAUGAUCUGAUGACGUUGCUCAUAGCUGGCCAUGAGACAUCUGCAGCAGUACUGACGUGGACCUUUUAUCUUCUUUCUAAGGUAUGUACAGUGUGGUUCGCUAGUGAUUAAAUAUAGUAUUCCAUGCUUGUUUCCUGAAGCAUUCUACAGAUUUGACUUCUUUCAUGCAGUUGAAUAUGCAUUAUUAUUGUCUGCUAUUUAUGUUCUUUGAUUGGUAUUAUGUAGGAACCGAGAGUUAUGGCCAAACUUCAAGAUGAGGUAAUUUAAGUUUUACUGCAUGAUAAAACUUUCAGCACAUGACAUUUGUCCACGCUUAGAAUGAACAAAAUCAUAUGAUGCUAUUUCUUUUUUGAGAUCCUCAGGUUGAUACCGUUUUGGGCGAUCGCCUCCCAACAAUAGAGGACAUGAAGAAACUCAAAUAUACAACUCGUGUGAUCAAUGAAGUAAGAACUCAUAUGUGAAUUGCUGUAAUUGACUAGAUAAGUGAUUAUCAGGUAUUAUACAUUCUUUUUCCUCUUUCUUCUUUGUUGCAGUCAUUGAGACUUUACCCUCAGCCACCAGUCUUGAUUCGUCGGUCACUUGACAAUGAUGUUCUUGGGAAGUACCCCAUUAAAAGGUAACGGUUUCUCAUGCACAUUCAUGAUCUUUUGGGCUAUUUUGAGUAUUAUUUUGUGAUUUUAUUAUCUGAUGGUUUAAGAUACGAGGUUCUAUUUCAAAUGGUAGGGAUGAAGAUAUAUUCAUUUCAGUAUGGAACCUCCACCGGUGUCCUAAGCAUUGGGAUGAUCCUGAGAGUUUCAAUCCUGAAAGAUGGCCUCUAGAUGGACCAUCACCUAAUGAGAUAAAUCAAAAUUUCAGGUACACAUUCUUAUCUAGAACCAAAUCUACUUAAGAUAGACACCCGAAAAUUAUAUUUGGAAUAUGUGCCACCAAGCCUGAGCCUAAGCCCAAUUUGAUGAAAAAUAGAGCCAUUCCUGUCUGCAUUUUUCUGUUGUGAGAUCCAGAUUUAUUCAUGAUAAAUACGCUUGGGCUGUGAACAUUAUCUUUUUUGCUUGUUUUCACUGCAAAACCACACUGAAUCCUUUAGGUGAAGUAAUUAAACAAAUGAAUUCUUAAGCAAUAUUAGAUAUUUUUCUGGCAAGUUUACGCAAAUAUUCGUUAUAUAAGUUAAUGAUGUUAACAUUGAAUGUCGCAGCUACUUACCGUUUGGUGGUGGGCCAAGGAAGUGUGUUGGGGACAUGUUCGCUACUUUCGAGGUAGUCUUCUUUUGAGAUUUCUGGUAAUUUUGUAUGUGUGCAGAUAACAGAUAGAUGCAUUUUGACCAAAACGUUGGGAUAUAAGAUUACCAAAAAUUACUCUACUAAUGGAAUAUAAAUACAAAUCGUAUGAGACAAUAUGGACUUUUGUGUUCACCUAAUUGGCAUGUAAUCAUCAAGAUUUUUUUUUUAUGCUUUAGACCGUCACAGCAACUGCGAUGCUUGUGAGACAAUUCAACUUUCAAAUGGCCCUAGAUGCACCCCCUGUAAGUCUUCCAGCUUUUCCUAAAAGCUCAUUUAAUUAAGCCAUUUGGCAACUCCAAAACAAAGCAUUUUCUAAUAUUAGAAAGAAAAUCAAAUUCAUGUUUGCAGGUGGAGAUGACAACAGGGGCCACCAUCCACACAACUGAAGGCUUAAAAAUGACUGUUACGCGAAGGACACGACCUCCCAUAAUCCCAAACUUGGAGAGUAAAGUAGUCAAUGUUAAUUCUGUUCCCACAGUUGUUUCAGAAGGGGACCAACAAGGUGAAGUCUCUACAACAGCUCAUAUUUGAUUAAUAGCAACCCUACAGUGUUAUUCAAAUACACUUUGAUUCAACGGUGUGGAACAAGUGUUUUUUUUCCCCCAAUUUUUUUCCCCAAUUGUUGAUCUAUCUUUCGCAUGCUGGUCAGUGUAAGCUGUCUUAGUUAUUUUUCCUACACCAUGUAGUGCUGUAAAUAUCAGAUAAACAAAUUUGUAAGCCAGAUUUGUGGCUGUCUCCUCUGUAUCAACUGGCUCUUAACAGUAUCUUAAAUUCUCUGUUCAAGUGGAACUAUUUUAGGUUGGUUAUCAUGUGACAUGUUUAAUAAUUGCUUUUGCACCUCGUUCCAUCUACUAACCCACUUGAAUAACUUGUUUUGAGAAAACAACACUUUAAGCAGAGGAUGUGUAUUCCAUGAAGACAUGCCAUCUAUCGUCGAACCACAGGUUUGUUGCACUAGCAGAAGAGAAUGUUUUAUUUGUUUUUAGCUCCUGAUUUACAGAUCUCGAGUUUUGGCUGUCCAACCGUACUUUGUACAUAUUUACAGAUAUACAGUGCAGUUUCGAACGGCAGUCCGGUAACUACACCAGCAAGGCUUCAAGCCCUCGCAGAACAUCGGUGCGCGUAACUAUACCUGCUUAGCACAGAUGAACUUGUUAGAUUCUCAAUGUUAGGCCUUCAAUAUUAAUUGCCUGUUAGUCCUGAUCUAUAGAACUACUCCAACUUCAGAAGCAACAGCAGCUAGGCUGUUGGCAAAUAAAAGUAUCUUAAUGUUUUUGCUGUAGAAGAAAGCUGAAAUCGAGUUUUCGGAGUUGGAAAGUAAAAAACUUUAAGUUUGAAACAUUUAUUUCUAAUACUAAGGCAAGUCGAGAGAUUUUGAUGAAAAAACUAUUGGCCAAGUAACGUCAUAAUAACAAGUUUGAUCUCUGUAUACAUACACAAACUCACCUAUGACUUGGUUUGAUUUUGAUGAAAAAACUAUUGGCCAAGUAACGUCAUAAUAACAAGUUUGAUCUCUGUAUCCAUACACAAACUCACCUAUGACUUGGUUUUUAUCAUUUACUAUUGGUAUCCUAUGGAUCUUCCUCUUGAGCAUUAGAGCUGCAGCAUCUGCAUACAUAACACAUAAAGUUCUUUCAAAACCAUUGUCAAAAACUACUGUAAAUUGUCACAUGAAGCAAACAUGCAAAAAAUUACCCGUGACAGUUUUCUCAGCAGGUAAAGUGAUUACAGGAGUUGUCAUCAUCUCACCAAUUCUUGUUCUCAACUGUUUAACAAAUGAAAGUAUGUAAGUGACCUUCCUUCAGUUUUGUGUGUGUGUGUGUGUGUGUGUGUGUGUGUGUGUGUGUGAGAGAGAGAGAGAGAGAGAGAGAGAGAGAGAGAGAGCAAACCCCAUUUGAGGCUUUAGCCUUGUCUUUCUUGGAGAUGAUUCCAACACAUUGCAGCUCGCCGUCGACCACCGGAAUCCCCGAGAUGCAGUCGAAGUGAUGGUUGAUCUCCUCAAGUGUCUGCUCCGCCUUAGCCGUCCAUACCGGACUCGACAUGACCGAACUAAGAACCGCCAACCGCCGCGACUGCCCAUGAAAACAAGAUCACAAUUACGAAGGAAUUCGAGAGAUCACAAACGAGUAAGAAAGAGAUCAAAGGGCACCUGAUCAUUCUCACUUGGGGCCUGGGACUCGAGAUAGACUCGGAGGUCAUCGUAGCUGAGGAGGGAGAAGUUCUCCGGCCAUUCGCCCGAGAUAAUUCCCUCCGGAUUCUCGUCGAGCUCCAGCCGAAUACUCCCGGUCGGAAACGCCGACGCUCGGCUCUUUACCGAUGUUUUGGUACGCGAGUGCGGCGUCGCGGAGCUCGGGUUGCUAGGGUUGUACUGAUUGAAAUUAAACGAGGGGGAGGUGGAUCUUGCACAAGGGAAAUGGAAUGUGGUGGUGCACGCCAUUUUUUGGGGGGAAGGUUCAGUUUGCAUGUCGCUCGUAGUGGCGAAUGAGAAUAUAUAGACACACAUUAUUUUUGAUGAACCGGGUCUACGUUUUCAAAUGGUGGGCCCUGGGUUUGAUCUUUGAGUUAAACGACCACGACUGGUAGCAUAGGUGUUGCAAUUAUUUUCGUCGUAACAUGCCCUGACGUGGACACCUGGCACGUCCUGAUUGGGUGGCGUGAUUCUUCAUGGCCCCCACCCCCCAUGGGGGUGUGAGUGGAUAAGGUUUGAGAACAAAGUGUAUGCAUAUCCACAGUUAGAAUAGAAGCUGGAAAAUAAUGCUAGAGCCAAGUCUGAGACUGUGAGUGGAUGGUGAAGUAGCGUUUUGGCUUUGAGCAUGCGCAGCAGAGCCAGUUGAACUUGCCCACUUAAUUGUUUACUGUUCAGUAUUCCGGCGGCUACCUAUCGAAACAGGCGGCUGAAAGGAAAAAAAUAUCGUUUAUGAUCAAUAACUGGACUAUCGUGAACUAAGACCUACAAAAAGUUAUUAUUCCGUGUCUCAACAUCAGCUGGUCAUCCAUCACAUUUCAUACACAAGUUAUGUAAUUUCUAUGCGGCAUUAAUUUUGUUUUAAAAUUUUUUUUAAUAAAACAAAUUGGAUGGUGAUUAGGCCCAGAUCCGAAAUACAUAUGCAUCUAUUUGGGCCUACCCUUGGCCCAAACAGAAGUGUAGUAGUAAUAAUGGGCUGUUGGGCUCUGAGCCUUUGUGCCGUGUUUAAAAAUACUCGGGCCGUGUUAGAGCCCCAACACUACUUAUCGUUCACACGAAAAUGCGAAUCUCUCUCUCUCUCUCUCUCUCUCUCUCUCUCUAUUCCUCUCGACGCCUCUGUCGCUCUCUUCUUCUUCUUCCUCUCCACCACCACCUCCACCUCCUCAAGCUUAUCCAUGGCCACCGCCGCCAUUGGAGCCCACCUCCUCCCCCUUUUCCCUCGCCCUAGCCGCGUCCUCUUCGGCCACCGAUCCUUCGCCGCCACCCCCAUCCCCGCCCAUCGCGCGUCGCCAUUAACGCAGCUUCGGAGGAGUUGGCCCUCCAAAUCUAAUCCCUCCUCGCGCUUCUCCCCUGUUGUUGCCUCCCAAUCCAACUUCUUCAGAGGUUCGCUUCACUUGCCCCCAAUUUCGUUCCAUCUAUUCCUCUAAUUCGUUUGCUUCAGUAGGAAUAUGGUUUUAGGAUGGGGCUUUUUUAUAGUGUCUUUUGUGUUUGGUUAGUGACCUUGUAAGAGAUUAUUGGUUCAGAACAAAGGGGAUCGGUUUGAUCCAAACAUUUAAACCUUGCUUAAAUGUUUGGUGUUUGAGCAAAAUAAUGGUACUAAUAUAAUCUCUUUAGCUAUGUAGUUCUUCACAUUUUUGUAUCAAAAUGGACAUGGCGGAUUGCGAAAGGCCAUUUUGUUUCAAUUGGAUUAAAACUAAUUGAAGGACUUGGAUGUGUGUGUGUGUGUGUGUGUGUGUGUGUGUGAGAGAGAGAGAGAGAGAGAGAGAGAGAGAGAGAGAGAGAGAGGUGUUUAGAAAACACGCAUCUUAAGAGUGAUGAAAUUUAGUGUGACUCACGAUGUUAAGUACUACUUAUUAUUCAGAUUUCAAAUAUAAAGCUACCUCUUUGUUGAUUUAUUAGCUUUGUAAGCUUAUCUCACAGUUUUGGUGAUCUUCUUUCUAAAACUUGUUUCAUUUGUCUUUUAAGGCAAUUAGUGCCACCCAUUUCCGCCGUCUAACUUGCGCUUCAAUAUUUCGUUAGUUGUUCGGGCAGCAUGGAGGGUCAGUAAGGAUGUAAUCGAGGCAGGAACCAGUUUUGUGCCUGUACGUUUUUGCUUCCGAAUUCCCACUUUCCGUUGCGUAUUUAGCACCUACUUUUGGUCAAGAAUUUGUUUCUGUUUCAAAAGCACUUGCAAUGAGUUUUACGCACUUGCGCUUUUGUGGCAGGCUGCAGUUCCAAGACCAGUAGCCAGGGUUAGUGUUGCUGUUGUUGCAGUAACCGUUGCCCUCUUUCUACUAAAAUCGUUCCUCUCCACCGCGUUCUUCGUAUUGGUAUGUACUCUUAUCAUAAAUUCCUGAGAAUUGUAAUGGAUUAUGUCAAGGAUAUCAUGCAGCUCUGUUCAAUAUUAGUUGUAAUUCUGGAACUCUUUCAUUUGAAUCGGAGAACUGUUAUGCCUAAUUUCUGAAACAUUUACAAGUGUGUAGCACUUCCUCAUUGAGUAAUCCCUCUGUGAAAAUAAGCAUUUUACUGGUCUUUAACCUUUUAAAUCGGCUUCAUAGACUUUUUCUACUUUAAUUUUUGUAUAAUAACAAGUGACUUCGAGUAGUAAUUAAUGACCACGCUUAUGACUCAUGUUCAAUGUCAACAUUUUUCUCCCUAAAUGUUUACGUAAUUUGCGAUGUGAGCCCCGAACUAUUGCAUACCAAAGAGCUACUUUUGAGUGUUGAUACUUUUGUAGGUUUUUAGGUUGGAGACAUGAUAUUCUUAGUUAAUACUUUGCGGAGAGAUGACUUUUUUUAAUUUUUGGGACCAACAGGCUAUGAUGGCACUCAUAUAUUUCGUCUUCGUCGCAUUCAACACUGAUGAGGUCUCGGGAGGUAGUGGUGGAAGUGAGAGCACAACAUCAACCGAAGAAACCUUGGAAGAAGCUCGGCGUAUAAUGGAGAAAUACAAGUAAAUUUGUUAUAACUUAAUACCAAUUUUAUCGUAUUUUAUUUUUCUUAUCUGUUGUACUUGUAUUCGGCAAUUUGGUAGAGAGUAAGUCUAUAGGCGUAUAGUUGUAAAUGAACAUAUGGAGAAUGGAAAGAUAACCACCUUUUCAUCUUAUCCUCUUUUGUUGUUAAUGUGUGCUUUCUAGUGUUUUAUUAUUGAAUUUAUUAACAGGGCUUCUCUUUUAUUCAAUCAUCCAAGCUAAAUGUAAGUAGAGGCUUCUGCAUGACCCACAUAUUUUUAAGUUCGCGAAGUUGGUCGUGUUUUUGUUAUUUAAAAGAUUGAAUUGAAUAGCAUAAGAUGAAAGAUUAAUGUUGGGAGAGACGAGUACGGGGCAUUCAUGGCAACACAAUGCAUAUGAGUUCUAUGAAGUUGUAUGGAAAUUCUCUUCCAUCACUCAAUUUGAGGAAUAAUUAGAAUUCGCAAGCUUUGAAACUUAAUGCCUUUCAACAUGCAUAACAUGUCUCCCAUAGGGUUGAUACAAACAUAGUUCCUAGCUGCUUCGCUCCUGUGAAGGAGAUUAUAUGCAGAUUUUAUUAGUAAAGCCUUCUUCUAAAGUAACUAUCGUAUCGAUAGCUUUGCGUCGCAUAUUCAACCUAUCUAUUCAUCUAAACUGAUGAUGCAACGAAGGCCUUCGCCGUUGAUCAUGUAGUCAAAUGCCUUGUUGAUAUCUGAGAACGGCAGUCUAUGAGUGAUGAACUUCUCCACUUCCAGUUGCUGCAGACGCAAGAGAGAAAGAAACUCUUUGUGGUCAGCCGACACGAAAAUCACAAAACGAGAAGGCACUAACACUAAAAAACACCCCCACCUUCUUCAUGUACAUAUCGACAACUUUGGGGAGAUCUGUUCGAGGCUUGUAGUUUCCAAAGAAGGUUCCUUUCAGAGUCCUCUCGUUCAGGAAAUUUAUCGGCUUAGUCUUGAACGAGUCAUCUUUGCUGGGCACUCCGACAAGUACAGCAACACCCCAACCCUGCAUAUUUUAGGUAUCUCACAUUAAUUAGCCUGUAAUUCAAAGAGAAGAUUUUCGUAAGCCCAAUGAAAUAAAAAGCUUAGAACUCUGGUUGAGAACUAGAUAUCAGGCAAACAAAAAGUCUAGAGUUCUUGUUGGAGCGGAAAGGUGAAAUGAGCUUUCGAACGCUUAAAAGCAGAAGCUCAAUUUUGAAGUUUCUGAUGCUAUUUUCAGCGGAAAGCUCUUAUAGAAACCAAGUAGAGAGUUAGUGAUUCUUCUUUAAACUAUCCAUUUUGCAGAAGCAGCAGGCGAGAAACAAAACACUAGCCAAGUUACAUACAUCAUGAACACAUUCAAAAGCAGAUAUCAUUGCAUUGAUGUUGCCCGUGCACUCGAUACUCCUGUCAACUCCGCCAUUGGUCAUCUCUGCAAUGACCUGUCCAAAGAAUAGAUGUUACUAGAAGUGGAGAACCUACUUAUGAAUAUGUUGCGGUACACAUUAAACAAGAACAAACCUCUUGCACAGGUUUGCCAUGAUCCUUUGGAUUGACGAAAUCCGUGACACCAAAUUUCUUGGCUGAAACCAUAGUAGAAGACUUAGAAGGAUAUUUAGCAUAAGGAAGAAGAUCUAAAUAAAGAGUGGUUAUAAUAAAAGUAGUCAACACACCUUCGCUGAAUCUGUUGGGAUUCAAAUCAACACCGAUGAUUCUAGAUGCUCCAGCAAUUCUUGCACCUUCCGCAGCCUAUAUAGUAGCAGCACAUAUAACAUUCAGGAACGGAACCUACGAUUGUAAUACUCGAGAACAUUAUAUGGAGAUAUUAGGUACUGUUUCAAUCAAACUUACUGCAAGACCCACAGCUCCCAGCCCAAAUACCGCGACUGUCGAGCCCUUCUUUGGUUUAGCAACAUUCAGAGUAGCCCCCAAACCUGAACAAUACAAAGAAUAUACGAAUGUACUCUACUAAGAAUAGGGCAUUCAUCAGUAAUCGUGCUCAUUUUAUUGUCCUUAUUAAAGCGUCGCUCGAUCGACAGGUAAAUGAUUUGUUCCCUUAAGAUUGGGAUUUUUUGCACACAUACCCCCUCAGUACACAUGUUUUCGCACAUAUACCUCAACUAAACCUUGGAUCAACAAAGCUACCCUCAGUAUAAUCGAUACCGCACAUACUGAUGAAAGGGCAAAAAAGUAUGGAUUGGGGCAAUGUAGAGACCUGUUGAUAUGCCGCAGCUGAGAACGCAGACUUUGUCGAGCGGAGCGGAGGGGUCGAUCUUGGCGAGGCAGCCGGAGUGGAUGACUGUGUAUUCACUGAAGGUGGAUGUGCCAAGAAAGUGAUAUAUGGGACUCCCGUUCUUGAAGAACCGUGCAUUGCCGUCGCUAAGCAUCACGCCCCGAUCGGUGUUGAUUCUAAGAAGGUCGCACAUGUUGCUCUCCUCCGACUUGCAGUGCGCGCACUCCUUGCAUUCUCCGGUGAAGACGGGAAGUACGUGAUCUCCCUUUUUAAGAUCCGUCACGCCUUCACCGACACUCUCCACAAUUCUGUGAUUGGAAUUAACAAAACACGAUACCGAAAAACCGUGGGAGAUAAAAAUUCGUGAAGGAUCCUUCGACAUCUCGACGAUGAGUUGUAAAAUAGAUCAUGAACAGCGUAAAAUGAAUGAAACAGGACAAGCCAGAGAGUUCAUGUGAAGAGUGAACAUACCCUGCUGCUUCAUGGCCGAAUAUGCGCGGAAAUAGUGGAUUUUGCCCCUGAAUAUCAUUCAAUGAUAAAUUCAAUAGAGAAAACGGAAUUGACUGAAAUGCUAGGUUAACCAAAUAAGAAAUUAGCACAAUCGUGGGGAUCGAAAUAAAUGAGUUCAGAAUUAACUCCGAUACUAUGUUACCCACAAGAUCUAAAAAGAGUUGGGGAAUAUAUUUAACAUUCCCACUCACACGUAUGGACAAAUUUAAUCAAAUAGAUGUUAAAGGUAUGGAUCAAACUAGAAUCAGCUCUGAUACAAUGUUUUGUCUCGAAACUAAGAUCUUGUUUAUAUAUCAGAAUAAUAAUAAUAAUAAUCUGGUAGGAUAGUAUAUUUCACUUGCGCGUAACAUCUAGGAAUCAUAAUAGAGAAUCAUGGUGAAAAAUAAAAGAGAAUAUCAGUAAAUAAGAAAUUUGUGGGAACCUUGGCUUCCCAGAAGUAGAGAUCGGUGUGGCAGAGGGAGGUGUACUUGAUCUUCACCCUCACCUCCAUCGCCUGCGGCGGCGCCACCUCCACCCGCUCUAUCACCAGCGGCUUCCCCGCCUCCCACGCCACCGCCGCUAAUAAACAAAAAUUAUUCACCAUUCCAAAAAUUCACCACCCCCCCAAAAAAAAACAAAAAACAAAAAAACAACCCCACUAAAUUAUUCGGUUAAACAAACAAAAAAGAGCUACAAAAAAAAAAAAAAAAAUAUACCCUUGCAGGGAAUAACACGUCCAGCAGUGGCCGCCAUGGCUGGCUAUUUUCGGAGUCUCCUUCAAUGGCGAUGAAACGAAGGUCGAGGAGAGAGUGGAAAAAAAAAAAGAAAAAAAAAAAAGGGAGUGUGGAGGGGAAGGGUGGUGGUAUUUUUUUUGAUCGAUGGGCGUAGUUUUGGUCGAGUAAUUCGUUCGUGGUUUUGUUAUGCUUUUUAUUAAUUAAUUAAUUUUGCUUUUUGAUCCGUGAAACCUUGUGUUGAGUCUAAUCACAGUGUAUACGACUAUAAUACGGUUGGGAUGGGAAAAUGAGACGUGGUGACUCACCAAAUGUUUGGCCCGAGUUGUUUUCUUGGCGUGGGCCCCACCAAUACGUGAUGCUAUUAUUAUUUUUACUUUUACAAAAUUAAGCAACAUUUCAAUUGGCUUUAACUUAAAAAAUCGAUUUUGGAAGAGACCGAGAUCAUUUGGUUAGAUGUAAUUAUAAAUUCAGUACAGUUAGAAAUACAUACAGUUAAAAAUAUAGCAGUUGUAAUUAUAUAUAUUAUAUUUAGUUGGAUGUAAUAGAAAGCGCUGUAAUUAUAAAUAAUUUAUUUAGUUACAUGUAGUUGAAAAAUAAUUUUUAAAAUUUUAUCAUUUUAUAUAUAUGAUGAUGAGAUUAGUUUCAAAAUAAAAAAUUUUAUUUUUUACUUAAAAAAAUAAUUAAGAAGAUAAGCAUACCAUUUACUCUCUUCAAUUAUUACAAUUGAAAUUACGGCUAAUUUAAGCUUAGUUCAAAUUACUGCAGUUGGAUCUUCUGCUGCAAUUUACUGCAGUUGAAUCUUCUUCUGCAAUUCUUACUGCAGCAUUUGAAGUUAAAUAUAUCAAACCAAACACGCAAGAUAAUUUAAGAAUAAUACGAGCUCAUGGAGUUCGAUUUUUAUGCCUCAAAACAUGCAGAGCAUGUUAUUGCUCAUAGAGUGAGUACAAAAUUACAAACAUAGUUCCAGAUUUGCUUCACUCCCGUAAAGGGAGAUUAUAUGCAGAUUUUAUUGGUAAGCACUUCUAAAGUAACUCUCGUAACGGAGUAACGAUUACUUUUUGCGCCGUAUAUUCGGCACAUCUAUUCUUCCAAACUGAUGAUGCAGCGAAUGCUUUGGCCCUUGACCAUGCAGUCGAAUGCCUUGUUGAUCUCCGAGAACGGCACUCUGUGAGUGAUGAACUUCUCCACUUCCAGUUUCUGCGGACGCAAAAGAAACAAGAUCGGGGACUCUUCACGGUCGGUUCAACACGAAAAUCGCUAGAUGAGAAACCACUAACACUUUAAAGACACCCACCUUCUUCAUGUACAAAUCGACGACUUUGGGCAGGUCCGUUCGCGGCUUGUAGUUCCCGAAGAAGGUUCCUUUCAGAGUCCUCUCGUUCAGGAUAUUUAUCGGCUUCGUCUUGAACGAGUCGUCCUUGUGGGGCACUCCGACGAGCACAGCAACACCCCAACCCUGUAUAUUUUCAGAGCUUCUUGUUAGAGUGAAAAGCUGACAUAAACUUCUCAGAGCUGUUCGUUGCUUUGCUCUAGAGAAACUUCAAGUGAAGCGAGAAACAAAAAGACUAGAAUUAUCAAUUACGUACAUCGUGAACACAUUCAAAAGCAGAAAUCAUGCAACCGAUGUUGCCCGUGCACUCGAUGCUCCUGUCAACUCCGCCGUUGGUCAUCUCUGCAAUGACCUGUCCAGAGAAUAGAAGUCACGAGAAGCGGAAACCCUACAUACAUCAAUCGAUCAAUAUUAGGUAACCACACUUAUCGAUCGAGAAUAAACCUCUUGAACAGGUUUGUCGUAAUCCUUCGGAUUGACGAAUUCAGUGACACCAAACUUCUUGGCUGAUAUCACAGUAAAAGAAGAAUUACAGGGAUUUUAGGUGAAUUGAUGUGCACAUAACAAAGAAUGCGAGAUAUUCAAUUACCUUCCUCGAAUCUGCUGGGAAUCAAAUCGACACCGAUAAUUCUAGAUGCUCCGGCUAUUCUCGCACCUUCUGCAGCCUAAAUGGUAACGAUAAAACUAACAUUCAGAAAUUGAAUCGAGGGCCGCGAACUACAAAUGAUAGAUGAAGAUCUUAGGUUCUGUUUCUAUCCAACUCACUGCAAGGCCGACAGCUCCGAGCCCGAACACCGCAACCGUCGAGCCCUUCUUCGGUCUAGCAACAUUCAGAGUAGCCCCCAAGCCUGACAACAGAAAGUGUUACAUCAACUCAAUUCCGAUCAAGCGCAGCAUCAAAUAAUCUGUCUCGUUAGGAUCUUGAAUGUUGAGCCGGUGUCGAGACCUGUUGAUAUGCCGCAGCUGAGAACGCAGACUUUGUCGAGAGGAGCGUAGGGGUCGAUCUUGGCGAGGCAGCCGGAGUGGACGACUGUGUACUCGCUGAAGGUGGAUGUGCCCAGAAAGUGAUAUAUGGGAGUGCCCUUCUUGGAGAACCGCGCGUUUCCGUCGCUGAGCAUCACGCCACGCUCGGUGUUGAUUCUAAGAAUGUCGCACAUGUUGCUCUCCUCCGACUUGCAGUGCGCGCAGUCCUUACAUUCUCCGGUGAAGACGGGAAGUACGUGAUCUCCCUCUUUAAGUUCCGUCACGCCUUCGCCGACACUCUCCACGAUUCUGGGAAUUGGAAUCAACAUAAAACGAUACCGAAAAACUAUUAAAUAGAUCAUGACCGGAGAAAAAGAAAAUGAAUGAAUCAGGGAGAAGUCGGAGAAUUCAUGUGAAAAAUGAACACACCCUGCCGCUUCGUGGCCGAAUAUGCGGGGAAAUAAUGGACUUUCACCCUGAAAAAUCAUUCAACUACGAAUUCAAUAGAGCAGGAUUAUGGAUUUUGAUAAAAUGUUAGGAGAAAGCGAGAAACAAUUAAUCUGAUUUGAUGCAGUGCAGAUGACUGAUAACAACAUUUUCCCAAAUGGUUCAUGGGAGGAGAUGCAUCAUCACGUGUUCUCCUAAUUUGUGGAACGACUCUUCUCACACAGACAAAUAGCGUGAUUUAUAAUAUAUUAUGUGACACAGCAUAGAGAAUGGUGUUUUUGUUAUUUAUAUUAAACACUUUUUUUUUUUCGCUUACUAAAUUUGAAUAAAAUGGGAGAAUAUUAAAUAAUACUUAAAAUCUGGUGAAACUCGAACUCAUGAUUUCUUACUUUAAUAUCAUAUUAAAUUAGCCGAUAGUUUACACUUUACUUUUUUGUAGUUAAAAACAUAAAUUUAACAUAAAUUUAAGUGUUAUGACAUGAAAUUGCUGUGCGUAUCGGACUGUGUAGAUUAAUGAUGUGCCAAUACAUAAUGUCAUGAAUUAUUUAUUUUUUUUAGCAACAAAAUUUUUUAAUUGCUUAUUAUAUAUCUUUAUCAAAUCUUUUAAGUUUUACUGAGAAAAUUAAUUGUCAAAUUUUUAAAAAAAUGAGCUAUACUAUUGACACGGGACAGUAUUAUGUCGAUAUCUUAUUAGCACGACAAAACUGCACAGUGGAUACAGUUCGUGUUGAUGGACAUUUAAAUUCUUGGUUUAUGAAAUUUAUCACUUUACUACUACGACAUCUAGCGAUAAGUUCUAACGGUUGAACAAAAAUACAAAUCAUAAAAUAACGAAAUAAAACUUUUCAACGACAAAUCAAAAAUACGCGCGAAAUGGUAAGUAAAGUUUACCCGAAAAAUAAAACCAUCUCCAAAGAGAAAAAAAAUAGCAAAGAGCAGUAGUACAUGCCUUGGCUUCCCAGAAAUGGAGGUCCGUAUGGCAGAGGGCGGUGAACUUAAUCUUCACCCUCACCUCCGUCGCCUGCGGCGGCGCCACCUCCACCUCCUCUAUCACCAGCGGCUUCCCCGCCUCCCACGCCACCGCCGCUAAUAAACAAAAAUCAUUUACGAAAAGGGUAAAUUAUUCGAUUAAACAUAUAAAAUAAAAUAUAUUACAAUGAUGAUGAUGAUGAUGAUGAUACCCUUGCAGGUGAUAACACGUCCAGCGGUUGGCGACAUGGUUGUAAAGAAGGUCGAGAUGGGGUGCGGAAUUAAUGGAGGAUGCUUGGAGAGGUGAAGCAGAGGAGGGUGUGGAGCAAAAGAGAAGCAAAAGAGAAGAUUAAUGGAGAGUGGUAGUAUUUUGAAUAGAUGGGAGAGGAGAGUACUCGUAGCUUUACUGACUCUCUCUCUUGCAUUUAUAGGAUUCUGACGUGGCUCGAACUCAUAAACUCCUGAUCAAAUACCAUAUGAAAUAAUUAUUGUACGAUAAAAUUUUAUAUUUAUAUAUUUUUAUAUUUAAUAUUUUUCAACAAAAUCUCCUUGAGGAGUCUUUACUUCGCUACCAUGCAUCGGUUUUAAUUAUAUUCAAAAACUAUAAUUUUCUCCUCCAAAAUUUAAAUCAAAAAUUUUAAAUUUUAAUGUUGAAAAAACUCAAUAAAUAUUUUUAAUAAAGAUAAACUGAUACGUUACAGUAAAUUAUAAUUUUGUAAAUAUAAUCCUCUAACUUUGCACUGAAAUUUUAUCUGUAUUUAUCAUACUCUUUUAUUUAUUUAAUUUCGCAUUUCUUGGGCGGUUGGGGACUUGGGGUGGAGCUGCCAAGUGUGGAGACUCUUUUUCGUCGCACACCGCACGUGUAAUGCAACGUUAGCAGUUUGCUGAACAAAAAAAACAUUAAAUUACUUUUAGGGGAGAGAGAUGGUGAAACUAUUUUGUCUUUUUUUUAAUAUAAGGUAAUUAAAAUUUUGAAAAUUUUAUGUUUUUUUUUCUAUGUGAUUGAAGGAUAGUAGUUUGAUUUUGAUAAUUUAGAAGGUCCUGACAUUUGUGAUUUAAAAGAAUAAUAAUAGAGUUAUCAAUUUUAAAGAUUUGAAUAAGUAAUUUGAUGAUAUUAUUUUAUAUGAUGAGAAUUUUUUUGUGACGUAAAAGUUUAAUUUGUGGUCGAUAAAAAUUUUAGCAUUCAUAGUUUGCUAGAAUAGUGCAUUACACAUAUAAGUUAUUACGUUCUAAUAUUUGACUAUAUUCUUUUAACCUCUAAUAACAUUACAAAAUCUCCAUUUAUUUCAAAAUCUAAACAUGUAGGAUCUAAAUCAAAUAUGUAGCACAACCAGCUAAGAACUCGAUUAUUGGUAUACUUGUGUUAAAUAUAAAAAUGUUUAAACACCGUUCUCUAACCGCUUAAAUUUCGGUUGUUUCACAUGGUAUCAAAAUAGCAGGUCCUGAGUUCGAGUUAUACCAGACUCCUAGCAUAUUAAUUUUCUCCCAUUUAAUUCAAACCCACGUCAUGAGCCAACAAAAAAAUUUCCGAGCCCAGAUGUGAGGGAGAAUGUUAAAUAUAAAAAUAUAUAAACACCGUUCUCUAAUAGCUUAAGCUUUUAGAAUGCAAUGAUUGUUACACAUGGUAUCAGAGAAGAAGGUCCUGAGUACGAGUCACGCCAGGCUCCUAGCAUAUUAAUUUCUCUCAUUUAAUUCGAGCUCAUGUCAUGGAUCGACUAAAAAAAUUUUUGAGCCCAGACGUAAGGAGGGGUGUUAAAUAUUAAAAAAACCAUAUUCAAACUUAUCUAAAGUUAGUAUUGUUUUUGUGAUUAUGAUUAAUGAUGAAUGGCGCAUGUCACGUAGGAGACGAUCGCACCAAAUUUUUGAUCGUUUCGUUUGGACGGUCCGAUCAUCCUUGAUACGUGUCCUUCUCUCCCUCGGGAGUGCAAGAGCUGGCUCGGGCGCGUGGACCAGUUGGAUUAAAAACUUUAUACUUUUUAUUAUUUUAACAUAAGCCCAUCGACACGUAACAGUUGAACCCGAGAACCGCUCCCAUAGUUUUCGAAAUAUGUAAUAACACUUUUUGAGUUGCCUACCAGGGUUUCUAACACUACUACAGAUCCAACCAAAAUUUCAUCCUUUUACAUUAGUAUUACAUUGUAUAAAUAACUUAUUUACCUCACUUCUACACGUCGUGCUUCAAUAGCAUUAAUUUUUAAGAAAAAGUUAAAAUGUACCGAGGCUGAAAAUAUAAGACCAUCAGAUUUUGAAUUUAAAAUCUCGAAUACCAACUAUCGAGUUUUUUACCAUCUGUGGUCAUAUGUUUCGGAUGCUUGGAAUGCCUUCUCUUUACUACUACAAAAUAUUUUUACGCCUCCCACUUACUGUCCCAUUAGAGAAUAGAAUUGGUUCGAAAUAAAACCCGGAAAAAAAAUUCAGAUUCAUUUGCAGAUUCAUUUGCAUCCUUAGUGCUCACGGCCUCGCCCCAAAUUUCCUUGGGCCACGGUGACGAUGGGUCUCAAAGCGCUGUUUAUUUAUCUUUAUUUGGCCCAACCCAAGUACGUUAAUGGGUAGGGCUUUGAGAGAGUUGAAACCGCAUUGGGCCGCGGCCGACAUUGGACAGCAAACAGGAAAACUUAGAGAACAAACGGGGCGGAUACGGAGGCGUAGGGGUGGCAAUCCAGAUCGCUGCUCGCGAGCCAGCUCGUGUUCGGCUCGAAAUGAGCUCGAGAUCAGCUCGCUCGUUUAGUAAACGAGCCGAACACGAGCUGAAUUUUUCAGCUCGUUUAAUAAACGAGCCGAACACGAGCUUGGGUUAGCUCGCUCGUGUUCGACUCGAUAACAGCUCGAGUACAUAUAUUUUAUAUUUAUAUAAUUUAUUUAAUUUAUAUUUUUAUAUAUAAAUAAUUAAUUAUAUAUAAUAUAUAUUUUUAUUAUUUAAUUUUUAGCAAAAUAAAAAUAUAAAUGCGAGCUUAAUUAUAGAAAGACUUCAUUUAUAUGUAAAGUUUCAACUAUUAGAUCAAAGUCUAAUGUAUAAAAUUUAUAAAAUUUUUUUUUAUACAUAUUUAAUCUAAUUCUUUUUAAUUUAUUGUCGUUGACGUACAGUUCGUGAGCCAGCUCGCUAUCGGCUCGUUUAUUAACAAGCCGAACAUAGACUGAAUUUUUCGACUCGAUAUCUUAACGGCCGGCUCAUGUUCGGCUCAAUUAAUAAACGAGCCGAACACGAGCUCGCUUGUGCGUGUCGCUCGUUUACACCCAUACGGAGGCGGAGAGGAAUCCUACCUGCCAUCCAUUUGGGGAUGGGAAAAAUAAGGGAUUAUUUCCACACCUAUUCCCAAACAAAAAUAAAAAGUGAAUAGCUAUUCCAUCCUUAAAUUUAAAUUUUAAAUUUUAUAUAUUUAUAAUUUAUAAUCUUAGAAUUAAAAUUUUAUAAUUUUAAAUUCUAAAUUUAAAUUAAAAUUUUAAAAUUUUAAAAUUUUAAAUUUGAUAUUUAGAUUUUAAAUUUAGAUUUAAUUUUAAAUUUAAAUUUUGAAUUUUGAAUUUUUUGAAUUGGGAUUUAAAAUUUAAAUUUAUAAAUUAUAUAUUUAAAUUUUUAAUUUUAAAUAUUUAAAUUUAAGUAAUAAUAAUAUAAAGGAUAAUAUUAUUAUUUUUUAUUUAUAACUAUUCAUUAUUCUUUUUAUUUUAUUUUAUCUUUUUAAAUGCUAUUUUUUUAUUUUUUUAAAAUAAUUUAAUUUUUAUCUAAAUAUAAAAUUUGUCUAUUUUAUCUUUAUAUCUAAUUUUUUUUAAUCCCCAAUUUCAUUUGGAAUGGGUCAAAAGUUCAUAACUAAUAAAGAAUCUGUCAAAUGCGGGUACGAACAAUACAAGCGUCAUAAAUGACGGACGUACAUUCCCAAUUUCCGAAGCAACAAAUUAUAGAUGCGGCGCGCUUUUGUAGCGGAUACACGCCAGUGUUCACACUUCACACUCUAUUGUAAGAGGAAUUCUAUACUGUCAUAUUUGUACCACGUCAUCAAUAAUAAGUUAAUUAUAUAUUUUUUUAAAUAAAAGUAUAAUAAAAAUAUUUUUUUAUAAUUAUGAUGGGACAUAUAUCUUUAAAAGUAGAUAUUUGAUUGAUUUGUUACGCCACGUCACUAAUAUAUUCGUUGCAUUCUAGAAUUUUUUCUAUUGUAGAUAUUAGUUUUAACUGAUCAAAACAUACUUGGUGUCCCUGGAGCAAGUGACUAAGGACUUGAUGGUUGAUAUUCGAGACCUAAGUUCGAAUUCUAGUUGAUUCACAUUUCUGGCUAAGUUUAUUUCUAAAUAAAAUAAAUGAAGCGGGUAGCGUGCUAUCUAUCUCUCAAAAAAAAAAAAAAAACAGAUCAAAACAAAUAAAUAAAAUAAAAAUAUAUACUAUAUAAAAAUUAGUAUAUACUAUUAAAUAAGAUGUGCUAAAAUUAUUAUUAUUAUAUUUUGAAAUAGAGUUUGGGUAUAGUAUUUUUUAAAAAUUCAAGCAUUUGAUAUUUGUAAAAUUUUCACUAUUAGAUUUAUUCUUUUAAUUAAUUCUGCCUUUUAUAUCAUGCUAUUCUAUCAAUCAUCCACUCAAUUCUAUCAAUCUAUAAACACCAAUAAGUUGCCUCUUUUAAAGAACCCAAUUUUUAAAGUAAAUAUUAUUUUUUAUCGUGCUUUCUUGCUCUUCUGUCUAGUAAUUUUAAAUUUGAGUUAAGUCUCCAUCUAAUUCUUAUAUAUAUUUUUAAUUAUAAAUAUUUGAGGUAUUUAUACAAAAUUUUUUUCUUUUUCGUAGCAACUAUGUACAUAAGAGAUACUACAAACCACACUUUCUGUGUCAUAUGAGAAAAUAAAUGAUCUAAUUGACCAUUUAUAUAAUAAUAAUUUAAAUAUUUUUUUUUGUUUUUGUAAUUUUGUGAGAUAUGAAAAAACUUGUUAAAUAUUGCGUGUGUAUAUGUAUACUGUAUACAUAGAGAGAGAGGAUAAGUACUCUCCUAUCGUCCCAUGUGAUCAUUUAUUAUCCAUUUAGAUCUCCUCACGGAACCAGUUAUGCGUACAACCGGACUCUGACUAUUUAUGCUGCCUCAUUAUUACAGGCUACUACUUUUGGUGCAUACACACAUCCCACUAAGGUGACACGUGGCUUCAUUUUAUACGCCUUCCUAGCUCCCCGCCAUAUUAUGAGAAAUUUUUGGCUGGACCGGGCUCACCUUCCAACAGUGGACCAUCUAAAAUCACCUUCUACACAUAUGUAGUCCCUUUAAAUCAUCACCGUUUAAAUGGUCGUUUUUCAAUUUUUUAAAAGGAUUAGAAGUUUAGUGGACGGCUGUGGUUCCGACGAAGAACGGUCCAUCGAUGACGUGGUGAAUAUAGUUUAAUGAAAAAUAUCAGUGUAUAAUCAUUGAAAAGCCGAGAAAAGAACCAGCGGGAUAGUUUAUCCGAUGGCGUACACGGUACACGGUACACCCUAUCGUGCGGCCGCAUAAUAAAUAUUUAUGCGUGCGUCUGAGGAUGUAAUCCUCGUAGAGAUAUAUAAACGCCCCAUCAUCGAAUCCCCCGACCAUUUCCGCCCGAGUAAGCGUGUGAAUCUCUUCAUUGUCCAAAUAAUAAUAUCUCCCUCGCCUACGAGGAGAAGCGGCGCGAGAUCGAGAUCGAGAUCUCAGAGGAAUCGCGCGAUGGAGAAGGCGAUCGAGAGGCAAAGGAUCCUCCUCACCCACCUCCUCCCAUCAUCAUCAUCAUCAUCGUCAUCUUCGAUUUCUCCGAGCGAUUCGUCGCUUCUCGCGGUAAUCGAUCGUUUUCUCCUCUCGUUUUCGCUGUUUUUGGCUUGGAUUAGGGUUUGGUUUUUGUUUGAUCGGUCGCCGAGGCUCUGUUCCUGAUUGGUGAUUCCGAUCCUCUGUUUACGGAGAUUAGGCUCGAGUUAUUUAUUUAUUUAUUACGAUUUUUCCCUCUUUUGGUUGUGAAUUGGGUGGUUUAUGAGAGGAUUUGGAUGCUUUCCACAGGCUUCGGUUUGUGCUGCGGGUGAUAGUGCUGCUUACCAGAGGAGUUCUUCGUAUGGAGACGAUGUCGUCGUCGUGGCGUGAGUAACUUUACAUUUUUUAGCAACUUUUGUUUUGAUGGAAAAUUUGGAUCUAACGGGAUCAAUAAUUGAUGUUAACCGUGUGCUUCCUUUGGAAAAUCCAGGAUUAAAUUAGUACAAAUAUGAGGUCCAUGUAAAUCUAAGAAAACUACAAAAAUUUAGAUAUUUGUAGUGGGAGAAAGAUGGUUUUCUCUUUUACGUUUUAGGCCUAUUAUUGAGACUCCACCUUAAAGAAGUGAACGGAUAGCUAACCCGUGUCAUUUUCGGUGUUCACUAUCAAUCAUCAGUUAUGCGAAAAUAUUUGUCUUGUUUGGGACCAAAGCAAAUUCAAGGUUAACAUUGCGGCAAUCAAAUGUACUGGUUUAUCGGGCACUUUUUCUGUUGAAUUCAAUGUCCCUGGGUUUAAGUUUCAGGCGGCUUUUCCAUGGUUCAUGCUUUAAUAUUAAUGCUCUUUUUGUAUUAUAUGUGCUCUGAUGUAUAUAAGAUUUGGCAAACACUUACCUUUUCUUCGUUUAGUUCGUGCUCGUUAUUCUAAUAUCUUAUUGUUAUUAUACUAUCUGUUAUAGCCAUCCAGUAAUAUGAGUUUCUGCUGUUAGCUGAAUCUAUUCAUGGUAAGCUAUAUUCCAUCCUGGUCCUGCUAAUUUGCCCUCUUUUUCCAUUCUGCGGUGCCAGUGCUUACCGAACUCCUAUCUGCAAGUCCAAACGAGGGGGUUUUAAGGAUACAUAUCCUGAGGAUCUUCUAACUGCUGUUCUCAAGGUCCAGACUUUCCUGAUUCGUUUCGUUUCGUUAUAUUUGUUGUCUAUAGAGUUUGUUUACUUCGACUGGUAUGGUUUUGUAAUUUUUUUUUUUUCUAACCAACUUCUCUUGUCCCUUCAAUCUUCGCUUUUAGGCACUUUUGGACAAUACUAAACUGAAUCCAAGUGAUGUUGGUGAUAUUGUGGUUGGCACCGUCUUGGCACCAGGUUCCCAAAGAGCAACAGAGUGCAGGAUGGCAGCUUUUUAUGCUGGUUUUCCAGGUAUAGUGGUUUCUUUUGUUGGUAUAAGCAAAGAACGGCCUGUUAAUUGUAGUACUGAUUGUUUUCCUUUGUCAUGCUAGAAACUGUUCCUGUUAGAACAGUGAACCGCCAAUGUUCAUCUGGUCUUCAGGCAGUUGCUGAUGUUGCUGCUGCCAUAAAAGCUGGUUUCUAUGACAUAGGUGAGAUUUCAGUCUGUUAUUAUCUGCUGUAGUUUCAUGGUUAAUUAUCUAUAAUCUCCUGUACUAUGGUCUUCUAUGCAGGAAUUGGAGCUGGACUAGAAUCAAUGACCAUGAACAGUGUUGCUUGGGAAGGAUCAAUAAAUCCGAAAGUAUGCUUCUCCUUUAGUUUGUCCUUAGAUCCUUAAAGCUAGCCCUGUGUUUUUGUGAUUCGAUAUUGAGUUACCGCUAAACGGAUUCAUCCUUCUUUGUCAGGUUAAUGCAUUCCAAAAAGCACAGGAUUGUCUUCUUCCCAUGGGAAUCACUUCUGAGAAUGUUGCACAUCGGUUUGGUGUGACCAGACAGGAACAAGAUCAGGCUGCUGUGAGUUUCAAGGAUCUUAAUUACUAAGCUUCAUAUUUUGAUGCCUCUUUCGUUCGGAAAUACGUAAAUUUCUUCCUUCACUGAUUGUCAGGUUGAAUCUCAUAAGCGAGCAGCUGCUGCAACCGCUUCCGGUAAAUUUAAAGAUGAGAUAGUUCCAGUGACAACAAAGGUAAAUGACUGAGCCAGAUAGUCUAUAGUGAUUAGAAAACUUUGCAUAAUUAUUAGAUGGGGAGCAAAUAUCCAAUUUAAUAAAAAGUAGGUGGGUGGUUCUGUUAGUUUUGCCACCACGGAAUAAUAGAAGUGAGAAGUGUAGAAACCUCAUUGAUAGCUAUAUAGAUAAUCAAAUAGGAAAAUACAGUUCUUGUAGCAGCUUCUCUAACUUCAAUUGACAUUUUUGGCCUCAUUAAUAGUGUAUGUUUAGGACUUAAAGUUACUAAGUUUGGUAUAAUUGAUAUCUCUUUGCAGAUUAUAGAUCCAAAAACUGGAGAAGAAAAACAAGUUACAAUUUCUGUUGAUGAUGGAAUAAGGCCAGAGACAUCGUUAUCCGGUCUGGCAAAGCUCAAACCAGUAUUUAAGAAGGAUGGGAGCACGACUGCUGGUAUUAUGGCACACUUCUCAUGUUUAUGAAGCUCAGACAUGUACAUUGUCUGUUUCCUUAUAAUAUUUAAUUGUGUAGGCAAUUCUAGUCAAGUAAGCGAUGGUGCUGGAGCAGUCCUCCUCAUGAGGAGAGACGUAGCAAUGAGGAAAGGAUUUCCUAUAUUUGGAGUUUUCAGGUUUUACUCUAUCCUGUCAUAUAUAUCUCUAUAAUCUUAGCAUUAGUAACUAGCGAUGCUUUUUGGUUUUUUGAUAAACAUAAUCCCUUGCAGAGCUGCAUCAGCUAAGUGGUAAAUUUGUUAAGAAUAAAAGUUUUUAGGACCCUGAUCUUAUUGUACUGUUCUUUUUUUCUGAUGUUGUGUGGUUCCAACCUCCAUUACCUUUUCUUUGUAUCAAACAAAUCAUUGUCUUCUUUUGCUGACUAGACAAUUGUGUCACUUUAACAUAACAUUGCAUCAUGUUCCCUUCCAGUUGAAAAGCAUAAGUAAUCCACCCCCACCCCUUGAAAAAACAAAGAAAUAAAAAAAAAAAUUUAAAAAAGAAAACUCCCCGCUAAAAAGGAUAAAAAUUGGGUGUUGGUGGUUGGGAAAUUGCUCCAUUUGCUCAAGAUUACUGGUGUAGAUGAUGGCAUCGUUGAGUUAACUGAAUUGAUGGAGAUCAGGGGAAUAUUUAUAGGAGCUUAUUGGUGUAGCUGAACUAUUUUCUGGCUUAUUCAGGAGCUUUGCUGCCGUUGGAGUGGAUCCUGCUGUUAUGGGCGUUGGUCCUGCUGUCGCAAUUCCUGCUGCAGUAAAAUCUGCAGGUCUUGAAAUUGGAGAUAUUGAUCUUUUUGAAUUAAAUGAGGUAACAUUCGGCUAAUAGUGGUUCUUAUCCUUCUUGUAAUCUUGUUUGUUAUAGUUCUAAAUGUUUCUAUGCAUUUUCUGUAGGCUUUUGCGUCUCAAUUUGUAUUCUGCUGCAAGAAGCUGCAGCUGGAUCCAGCAAAAGUAAAUGUGAAUGGAGGAGCAAUCGCUCUUGGGCAUCCUUUGGGUGCAACAGGUAUUUGCGACUGAUAUAAUGCUUAUUAAGGGUCUUAUAUAUGUGUUCUAAGUGUUAGAAAUUGGGUUGAUUUUUUGAUGCCUUAUACUGUUGUUAAGUUGUUGAUUGGUGCGAUAUGUAAACAAACAUAAAAUUGCUGUGUUGUGGUACUGGGAGAUUUUGCAGUACAGUGCUUUGACUUAAAAAAUGCUAGCCAUAGUUUUAGUAAUGUCCCCAGAAUAAGAAAAAUGAUACGUGGAGAUUCUUAAGCAGAAUUUGCCUUCUUUCAUAAUUGAGGUGCUUCAUUGGUUGUUCUGCCUUUGUUGUAACUUAUUAAUGUGAUAAUUGAAUAUGGUGGCAUUUCCUUCUUAUAGGAGCCCGUUGUGUGGCCACUCUGCUGAACGAAAUGAAGCGUAGAGGAAAGGAUUGCAGAUUUGGUGUUGUCACCAUGUGCAUCGGUCGGUGCUCUCUCUGUCGCUCUCUCACACACAUAUUAGCAUAAUGAUUUUACAUUUUACCCAAUUGUCUCGUGUAAAAUGCAGGAUCUGGAAUGGGGGCUGCAGCAGUUUUCGAAAGAGGUGACGGUGUUGAUGAACUCUCCAAUGCCAAGAAGAUCGAAUCCCAAAAAUGGUUAUCGAAGGAUGCUGUGUAAAGCCCUUCAUUUUAAGUUUUGCAAAAGCGUUUUUAAUAAAAAACCAAACUGAGAAAUUAGGUAAAUUAUGGCUUGGGGCUGAUAUGAAAUAUGUCUAUAAGCCCAUGCGAUGGACUCGAAUAGUACAUGAAUACACCACUCAAGUGACCGAACAAAUAACCUUCGUGAUCUUUACUCAUAUGCAUUUGUUAAGGCACAUGUAGAUGCCUCGAUUCUACUCUUUGUUUAUGCACUGCUCAAGCAUAAAUAGCCAUAAGUUUCUUAUGAAGGUUUGAAUAUACCUUUUUUUUUUUGGUUUGAGAAAUAGUAGCUUGCUACCGUUUCAUUUAUCAAGAGCUUUCUUUUAUAUUACUAUAUACCGUCUGUUGGGUGUCUGUUCUGAUGAGAUUUGAUGAGUUUACACUUGGUUUCAUGAUCUAUAUAUUGCCUCCGAUGUGACUCAGAUUUUCUCUCUAAUGUGAAUGAGGCAUAUGAUGAAUCUUGUUUUUAAUUUUUAAAGGUUUUCGAAGGUGACUUGAGCCAAAAUUUGGGACGUAUGCACGAUGGUCCUUCUGGGAGUGUUCGUCUGAAUGGUAUGGUUUCCGGAACUUCUUCUUUUGGUAGAAUGAAUAAGAUCAGCAAAUGCUAUGUUGUGGAAAGUUUCAACUUUGUGGAAUGUUUGAAAAAAGUUUCCAAGCUUUGAGAGGGUGAUUGAUAACUAGAAAUACUUUUACACUUUUACGGCCAAUUGCCGUGUAUCUUUUUUAGCAAUAUUAACACAAUCCAAAUAUAUAGUCAUAUAGAAAGUCCCAAUGCAUAAAAGCUGGUGCUCUUAGGAAUAUACCAACACAAUCCAGAUUUGGAUCAGGCGUGCGCCAUAAAGAUGGACCAAGUUUAGCCCAUCCUACUCUAACAUUAUAGAGUUUGUUAAGGCCCAACUUUAGCCCAAUAUGGAGGAUUCUAUUGGCCUGGGACAUCUAAUUGGGUACAAUUUGUCCUGGCCCAACCGGUUGAUACCUUCCUUUGUUAGCCACCUAACCGGAAUUUUGUCAAUAAAUUGACAUAGGUAUAUUGAUGAUAAAAUUAAGAAAAUGAUAUCAUAAAUAGGCGGUUCUCAUUGAGACAGUUUAGAAAGCCAUAUAAUUCAUCCCGCACCUUAAUAUUAAAGAUCUGCUCCAACUCAAAAAUUUACCUCUCAUAUCUUACCACCGCAACGCGCGGAUUUAGAAGUGACCAGUAAAUUGAAUAAAGUGUUUUCACUUUGAUAUGUAAGUAUAUAUCAAGCCCAAAAGUUUACUAAUGGCAAUAAUUAAGAAGGAAUCUAUGAAUAGUGUUACUUCUAUGUAUAAAUUUGUUAUGAGGACGGAAACUAAUAUGUCUAGAGCAAUUUUUAAUACAAAAACUUGCUUAGAAUAUAUUAAUUUUAUUGGGGAUUAUCCAUAAAUUCUACAAUUUACCGAUUUCUACGUCAACAAAAGGCAAAACAUAUAGUAAUAUAUUAUCCUUACUUUUAACUUUUUAAAAAUAUAAGUGAGUUUAAGGAUUCUCUAAUAAUAAUAACAAGAACGUGAUCUAUCCCUAGGCACAAAUCAAUAGUCCCCUAAACCUCUUGAUUUGGGCACGUAGCCACUCUAUGCUCCCUAUUUUCAUUGUGUUUGAUGCAGCAUAGCUUAGGCUAUAAGAAGUACAUAUAUUCGUGCGCGCGCGCACACAUACACAUAGACAUAUAUAUAUAUAUAUAUAAAAUAAAAGUGAAGGUGCCCAUUUGAUUUUGACAAAUACAAAUAGAGACCUCAAUUUGAUAAGAGCGAGGGUCCAAUAUAGAGUAGACAAAAAGAAUAUAUUCGAAAUGGACUGGUAACUACUUACUCCCAUGAUUCUCUUUUAUGGUCCAUUUUGUAUGAAAUCGACCUAAUUAAAGCCGAAGCUUCAAAUUAAAGUUUCUACUUCUUUCUAGAAUAUAAAGUUUAUCUCAAAAAGAGAAAAAAAAAAAAAAAACUUUUCGAGUAAGUUUAUUCAAGUUGUGGUUUUGCAAUAACCUCCCAUGGGGGGCUACAUUGGUCCUUACCACAUUUGAGCUCUAUUUAAGCUCAUUUUGCUCCUCUAGGUUAAUAAUAUCAAUGUAAUGAUUUAGCUUGUUAGGUUCUUUUAGUUGGAAAGCACUUCCUAAACAAGCUUAAAUAUCCAGUGUUUUUACUCUGGAAUGGUGAAAUUUAAGAUCCGUUUGAUAUUGAGAGCUAUCUAACAUUUUUAGAUAGAAAAAAAUUGAAGCAAACUUGUACAAAAAUAUUUUUUUACACAUUUUAAUAAAACAGCAAAAGUUAUAUCGUAAUUAAAUCAAAACAAUCUAUACAAUGUAUCUGAAACAAACAAAAUAUUUUUUUCUCGUACUUGCUUCCUGUAACGGAUGCUCAAUUAUAAUACUUAAUUCACGACCUUCUAGAUUCUAAAUUCAAAUCUCGUUAUAUUCCAAAAACAAAAAACAAAAUUGCACACUUGUAGCCUACAUAAAACCUUCAACAAAAAAGAGUGGAGAAAAAAAAAAAUAAAAAAAAAAAAUAUAUAUAUAUAUAUAUAUAUANUGGGGGACCGUUAUUGGCCCGGGACCGCUUCCCCGCGCGCAUCGAGCGACAACCCCCCGGGGGGGAAAGUGGGCCCGGGCCCAGCACGUGAGCAACCAACCGUGUGGCGCAUGCCACGUGGGCCGACACAGGUUCGGCGAGCGUGGACUCCCGCGUGGUGGGGCCCAUCCUCUUCCACUGGACGGCUCAGAUUCAGCUUCGGCGCACGAAAAUCAACGGUGACAACUCGAUUAUUAUUCCGUGUUAUUGGCAUUUUCUCAGCUUUUAUUUAUUUAUUUAUUUAUUUAUUUUAAUCUAACCUGUAUUAAUUAAAAUUUAAUUUAUUUUAAAUUUAAUUGUUCCUUUAAUUAACUAUUAAUCUCUAAUUAUUCUGUACAGAAAACAAAAGCGAAAAUCCAUUUCAAAACGUACGAAGGGUUUCCAUAAACUAUUCAUUACGUACCUUAGGUAUCACAGCGGAAACCUUAACCACCGUCUGAUCAUCGGCGAACGGUGUUCCUCCGACCGAUCGCAUAAACAUGUUUAUGCGCGUUGUCGGACGAUAACGACGAGGCGGGUUGGGAGUCCGUGGGGUCGCCAUCGAUGGUGCGGACGGUGUUGCGGGGGAGGGGGACAGCGCACCGCCCAGAUGCUGCGGGGGACCCGCAUAAAAGGAGCGGUGCGGGAGGGGUGGGGGAUAUUCGCUAUGAUGAGCUCGAGAUACGCCAUAAUUAAUUAUCAUUUGAUUAAUGUAUGUUUAUUUAGGUGCCCGAGAAAAAAUUAUAGCCCACAUUUUUAGCCUUAUAUAUAUAUAUCAUACACAGAGAGAGACAGAGAGAGAGACAGUGACGUUACUAUGUUAUCAGAAGCAUGUGAGCCUUCCGUACUUCCAGCUCGUUUUCGAUAUUACGACUUUCGAAUCGUCGAUCGGCUCCACUAAACUUGAUCUAGAGUAUAUGAAGUACCUAGAAAAUAAAUUAUAUGAUUUUUC